rnacentral:lncRNA from 1 species
UUUUUUUUAUUUUUUAGGUUUAAAUUAGUAAUUUAAUUCUUUUUUUAUUAAUGUCUGAAAAAGGAUACAUUAUUGUAAAAAGGAUAAUAUUGUAAAAGUAAGUUAAAAGAACAAAAAAUAAUGACACGGGUGUCAGUAAUUUAACGGCAAGAAUAUUUUAAAAUAUUUUUAAAAAUAUAAAAAUUAAACAGACAUUAACCUCAAAAUAUAGUGAUUAAACAAACUUUUACCCUUAAUAUAUGUGUUUUGACUUCUUUCUAUGUUACAGAAGUAUUCACACAAAAUAUAUAUAUAUAAUAAAUUUAUAAAUUUAGAUCAAAACAAAGAUCAUGGAUCCCCCCUUGCCCAGCAUUAUGGGUAUUGAUCAUGAGGGAAUUUAGUUUUCUCUCGAUGCAAAACUUUGAAAAGGAAAAAUCACACACACAUAUAUCAAAAUAACUUAAGUAAUAAAAUAAGUGUAGGGAUUUUUUUUUCCCAAAGAAAGAAAUUUGCAAAUUGUAUGUAGCUAGUUGUAGAAAAGUAAUUGGAAUGGGGGCGAGAGAGACUGCCGAAGCAUGAAUUUAAGUGGGAAUGGGCUGGAGAUGAAUAUGCAAAAUCGAUCAAGAUUGUCUUUAGUCUAUAGAAUCCCGUGACCACUUCUCUUUAUUUUGACAACUACUUCCGCUGUUCUUCUCUUUGUCUUUUUUAUAUUUUCUCUUCCAUAUCUUCUUUCACAUUCUGUACUUGUUGAUACAUUAUUAAUGAAUUAUGUGUCAAAUAACCUAUUUUAUAUAUUCAUAGAUUUCUUUUUGUAGGACGCAUGGCCUACGUAAAUAAUGUAACGUCGUAUGACAUUAUCACUCAACAUAAAAUAUUGUACACGAGACCAAAAAUGACUAACUGUAGUCAACAAUUGCACCAACGCAUUAAGAAGCUUUUCACAUUUAUUGGACUUAUACUACUUAAUUGAGGAAAAUCAUAUUCUACUUUUUGAAAAUCAUGGAGAUUAAGCUAGGUUUAGUUGAACAUGAUGUUUUAGCUUUGUUAUGUAAAAGCCAAACCGUGUCUCAUUACAGAACUAUACAUAUAUCAAACUAGGUCCUCGAAAUUUCGUGAAAAAAGCAAAAAUUAAGAAAGGCAGUAAAAUCCUUGCUAGCUAGAGAAUGCGUCUUUAUAGAUAAGUGGGCAUUGACUUAAUAAUUGCUUGAUAUUGUCCUCUUGUCAAAAAUUUGGUUGGUCUCAGUUAAAUGAUGGUUGGAGGAUUUGGAAGUAUUCGAUCGUGAAAGAUCAUAUUUUGACUCUUAGUUCAUGGUAGGCUGCAUGCACACUACUUUAGCUGAAGAUAAUAUGAUCAAAAGAGAGAGAAUUGACAGCAAUUGAUGACAAUCACAAUCCCUUCUCUUACUAUUAGUAAUAGAUUUUUUUUUUCAAGUUGAGAUUUAAUCCUGGAUACUUAAGUUUGUAUUUUGUAUGAUGUAGUAUUUAUUUCAUGUAUUAUUCAUUGAUUAAAUUUAUAAAAUUAAUUAAUAAUAAAAUUAAUUGAUAUUAUACGCACGGAUUAGCUAUCAAGUUACAGUUAGGUGCAAUGUACUCUGAUAAAUUUUGGCACGUAAUUUUCACCCCACUUCAUUUUUAUAUUCCUAUUUAUUCUGACUUGAUCAUAUUUGUUAAUAAAUAUCGAUGAAUUGAUUAGAUAAAUACCUAAAUUAUUUAUCAUUAAAAAGUUUGAAACUAUACCCCAUAUCAUUUUCAUGGGGUACAUUUGGAAGAACUCAGAUGAAUCGAGAUCUUCGGUCUCAUGCUCGAUCUAGCUCUUACAAUAUGAAAAUAAAACUAUGGGAGUAUGAGCGAAGGUGAAGUAUUUGGAAGAAUUAACUUAAUUAAUUGACUCCAUGAUGAGCGGAAACGCGUACAGAAAUUAAUUUAUGUGUCCGUGACUUUGAUUUUGUUUUCUAAAGUAUAUUUAAUUAAUUUAAUUAAUUCAUACAAUAAAAUUUCUUAUUCAAAUGCCCUCCACUCCACAUAUCAUUUAUAUCAACCUUGAUGAUCUUUUUCUGUCUUAACAAAUAAAAAAAAAGUAAUAAAAAUCUAAAAAUGGAGGCAAUGAAAGAAGAUGGCUUUAAGCCUACUACAAUUGCAUGAGGCAGAGGCAAUUUGCUGCCAGUCAUCAUCACUUCAUCUUCUGCCAAAAUAAGACAAAUUCAUGGACUCAGGAGUGGAAAAAAAAAGAAGGACAUUAAAUAAGUUAAUUUAUUAUUUACAUUAUUUCUAAAACUAUCAUUUAAUGUUUCAACCACCGAACUGUUAACAUGUAUAAAAGAAAAUUGAAAAUCCUAACCAAAUCGAAGGUUAACCAUCUAUUUUUCUGUUCAUGCAUGAGCAAUUAUUUGCCAUUUCAGUUGCUUAAUAUUUAUCGAAGAAGCUUAUAAUUCUUAUGACAAAUGUCAAGAAGUGUCAUUUGUGAAUGGCAAAAGCCUCUUCCUAUAAAAAUAAAAUUUGUUUCAUCAAAUUAAGAAUAUUUUAACAUUCAAAGAUUUUGUUUAAAUUUAUGAGAAAUGAUAUUUAUCUUACGGCUAAGUUAGUAUGGGCGUCAGCUAAUUUAAUUAGUAAAAUCUAUUGAGUGGACAUUAGAUGUCUUGGGCUCCAACCUUGCUCACAUCAGUUGAGAAGAAAUUAAAUUGUCACUAAAAAAAAUUUAGUAGACGUAUGUGGAAAUUUUUUUUCCUUAGUUUGAAUAAAUUUAUAUUAGUCUAAACUCUAAAUAAAUUUGAAUGUCUAAAUUUAAAUGACUGUUUUUUACCCGAAUCUCUUAAAAUAAGUAUUAAGCUGUUUGUUCUUUUAACUUAAAAAAUUAAAAACUUGUACUUUUAAAUUUAUACCCUUACUAAAUUUAAAUGUUAAAAUAUAAAAGUAAAAGUAAGAUAAAUUAGACAAUGAUAAAGUACUUCCUAAUCCUAAAGCCUAAUUUCAAAAUCAUAGCAUGAAUUAAAACCCAAUUCAGUAAAAAAAAAAGGAUAUUAUAAAUGCUGAUUAUAUAAUUACAUAAAAAGUUUAAGAAUCAUAACUAUAAUGAUAAUUCAUGAGAAAUUGAAGAACUUGAUGAAUGAAGCAACUUAGAAAAUUGAGGAGGGAUGUUGAAAAAAAAUCAAAGGCUAAAUGCUCGUUUAGUCCCUAUAUUUUUAAUUAAGUGCCUGUUUAUUCCCAUUAUUUAAAAAAGUACCUUAAAUGUUAAAUAUUUUACACUUCUACUCUUACAUUUUCUAUCAUUUAAUGACAAUACCCUUGCGGUAAAAUUCUUUCGGAUAUUAGUAAAAAGAAAAAAUGAUAAUUUAUCAAACUAACCUUAAAAAUAACAUAAAAAUUUACACAAAUUUUUAUAUUAUUAUUUUCCUUUGAGGAUUAAUUUGCAUUAAUUUUUUUAUAAAAUGGUUAUUAGUAAGAUUAUUACGUAGGUAUAAAAAUACUAGUUCUUUCAUACUAAUAUUUAUUGGUUAAUUUGCUAAUAAAUAAUUAUAAGUUAAUUUGCUAAUAAAUAAUUAUAAGUUAAUUUGCUAAUUAGAUUUUUUAUAGAUAGAUUAAUUAAUGUGAAGAAUAUUUGUGGAAGUGUAUUAUUGUAAAAAGCAAGAAAAAAUAAGUGUAAGAAUGUUACAUAUUUAACUAUAUGGAUGUUUUAAGAUAGUUUUUAAAAUAUAGUGACUAAGCAUGAACUUAAGUUAAAAUAUAAGAACUAAACGAAUACUUAAAGCAGAUUAAUUUCCUUUGAGGAUUAAUUUGCAUUAAUUUUUUUAAUAAAAUGGUUAUUAGUAAGAUUAUUACAUAGGUAUAAAAAUACUAGUUCUUUCAUACUAAUAUUUAUUGGUUAUUUUGCCAAUAAAUAAUUAUUAGUUAAUUUACUAAUUAGAUUUUUUUAUAGAUAGAUUAAUUAAUGCGAAGAAUAUUUGUGGAAGUGUAUUAUUGUAAAAAGAAAGAAAAAAUAAGUGUAAGAAUGUUACAUAUUUAACUAUAUGGAUGUUUUAAAUUACUUUUUAAAAUAUAGUGACUAAGCAUGAACUUAAUUUAAAAUAUAGGAACUAAACGAAUAUUUAUCCAAAAUCAAAUAUGAGUUAAUGUUAAGCUCUGUUUGGGAUUGAGGUAUUCUAACUUUUAAAUUACAGUUGCUUAAAAAAAUGUAAAUAUGAAAUAAAAGUUAAUAAUAUGCAGUAAAUACAAUUUUUAAAUAAUGAUCUUGAUAAAAUUAGUAAUGAUAUAAUAAAUUUUUUAUCAUGCAAUUGUAAAAUCAAAUCAACUUAGCUUUCAAUCUACAGCAGUUAGUGUUUACCAAAUAUUUUUGUACUGUAACUUUUAAUCUAAAGCCGCCCAACCUCAAUUCCAAAUUGAGCCUUAGCUGAGUACAAAUGCGUGGAUUCUUGAGGUAGGUAUGAAAAAUAAAUAUUAAAUUAGAGGAUAAUUUUUACAAUAGAAUUUAGUUGGCUUAUUAAGAUUUUUUCGUUCCAUCAACAGUCAAAAUAAUUAACUUAUUUUAUUCAACUAAAAAUCUAAAAAAUCUCAUUAAAAUAUAAAACCAAACACCUCUAAUUCACUGAAUAAAUUGAGUCAAGUCACUUUAAAUCAUUAAGUUAAAAAAAACCCUCAUUUAGUAAAACAUACAAUAAUAAAAUUAGAACAUUACUAGAAAUUAGAAUGAUGAGAAUGAAGUUCUUUAGCUACAAUGCCCGAACCAAUUUAUUCAAGAGGACAUUAAAGGAAAAUAUCAUCGUCACGCCAUAAAUUGGGAUUCAUUUGCCAUUAACAUACAAAUUACUCAUUAUUCUUGCCCUAUGUGCAUGAUAUGAUCUUGAUUAUUAAUUCUCAUAUUAUGUUGUGAUUUCUUGCCAUACAUGUAUGCGUCAUAAUAAAUUAAUUAGAUCUUGCCAUAAUUAGUGUAUAACACAAUUGUCUUAAGUUUUUCAUAUACACAUCACUUAAUGGUGUUAAUUUCUCCCGUUUGUUUUGUUUGUCAAAAAGAUGACAUUGAUUAAGAAAGAUCUUCCAUAUAUCGUUUACCUUUAACAAUUUUGUUGUUAACUUUUUGUAACUUAAAAUGCCUUUAUAAUUAAGAUAGUCAAAAUUAAUUAUCUGCCACACAUUUUAAAAAUUUAUCAUAAAUAAUAUGGUAUUCAUUAAUUAGUUGAUGUGAUAAUAUAACAUAGUUAAUUCGCUUAAAAUCUAUGAAGAAUUAAUAAUCACAUAAUAAAUAACCAAUCACAUGCCAUAGCAUUGUGGAUUCUUUCAAGCAGGAGGAUGUGAUAAUAUCCUUCCUUGUAGAUAUGAAGACCGAUUGUACACAUAAGAUAAGGUAGAAAUGCAAUGAAGUCAAAUAUUGCUGGCAAAGCAAAUCAAGGACGCCUGUCGUCAUUUUGUGGUUAAGUUGAGUUGAGUUGUAUUUGUGGGGGCCAAUUUGGCGGUUCUGUUGCGAACCUUUUUCUUUGUCUGUUUUAGCUAAACGGGUAGUAUAAAAUCAAGUCGUAAUUAAUUAAAUGAAUCCAAAGAGGACCCAAACAAGCAGCCUGGCUAGUCAGAAGGCUCACCAAGUAUCACCGACCAUGUUGUUCUUGAGCCGUCCAGCCAAUUGUCAUUUUAAUUUUAUUGCCCCUUUUUUUUAUUUAUCCGCAAGCAUGCAUGUACUAGAAAACCAUACACUCACAUUCAAUCAUACAAGCCAAGCUAUUGCUAUCAUUAAAUUUUGAUUAGAAGCAAACAAAUUUUCUCUUUUUUUCUCGUGAGGGGUCUAUUUAAAUGACUAAAAAAUAUUGGGUAAGCGCAUGACGUUGGUUGCAUUGUGUUGCCAGUACGUUAUAUCUGUUGAAGACGUUAAUUUGGAUUUGUUUACUUUGUUCAUGAUUUGAUGUUUAAAAAUUCAGCUAUAUCGAGUAAUUUCAUAUCCAUAUGAGAUAUGGAAAUGAAUGAGAAUUGAUUUUUAAUCAAAAUGUGAUCAUUAUAUCUAAGAAGCCUUUGAAGGAAUAAUAAAAUUUAUAUAAUUUUCUAAUAAGUAGGAGUCCUGCCUAACACCCACUUUUUUUGGUGGUUUUUAAUUAAAAAAAAUUAUACAAUUCUCAUCUUCAAUGCAUUGCCAUGUAACGAAGUAAUUUAAUUUUCUGUCAACAAUAUUUCUCAUUAAACUAAAGAUCAAUUAAAUAUAUAUUUAAUUCAUUAUACGAAAAGAUUACUUUAAAUUUUUAUUUGAAGGUCGAUUCUCUUCUUAAUGUUGGUAUACAAUUGCCGAUUACAUAAUAAAUUAUACGAUUAACUCAUUUCUUUUUGUCAAUAAAAUUUCUUUUAUGUGGAAAAAGAAAGUGAUUAAACGACGCAGUAACUUGUUCCUAAGAAAUAUUGUCCUAUACUGAAGAUAUUCACAUCACGUGGAACAUGUGAUAGUUGUUGGAUAUUCUUCUAUCACGCUGUCGUAAUUCUUCAUAGCUUCUCAUUUCUUACCUUUGAUGUGUGUCAAUAUACGCCUUCUCUUUGCAAAAGUCAAUUUUUGAAACAAUAUUCUCUCAAUUAGUUACUUGAUUUCUUGUUCUUUCUCUCUUUUUCUUCCCUCCCUUUUCUCUCUCUUUUAUUUUUUAUUUUUUAGUCAUUUUCACUUGCAUAAAUAUUUAGUUUAGCUCAAUAGGGACAAAGUCUUUGUCAAAUAACUUUCUCUUCACUUGGACUAAAUAAAUCUACUUCAUUGAUAUUAAUACUUCCACCAAACUUGCCACCAUUGAUUGAAAUGUUAAAAAUGAGAGUGAAUAUUGAUUCUUUGAACUUAAUAUUGAUCCUUUCAAUAUUGAUUCUUUGAACUCAAAAUUAACUGGAACUACCAACAUAAAAAUACACAGAUAUUCAAUAAUGGUUUGAGAAUAGCAAUAUAGUUAUUUAAUCUAAAAGGUGUAUUCAAAAACACAUAAUUUACACCCAUGUACAAAAAACUUUAUCGUAUAAUGCUGAAGUUAUUACCUCAUCAAUAAAUAUAAUUUUAUUAGGGCAUGCGCGAAGCACUAUCCUUAAUACUAAUUUUUCACUCCUCGAAGGAAGAUUUUCUAGUGCAAAAAAAAAAAAACAAAAAACACAAAUCAAAGCAGAAACAAAGUUUUUUUAAACCAAAAGAUGCAUCGAAAAAUGCAGAACUUGUACUCACGAAUUAACAAGUUGUAUCUCAUAACACUAAAGUUGUUAAUUGAUCAGUAAAUAUAAAAUUUUCGAGGCAUGUAUGAAUCACUGUCCUUAAGUCCACUUUCAGCUCGUCUAAGGAAGAAUUUCCGAUGCGAAAAGACACAAAUCAAUGCAGAUUAACCUACAUGAUAUAGUGAUACUAUUGUGAGAUUGCACUCCGACCAUAAUAAUUUAGAACAGUAAAUUAAAGAAAAAAAAUUGAUGAACAAAAAUAUAAGACAGAAAUAGAGAGCAAUAGUAGCAGUUACCUUAAAGGUUUUGUAUAUCUCUCCUAUAUAGAAAAACCUUUAAAGUUAUUUUCCUAAUUCAAUUUGAAUUACCUAUCCACUUUUCAUUAUUUUAUUUGAAUUAGUCAUAUAUGUGUCUCACAAUUAAAUUCAACUUGAAUACUUCAAAUUACAUGUACAUUUGAUUUAUUUAACUCUAGUUUGUAAUAUAUCAAACGCAAGGCUGUUUUUCCUUAUAUUGCUGGAGAAAGGAUUGAGGAGCCCCUGUUUUAUUCCAGAAGAAGAGAGAGCCUUGUACAUUAAUUAUCGGGCGCUCAAGAAGGUAACCUAACCAUCAAGAAUAAGAAUCCACUUUGAUUGCAGACUUCUUUGCCCUAAAAAAUAAAAUAAGCAUGAGAUACUUCUCGAAGUUGGAUUUACAACCAGGCUGCUACUACUAUCAGGCGCGUAUCGCAGAAGGAGACGAGCCAAAGACAACCUAUGUGACAAGCAAGAAACCAUACUAAUAAAGGGGCUUUUGAUUGUUGCCUUUCGGACUAGCGAAUGCCCCUGCGACUUUUCGUACCCUCCACAAUGAGCUAGUUCACCUGUACUUAGAUGACUGGUGGUACACUUCGAUCGUGGGGUAUAGCUAUUUGUUAAACGACCGCGUUAGCCACCUACGGACAGUUUUUAAGAAAGAAUAACCUCUGCGUAAAGAUAAAAAAAGAGAAAUUAUCCUUUGGAUAGACAGAGAUCCUAUUCCUAAGGCAUUGACAAUACUAUAUUUACUAAGAAUCUCUCUCUUAGUUAGUUAUAUCUUUUCGAAAAGGAAGAGUUAGUCAAAGCUCAAACACAAUUUUUUUAACUCGAAAAAAGUUUUCCUUUCACUUGGUUUCAUUAAAAUGUUUCUUUGGAAUAAGGCUCAAAACAUCUGAACAGUACUUGAAGCCAAAAUGAGAGUAACAUCUCUAAUUAUCGUCAUGUUUCUUCUUUUACAAUGAAUUCGCUUCUAUAUAUUUUCUAUUGUUUUUAGUUUAAUCUAGUCAAUAACAAAUGGACUAUAAAUAUCUACUUAAAACUUUCCAAUUCAAAGUUUGAAAAAUGUAUUUAAUUUGUUCAAAGCGGAAACAUAGUUUUUAACCCAAAAGAUGCAUCCAAAAAACACAGAACUUGCACUCAUGAAUUAGAAAGCUGUAUGCCCUAAUGAUCAAGUUGUUACACAAUCAAUAAACAUAAGUUUGUAGAGGCACGCAUGAAUCACUAUCCUUAAUUUUUUUGUAGCUAAAUCACAUAUAGAUUUAACUUAUUCAACUCUAAUUUGUAACUAAUUAAAUCAAGCACAUAACUAGUUUCAAAUCAAAUAUAAAAUAAUUGCUGUUAGUACUUUCCAACAAUGUGCGACAUUAAUAUAUUGAAAUAUCCAUAUACAAUUCGAACAUGUAAAUCUUUAUUAAUUGAUGAUAAAAUGUCUAAAAAUGACUCCUAAUCAAAUAUUAAACUUCUAAAUUUGUUAACGACAAUGCUAUAUUUACUAACAAUAUCUCUCUCUCUCUCUCAUUCUUUUCUUUAGUUAUUUUUUUGAAAGGAGGGUUAGUCAAAGCUCAAAACAUAAUUUUUUUACUCCUAUCUCUCGUAACAGUUAAAAUCGAAUGACUAACAAAUUAAGGAAAGUGAAAGGCCACACAACCAAACAAGUACUGGAGAUAAAAGUGUCUUCCUCAAUUUGCGUGAGAAAUAGGAAAAAUUUUCCUUUCACUUGCUUUCAUUAAAAUGUUUCUUUGGAAUAGGCUCAAAAUAUCUGAGAAUCACAGUACUUGAGGGCAAAAUGAGAGUAACAUCUCUAAUUAUCGUCUGUUUCUUGUUUUCCAACGAAUUUGCUUCUAUAUAUUUUCUCUUGUUUUUAGCUUAGUCUAGUCAAUAAAUGCGCUAUAAAUAUCUACAUGAAACUUUCCAAUUCAAAGUUUGAAGAAUGUAUUUAAUUUGUUCAAAGACAUAAUAUCUAUUCGAUCGGCGAUGUUUGGUAAUGCCAUAAUGGCACUUAAUUCGGAAAAUAAAAUUAAAGGACAUGAACAAUCGCUAUAGAUUAAUCGCCAUGCCCUAACCCCAGUACCCCACCAAUAUCUUGACCCCUUAUGAUAUCGGAUUCAAAUGACGCAAUGACUUGCCAGAAUUUGUAUAAAAUUUUUCAUCAUCAAUCAAAGUACAAAUACUCAACUACUCAAAUAAAUUAAUAUUUGCUGGUUUAUUUUAGUUUAGUUUGAGCUUUGUAGCUUCAUAAGUUUGCCCGACUUUUUAAAUUAAACAUCUUAACUCUGAUAAUACUAGUUUACUUAAUCAAAGUGAAAUCAGUACUCAGUAUCCCUAAAUAAACUAUCGCGAAGUUGUCAUGGGCAAAUCAAAUUAAUUUAUUUUCUAAUUUGAAAUUGUAGCCACUUUUUUUAAUAAAAAAAAAAAUGGGUUUACCGAUUCUACACCAUUUUAUAAUUUUGAGGAUUAUAAUUUUAAAUUUUAUUCCACUUUUAGUAUAGUUUCAAAGGUCGACUAAAACUUAUUUCUACUUUUUAUUCAGAGGAUUUUUACUCCAUCCAUCAAAUUACAAUUUGAGGAUUAUAUUUAAUUUAUUCACCUUAGUACACUAUAAGGUCAACUAGACUAUUACUAGUCUACUAUUNNNNNNNNNNNNNNNNNNNNNNNNNNNNNNNNNNNNNNNNNNNNNNNNNNNNNNNNNNNNNNNNNNNNNNNNNNNNNNNNNNNNNNNNNNNNNNNNNNNNNNNNNNNNNNNNNNNNNNNNNNNNNNNNNNNNNNNNNNNNNNNNNNNNNNNNNNNNNNNNNNNNNNNNNNNNNNNNNNNNNNNNNNNNNNNNNNNNNNNNNNNNNNNNNNNNNNNNNNNNNNNNNNNNNNNNNNNNNNNNNNNNNNNNNNNNNNNNNNNNNNNNNNNNNNNNNNNNNNNNNNNNNNNNNNNNNNNNNNNNNNNNNNNNNNNNNNNNNNNNNNNNNNNNNNNNNNNNNNNNNNNNNNNNNNNNNNNNNNNNNNNNNNNNNNNNNNNNNNNNNNNNNNNNNNNNNNNNNNNNNNNNNNNNNNNNNNNNNNNNNNNNNNNNNNNNNNNNNNNNNNNNNNNNNNNNNNNNNNNNNNNNNNNNNNNNNNNNNNNNNNNNNNNNNNNNNNNNNNNNNNNNNNNNNNNNNNNNNNNNNNNNNNNNNNNNNNNNNNNNNNNNNNNNNNNNNNNNNNNNNNNNNNNNNNNNNNNNNNNNNNNNNNNNNNNNNNNNNNNNNNNNNNNNNNNNNNNNNNNNNNNNNNNNNNNNNNNNNNNNNNNNNNNNNNNNNNNNNNNNNNNNNNNNNNNNNNNNNNNNNNNNNNNNNNNNNNNNNNNNNNNNNNNNNNNNNNNNNNNNNNNNNNNNNNNNNNNNNNNNNNNNNNNNNNNNNNNNNNNNNNNNNNNNNNNNNNNNNNNNNNNNNNNNNNNNNNNNNNNNNNNNNNNNNNNNNNNNNNNNNNNNNNNNNNNNNNNNNNNNNNNNNNNNNNNNNNNNNNNNNNNNNNNNNNNNNNNNNNNNNNNNNNNNNNNNNNNNNNNNNNNNNNNNNNNNNNNNNNNNNNNNNNNNNNNNNNNNNNNNNNNNNNNNNNNNNNNNNNNNNNNNNNNNNNNNNNNNNNNNNNNNNNNNNNNNNNNNNNNNNNNNNNNNNNNNNNNNNNNNNNNNNNNNNNNNNNNNNNNNNNNNNNNNNNNNNNNNNNNNNNNNNNNNNNNNNNNNNNNNNNNNNNNNNNNNNNNNNNNNNNNNGAAAAAAAAUAAAACUUUUUUUUAGGAGAAAAUAGAAAUUCAACCAUUUUAAAUUUUUUUUUUUUUGGGGGGGGGGGGGGGAGAAAGGUAAAAUAAUUGUCUUAAUUGUCACAAAACCCUAGUGUUUAUUAAUUAGACAAUUACAACACCAAUUUGUGUGAGGUGUGGAUAUCACAAUCAUUGGUCGCGGUCACGACAAAACUGAAGGAAGGGGCCACAGUCACCGUUGGAUUCUAUAACUCAUUAUUAAAUUUCUAUAACUCAUUAUUAAAUAGGGAGGUCAAAAUUUGACUGUCUGACUAGACCAGGACUCCCAGACCUUUCUUUGACCAUCUGACUUUUCAUUUAUAUUUCUACUUAACACAUGAUGAAAUAAGACAAGCAAUUAACUCUUUGUUAUUCUUGUUGAGGUUGGUGUUGUUGUUAUUUCAAUUUUCUUUCCUUUAAUUUUUUUUUUUAAUUUCUUCUUCAUCUUCCAAUUAACAUGCAGUGUGUGCCAGAAUCCCGUGAAUAUUUUUGAUCCUUCAGGAAUUACAAACUCUGCAAGAGAAGUUGACUCUCCAUGCGUUAUAUUUACCUCACAAAUCAUAUAUAUGAUUCUGUCGUCCUCCCUUUUAACUUAUCUCUGCAUGCAUGUGAUUCACAUAUAGUUCGGCCCCACAUGAACACAUAUAAUAUCAUAUGAAAAUAUAUGCAUGAAAAUGUGAACGUGACAGGCCAGGAAAGACGCAUAUGUGCAUGUUACAAAAUGGUAGUUGCAAUGCAGAUGAAGAAACGGCGGUGGCAUUAACUAUUAAAUGGGGAUUUCAUUUAAGGCAGCGGUGAGUUUGUUUUAUUUGAUGAGACAGACAAUGUGCUUGUGUGUGGGAUCUUCUUUUACAUAUAUCUAGGUAUAAUCUAAUUGGUGGGAUUAAAUUCUCAGAUGAGUGAUUUUCAAACAAUUUUAUUUAACUGGACUACUGAGUUCGAACUCGAUAAACAUGAUUCAAAUUUUCUCUCUCAAUUUUGUUUUACAUUAAUUAACAUCAUUCGAGAUAUAGAUCAGUCUUAGAAUGGGAUGGGAGUGUAUAAGUCAAAAAGUUUAUCGGAUAAACGCUAAAAUAAUGUGGUAUACACUACGUACACGUACCUCCUAAGACUUUAUAGCAAGCGUCCUUAGUUAAAUUAAAACAUUACUUAAAGUGUAACAAUGAUUAAUACCUCGAAACAAAUUAUAAUUAUAGAAUUAAAGAGACAUUAAUAUAUAAAUAGGCACUAAAACCCUAAAUAUUUAUUUGAAAUAAAGUGAUUGCCAAAUCUAAGAGCCCCUUAUAAUCCCAUUCAAAAAAAAAAAAGAGAGAGAGAAUCAAAUAAAUAAUUAUAUUUGACCCGCUAAUUUGUCUUAUCAACUUUCAUUUCUUAAUUAAGCUCACUAAAAAUUCGAAAACAAAUUUCAAAAGAGAGAUGUUGAGAUCAUAAGAGCAAAAAAGCCUAAGACCGCCCCAAUUGGCCAGUGCAAGCCCAAAUUGAUUGGAAAAUUAAUUAAAACUCGAGAAGGCCCAACCAUUAUACAUAACAUUCAGGAAUACAUAAAGAAAUACCAACACUAAACACAACCAUGCUCAUUCACAACUUGCAAGCAUUUACAUUGAGGAUGCCACCCUGCCUUUUUAUAUGAAAAAUAAUAAAUUAAAAAAAAAUUAAUGGACAACAAAUGGGAUAUAGUGAAGUUUUAGUUGUGUUCUUUCCUCUUACACGGGGACAGUUCUCUUAUCAGAAAAGGUCCUCCCAACCUUUAGGCCAGUAUUUUGGCGGCUACUGCUACUACUGCACUUUCUUGGUACUGACCUUUGCGUUAUCCUAAUGGGAAUUCCUCCCAAGUCGAAGUCUUCCUUUAAAGAUUUCGUCAAAAACCUAAGUUCUGCAUCGGAUAGCAUUUUCUUCCCACUCAGAAAGGCAACAAAUGUGGGAGGCCGAGCCUUCACUUGAGUAAAAUAUUUAAUCUUAGGCUGGGCCGACUGAUCUUUCCAAGAAUGCCUGCCCAUAACCUGAUCACCAAACAGCCACAGCAAGGGAAAGAGCGUGUUUUAUAACCAACAUCACACACUUACAGUAUUCAGAAAGGGAAAGGCCAAAAGCCAAAGGCAUUUGAUGCUGACCUUACGCAACCAACGGUUAAGACGAGAUGUAGGCAGCCUUAAACACCAUUUUUGGUAGGUAUCAAUGACCUGGUGCAUGACAGCUAUCCGGCCUCUUCCUUCUAAUGCUGAAGUGAACACAACAGGUAUUCCAGUUACCUGCCAGAAAAACCAUGUGUUCAUGCUGUUAAGUCACAUAGUGUGUGAUUUACUCUUGAACGUAUAAAGAUAAGACAUAACAGGGGUGCCCUUUUAUGCAUAUAAUGUCAGUAACAGAGGAUCAUUCUGGACUGCCUACUUUCAUUCAUGCAUGUUCUUUCUUCAAGAUAUUUUUUGUACCCCCUAAUUCUUGUACUGAGUUUUUAUUAAAGUGACAGCUCACUUCAAAUUGCUUUUCUCCGUAAGAAAGUUUUGAAAUCCAAAUAUCCAGACCAAGAUAAACUUCCAAGCAUCAUAGAAUUAACACAAAUUUUCAUAUUUAGAGACCUCACCAGAUAAAUCUCCAAAUUAUCACUACCUUAAUAUUAAAUCAUUCAUGCACAAAAAGCGAGAGUCGUUUUAAUUCGCUGCUAGCCCUUUGAGCAAACCAACUCCUCAGUUUUUAUUAGGAAAUCAUUUCCAAGCAACUAAUACUUCUUACACUGCUUUUAAAGGAAUAUGUGUGCAGGUAUAAAGAAACAAAAUCCACUCCAGACAGAAGCAAGACAUCUAAAAUAAGAACCUGAUUUAGCUAUGAUCAAAUGCUAUUCAAUUGGCAGCCUGGGAAUUUUACCAUUGAACUACACUAUGCUCUUGAGGACAAAACAAAAAAUAACUAAUAAACCACAAGGGAUAUGAGUACAUAAAAAUCCAUAAAAUGACGAACCUGAGGUAUAACCAUCUGAAUUUCUUGUGGAACAGCUUCCUUGACCCUUUUAUACAAGGCUGAGUUUUGUCUCCCACUUAGAAGGUCCAUCUUGUUCACAAUUACAACCAAACCACGUCCUUCUUCCACUGCUCGUCUCGCUAUAACAACUUCUGCGUGUGUCAUACUACGUCUAGCAUUUGCGACCUGAUCAUUGUACGUGCGGUGAACAUAUAAGCAUAUAUAUCAUCAAUAGAGAAGAAUCUGCUCUCAAGACCAUGUUUUGUAUAUAAUUUUUCACAAUUUGUAUUAUCAUAUUGUGAUGUGCCAUUGGUUUAUGUUAAACAUGUCAUCCACCGUAGUAGAGGACUCACAUGAUCCUACAAGAAUCAAGCAUAUUAGAAAAUUUUCUCAGUUUUAACAAUUCCAUUUACAUUCACAAUCACAAAGAACCAUUAGGCUCGGAAAUAAUGAUGGCACAUCGAAACUUCAUUGACACCAGAUAGGAUUGGCUUCAAGAAGCACAUGCUCAUAGCUUUGUUAGAACAAUGCAGAAAGAAUACCAGUCAGGACACACCUCUUCAGCAUCAAGGACCAAAGCAACUACAUGAGCCCUCAUCAGAUUCUUUCUUGAUUGCAUAACACUCAAUGAUGCCGGUCCUUUCUCUUUCUCUCUUUGCAGCCAACCUGCAGUAUCAACCUGAAUAAUGGUAAUUCACAAUAACAACAAACAAUAAGAAAUUUUGACAGCAAGGAAGAAUCCUAAAGUAGUUAUGAACUAAUACCAAAAAUGCAAUUUAUUACCCAAAAACUGAGACCAUAUGGCAUACUUUGCCUGGAAUAAUUAAUUCAACUUACGUCAUGACUAAAAUCCAAAAGUGAGCAGAAAACUAAACAAAAAUGCAAUAAUAAACAAAACCCUGAGAUUCGAGAGAUAUCACUUCUCUAUAACAGGUGUUUAACACAGUCCGUAAGGUUAAAAGACAGCAUACAGAAAAGGACAGAUUUAUAAGCUUCAUAGAUGUAUAUUUAAUAAACUCAACACAACUAUAUCAUGAUGUCAAAUAAGGAUUAAGAAAAUCGAGCAUGUACCAAAUAUACAGUUCUUCCUUGAUAUUCAAAAUGCACUCUCACUGAAUCUCUUGUCAAACCAGCCUCUGGACCCACCAGAACACGAUCUUCUUGUAACAGAGCAUUGAGCAAAGUUGACUUUCCAACAUUUGGCCGUCCUACAAUUGCUAACUGUAAUGGCAACUUAGACUCAUCAUCCUCAGGAGAGGUAACAUCCUGAGUGGAGCUAUUGUUUUGAGUGCAGCUAUCUACAUAAGUCAAAAGGCAAGAAGGGGAAAUAGAAGAAGAAAAGAGUGGUCAUCUAAAUGUCCAUUUUGUCAAGAAAGCAAUUUAUAAGGGUAAAAAAUUUUUAUAAAUAGAUUGCCCAUGCCAUCUUCUUGUAACUUUACUAUAUUAAGAUGGGAAUCAAUAUAGGCAUCUGCAAGUUAAUAAAACCAUUCUUCAUCAAAUAGUUUUAAAAAAGCAAUUUUUUUAAGAUAAUAACAAUGAUUUGUUGAUAAAAUCUUCAACACAAUGGAAUCACUUCUAUUAAAAAGCAUCCAUGGAACUUCAAAAGUUUCAUCUGAGCAAAAGGUUAUAUAUACAUAUGAUGAAAUAGAAAUGAGAUAUGUAAAUAUAAAACACAAACAUGUCUAUUCCAUGCCACUGGAGUUGUCAAACCACAUCAAAAGUCUUGCGUAAGCCAUUAAAUGCAUUCCAGGCCACUGAGACUGGACUAGGUAUAACACUCCAAAAAAUGCAUAUAUGCAAGUUGCACUGCUCUCUUGCAAAUAAACCUGACCAUUAUCUUAAUUUCCAAAGACCAAAAACUCUUUGAACAGAAAUUUAUAAUAAUUCAUGCUUUAGCAUUGCUUAUGAAUAUUUUUAUUAAGCACUAACACAAAACCAUUUAUAGCGGACUAGUCAAUGCUUCUUGAAAAAUCAGAACUUAAGCUUUCUAAAACUUCCUUGAACUUUUAAGCAAAACAUACAGAAUAUUCACUCAACAUGUUUACAGGAAAUACCAGGAAAAAGAGAAGUGUAAAUGAUCGUACCAUUUAAAACUCGAAGCAUAUAAUCUUCAACCGAAGGGCGAAGAGCUUCAUAUAGUUCUGUCAUACCCAGUCCAGUCUCGGCAGAUAUAGCAAUGGGGUCCCCAAAUCCUAACAUUAGGGAUUCAGCAGCAGCUCCAGCAAGUGAGCCAGUGCCAUUAUGAAGUGAUUCACAUUUAUUCAUCGCUACUAUAGGUUUGAUUUGUGGGGCAUGUUUACGUAACCACUUUCCAACCUCCAAAUCUAAAGGAUGCAAUCCAGAUCUAGCCACAAGAAAACACCAAGAAAGGAUUCAAAUUUUUGCACCAAAAUUAGACAAGAACUAGCAAUAAUAUACAACACCUUAGGAAUGCUUUUCAAUCAACACCGUACAUAACAAACUUUCAGAAAUACAGAGAAAAGCUCAACCUGAUGUAAAAACUAAAAUUCUGCAAUCAUAUUAGAAACGACAUGUAAAAUCAGAAAUUUUUCCAUUUUCACCGGACAAAUUGUUGUAUUUGAUGAAUAUGCAUGUUACACCAUUCUAGUCUCAUUCAAAUGAAUUUAAAUUUCAUAAAAAUCGACUGCUCCUAAUCAAAAAUUUGUCAUCAUGAACCUUUGAUUGAAAAGUCAAGUCAAACACUCAUGGAUCACAAAAUAUGCAGAAACUCAUCUAUUAAACUUACCUCACAUCAAUCAUGAAAAUUGCAAAUUGAGUCUUUGCAAGCACGUUUGCAGUCAUCCCUGCUGUUCUAUCAAGAAUAGACCCAGAAGUCGCUUCAGUUUCCAAACCCGCAGAGUCCAAGACCUUAAACCGCAAAUCCCCAAGUUUAGCAAGUCCUUCUCUGAUGUCCCUAGUAACAUGAUCAUCUGGAGUGUUGUAAACCAAAGCCUCCCUCCUCCUAAUCAACCUAAAAACUCAACAAAAUCCCAUUUCACUAACAUCCAAAACUCAUAAGUUUACAAAAAUGAAUAAUAAAACACAAUAUGCAUACUAACCGAUUAAACAAAGCUGAUUUGCCCACAUUAGGACGGCCAAUGAUCAUGACAGUAGGAAGCAAAUUAAUGUCAAUCUUGGUGAAAUCCACUGGCUUCUCAUACAAAGGCUUAACCUUGUGGUCUUCAACUACACCAUCAGGCUCAGGCUCAACAUGAGUAUCUUCCAAAGCCUCAUUUUGAACAACCCCACAAAAUCCCCUGGGAACCUCAGGCAAUAAAUUACACUUCAAGCUUGAACCCACUUGAUAUAGUGAUCCUGAGAACCAAUACAUGAUUGAAACAUUAACAAAUAACAAUAGAAAACACAUGAAAUCAUAAAAUGGAGAUCCAAGAAACCGGGAAAAAAAAAAAAGCACCAGCGGCUGAAGCUCUAAUAUGGGAGUAAUUAUUGAGAGUGAAAUUGAACGGCUUGCACAAGUUCACUGGGUUUGUUGACGAAGAGAUGCUUCUGCCAAAGAGACCAAAACCAAGUGAACUCUUUCGGGCCAAAACGGCCCGAACCCAUGAGUGAAACAUCUGUUGUUAGGUUGCAACUGUAACUAUUUCCACAUGCCGAGAAGAAACGGAGGCUCUGCGCUAAUUUUUGGCGGCGAAGAAGAACGCUUCCAAACGAUGUCGUUUAAGAAAAACAACGAUUUUUUAAUCUAUUAAAAUGACAUUUUUAACCCCUCUGUUUAAUUUGGUCAAAUGAAUUUUUCGUAAUUAACUUUUUAAAGUUUAAAAAUAAUUUUUUAAAAUAUUGUGAUAAAAAUAAUUUAUUGUGACAAGUUUUCUUAUUUAUAGUAAAAUCUCAAUAAAUUAAUAAUGUGAGAUCAUACAAAAUUUAUUAAUUUAAAAAAUAUUAAUUAAUCGAUAAAUUAAAAAUUUAUUAAUUUAUAAAGUGUAUAAACAAGUCAAUAAACUUAUAUUUAAUCAACUUAAAAUUUAUUUUAUUUUACCAACUUAUUUAAUUAAAAAUGAAUAAAUCCACUAAAAAUAGAUUAAAUUAACCCAAAGAAUUUAAAAUUUUUACAAUUUAGAAUUCAAUCCUAAAACUUCUAGAAAUAAUAUGUGAGAUUAGAGAAAAGAUCCAACUAUAUUUUAUUUUCUUUUCUCUUUCAUAUUAUUAUUUGAGGAUUCGUUGUUUCGGUUAACUUAAUAAUUUCUCUAUAAUUUAAGAAAACCUUUUUCGUUUUCAAAUAUAACUAAAAGACUAAUAUAAAAUAAAUUGUAAUUGAUGCCGUCAAUGCUGAUUUUUUCAAGUAAGCAGUUACUUUUAAUUUUUUUUUUUAAUGGAAUUAAUGGACGAAAAAGAGAAGCGGUGGAAGCCGUCGCCGUCAUCUUCAUCAUCACCAUCAGCAAAUUGGAGCGAUCUCCAUCUCGAACAAUCUCUUAGUUUUAGAGCACCAUUUUGCUCUUCACGGCGUACGAUUAUUAAACUAAGAGCACGCAUCAUCAUCAUCAUCCACUGCAAUUCCUUGGCUCAUGUUCCCUUUAAAACCAAAACCAAACGUUAAUAAUAAUGUACAUGCAGAUGGCUGCCGCUUCUACAGAGUUGAUGAAAGAAUGUUUUACACUAUAAAUAACUGUGUUUACAGGGAUUUUGGUAAGCGGCGUUGUAUCGGAUCAUCUCACGGUUGGCUCGUGCUCUUAGAUUGCGGACCCUUAUUUGUUGAAUCCAUUCUCCGGUACCCGGAUUCUGCGGAACUUUUCCGGACGUUGUGGGUCAUCACGGCGAUGGCUGCAACGUAAUUUGAAGUGAUCACAAAGAUAUAUAGUGCUGCCGCACCGACGCGUUUCAUGACAAUCAAGGAAAUCAAAGAUUGUUUCUUCCAUGAGUCCAUUCUGUCAGCGAGUCCCUACUUUCAGGAUAAUGACUAUGUAGCUGUAGCCAUCUACAAUGAUAGAUCAAAAUGGUUCAAUAUUUCAAGGCCAAGAACAUUAUUGUUACUGCUAUAUAGCGAUGUUAUUUGGGUAUCUCAAAAUGGUACUAGUUCUGUUUAUGCAUUAUCACUAAGUCCCGGAACAGGACGGUCGAUUCGAAGCAUGGGAUUUCACGAAAUUACAGAAUGAUUAUAAUGCUCCUCCUGUAAAAAUAAUGGGUUUGAAUUUGAAGCCAUCAUUUCCAAAGUCAUGGGAUGUAGAUACCAAGCCAUGUCAUGUGGCUGUAAACUCAUACUUGGUAGAAUCUAGGCAGUGGAGAUAUUUUGCUUCUUUUUAUUUUGUUUAUAGCCUCAAAUUCCCUUUUUUAUUUACAAUAAAUCAAAAUUUUAAAAUAUAAAAUUUGAAUAAAAUAAUCAAAUAAAAAAUAACUUAAUUUAUAUAAUUAAAAAUAAGAUUUAAUUAAAUCAUAUUUUCCUACUAAGAGUCUCAUUUUACUCUAACUAUUAUUAUUUAAUUAAGCAUAAUUGAAAUAAAAAUAAUUGUUAAAGUUAAAUUACACAUAAUUAAAAUUAAAAUAGCUAAAAUUAAAAUAAUUAUAAAUUAUAAACUUCUAAAAAAAAUUAAAUACAAAAAAAGAAAAGAAAAUUUUUCUAAACUUCUGUCUUCUGUUCCUCCCUUUUAGGACUCUCCGCUUCAUUCUCUAAUUUUGCCAUCUAUAAUCCCUUCCUCUUUUAUAGACAACUAGCAAUCUUAUUUUUUUCUUUUUUUCUUAUUUAUUAUUUUUUUAUUUUUUAUAAUAAUGACAUAAAGAAAGAAAUAAGGGAUUGUCAAAAGUGGCUGCCACCACUUCACUAUCCCUUGUCGAUUGGCUUUUUUUUUUUUUUAAUGCAAUCCAUUUUUUUUUUGUCUUCUUCAUUCUUUAUUCUUAAAAUAUAUCUAUAAUUAAGAUAAAAUUAACAUACUACAAUUUAAUUGAGCAUAAAAUUAUAUUAAGGGGGCAUUAAGAUAAUUUAUGAGAUAUGAGAGCAUAAGUUGAUACUGUAAGUGAAAAAAUUAUAAUUUUAACAUUUAUUAAAUAUAUACUUUCUAGUGUUACCCACAUCGUGCAACCAAUAUUAAUACAAUAUACAUGGUGAGUUGUCAUUCGGCUGAUUUAAUACUCUGUGAGCAUCCAAUAUUUUCUCUAAACAAAUAUAAAACAUAAAUGGUAUAACUAGAAUUUUAGUUCGUUGGAGGCCAUAAUGGAAAAACUAUUAACUUAAUUAAUAGGAUGGCAAUGAAAUGAGAUAUGCCAAUCUCAGUCUGUUCUCAUAUAUUCAAUUGGUACAAAAAAAUUAUCUCAUUCCUAUUCCGUUACAAUAGACAAACUGUUAAACUUAUAGGCAAUCUCAUUCUUAUUCUGUUACAAUAGACAAACUGUUAAACUUGUAGGCAAUAACAAACUUCUGUAAAAAAUGAGAGGGUCAAUCAUAAAAUUCACAUAAAUUGAAUAAAAUUUCAAGGGAAAAAGACAUCUACAUUUCCAAGGUUUGAAGAAACAAUGGCGAAACCCCAAAUUUUCAAAAAACGACACUAACAUGCCCAAGGUUUGGAGAAAUGGUCAUGAAGACCCCAAGUUCUCUAAAAUGGAUACUAAGACUCUUUUUUGACCAUAAUGUCAUUUGACUCUAUUAACCAAAAAAUUGACUCUAAUAUUUUAAAAUAAAUAAAAAUAUAAUAUUAAAAUAAAUUUAAUAAUAUAUACAUUUGAAAAUAAUUUCCAUAUUAAAAGAUAUUUUAAUAUUUUGCAAUCUAUUAGACAUAUUCUAGUAUAUUAAAUUAAAUUUUAUUAUAAAUAAAAAAAUAAUAUUAAAAUAAAAUGUAAUAAAAUUUGAAUUAUUUAACUUUAACAAUAUUAGUAUUUGAGAUUCUUUUUUUUAUAUUGUAAAAUGCAUUUAACCCGAAUACUUAUUUAAAAUCUCUACAAUAAAUGCAAGUAUAUUAUUAAAAUAAAUAUAAUAAUUUUAAAUAUUUAAAUUUAUUUGAAUAUUAAAAAUAUUUUAAUAUAUCAGUCUACUAGAGAGAGUAUUAUUUAUAUUUUAUUUUAUUUAUUAAAAAUUUUUAAAGUCAAUUUUUUUGUUGUUACAUUCAAAAGAUAUUAUGAUAAAAAAGAAGUCUUAUAUUGGUAUCCAUUUUCUGAAAAAACUUAAGGGUGUACAUGAUUGUUUUCCCAAAUCUUGGGGCAUAGAUAUCCUUUUUUUCAAAAUUCAAUACAAAAUUUUAAUUUUUCUCAAAAUUUAUCUUGGCUUAGGGGGAUCGAUAGGGCCACCCCAAAAGUGUAAAUGGUUCACGAUUGAAUAUUACACGCACACACAUUUUGAUUAGUCUUAACUGAUAUUGACAUCAUAAAGAAAUAUAUGUAUAUCAAAUAAGGUCUAAAAACAUAUAAAUCAAUCAUCAAUCUUAUUAGCUCAUCAUAUUAACAAUUAAGACCCAAAAUAAACUAGAAAAACAAUUUCCUAUACCAUGGAUCAACAACUUAUUAAACAAAAAUCAUCAACGUAUAUAGAGUCCAAAAUUCUCCAAAUUAAAAUUGCUAAUUGAGCUACAAACCUCAUCCGAUAAAUGGGGAAGAACCCAUAAUUGUCUUCAUUUACUUUAGAGGAAAACUGAGAAAGAGCAAAUCGUGCAGAUACUUUUGGAGUUUGAUGAAUGCCUAAGAUGUCAAGCUUGUGAUAAAUGUUGCCAACAUACUAAUUCUCAAUGAAGUAUACUUUAUUCCAUCACUUUGGCAAGACAAUAGUUUCAUUAAUUCCAACAAAACAAGUAUCAUCUUCCAGUCCUGCAACCUAAUUCCAGCAACCAUUAUGAGACUGAAAGACUCUCAACUAUAAGGCUCUUGGCGGUGCAUAAAAACUAAAAGAAUGACUAUAUGCAUGCUAUAGUUCUACACCAAUGGAUCUCGGAAUUAGUAAGAAUUUUAUAUCCAUCUUAUGUAAGUAAAAAAUCCUCCUACUUUUAGGAUCAACCUUCACAUACCAAUUCACACUUGAAGAUUAUUCUCUGCAAACUUAAAUCACCAAGAUUCCAUGCCUCAAUGUUGAAAUCCUCCAAUGAUGAUCACAUAUUCUUAAACGGUCACAUAUUCUUAGAACAACAACACGUUUCUUAUCAUUAAGCAAAGCAAUGCAAUAAACAAAUGAAGGAACACUGGGUAUUGCAUAAUUGUUACUUUUUUUACUAUUCUCGUAUGAUCAUAGAAUCCAAGAUCAAAUCUUUUUUUGAAAUCAAUAAAUGAAUCUAUGAGACUAGGCAAGUUAAUAAUAGUUUUGGCAAAAGGGUUAAAAAACUUGAUGUUAAAUUCACCAUCAAUAUACAUGAUUCUAUCCUUUGCACUUUCAACACAUUGUUUAAGAAAACAUGUUGGAUUAUCAUAUUCAUGCCCCAAUUGUUUUUUCUACUAAGCAAAAUCAACCAACAACGAAGAGUUAGAGUUUGAUGAAGAAGAAGAGCUCUCACUUAAAAUAUGAUAUGGACCGACAAUGAAAUCAUCAAGAUAUUACUUCUUCUUAUAUCUUCGAUCAACAGAAACAAUGACAUUUUAUUACAAGAUUUCUUAAUCUAAAAACCAUCUUCUUGAUGUAAACAUUAUUAUGCAAGAUACUUGGCAUGGACAUUCCAACCUAAGGUUUACUGUAGCUUUAAUCAUGUCGUCCUUUCAUUCAUUAUUAGCUUGUGCCAUUACAUUAUUCAAUCUUUCUUCUUCUUCUUCUUCUAUUGUCCUUGAACAAUUCUUGAUGAUUUUCCCUUCAUCUUUCUUGAAAACAAGUUUAAAAAAGAUUAUGAAUAAAGAUUUAUUUAAUGAGGGUUUUUGUUAUUUCUAACAACAAUGAGAGUUAUUAUAUCUGCUCUCUCCCUUCAAAUUAUGUUAUUGUUUUUUUUCAAGAACGGAGGCCUUGCUCUCUAGUUCAGGUUGGUAAUGUUAUUAGUUUUCAUUUUUUUCGAGGAAAAAACUGUACAAAUGUGUGUGAGCAUAUAUUAUUGAUAAGUAACACUAUUCAUCAAAAAAUUUAUCCAAAACUUUUCAUCCAAAGCAAUGUAAAAGAUGGCAUUGGUGUAAAGUGUGUAAAAAAUCACCUUAAAAUUUUGAGAAAAUUUUAUAUACAUCACAUCACAUAAUCUUCUCAUUUUUGCUACAAUUUUUGCAAUGAUUUCUAGACUAAGUUGCACUCUUCUUAUCACUCAAAUAGACAGUAAGAACAAUUCGAUGUACUAGUGUCAAUUUAAUUUAAGAUCAGUUAUUGAAUUGCUCAUUCAAUAAGAAUUCUUCAUGUUAUAUGCUUAAUUUGAAGACUCGAAUCUUCACUAUGUUUAUCACGAAAUUUUUGAGUCUCAAAUGUAUACUACAUAAUUUCACUACCUAAGCAUCUUAAAAGUAAAUCGGAUUCAUGAUUUAAUGUCUAUAUAAUACGAUGCACGGAAUAAUACAUGUACAAUAGAUAUGCAUGAUAAAUGAACUACUUUGAAAAAGUCCCAUAUAAAAAUUGUUAAUGAUGAUCUCAAUUUCUAAAUUAACAAUCAUUGAAUUUUAAUUUUCUUUAACAUUUUCUUUUAAUGUAUUUUUAUUUUGUCAGUUGAUGAUAGAGAUGAGAAUGGGGAGGCGAGAGGAUCGACAUCCUAUUACCCAUCCAUAAUGUUAUGUUUAAGUGUGUGUGUGUGUAACUCCUCAUGUCCCCGUUAUAAUAAUAUAAAUAUAUGAGGGGAGGGAAUGAAGAUAUUGAAGGAUACCCAAUCCUUCAAUAAUUGACAACUUUAUCUUUCAAACUUAAUAUAAUCAUAUUAUAGUAAAACCAUAAAAUAAUAUUUCUAACGCAAAAAUAUCAAAAUAAACUAAUGUCAAUUAAAACAUUGCCGUCAAACUCUGUUGAUAUCAUUGAUAUUAUAGCAUAAUCCAUAUGUGAUUUGUCCACAAUACACGAAUAUUAAAUAUAAAUGAUUGUCGAUUUAAAUAUUUCGUCAAACUAAGUUAAUAGCAUCAAUAUUACAACGUAAUUAAUAUGUGAUUCGUCCACAAACAAAAAAAAGUGUUGUUUGUCUAUAUAAUAGAACCAAUGACAAAUUUUAUUCAUGUCUUUACAGUAUUUUUAUAAAUAUUACAAUUUUUUUUUGUUUACAAACAUAUUAAUAUAUUUUAAAUGUAUUUUAUUAAAAAUUAUGGAAAAAUAUAAUAAAAGUUAAAAGGAUUUGGAUCAUUUCUUUUUAAUCUUAUUUUUUCUAAGAUUAAUUUUGUAGGAGAUUAUAAUAUUUGUCACUUACAUAUAAAAUUUUCCAUUUUAAACCCAAAACACAUCGUUUAGUAACUAAUAACUAUAAUCCUAAAACUAAUGGGAGUUUAAUUUUAACGUUCGACUUCUUUUUUGUCCACUUUCUUUACACGUUAUAUAGCCUCUUUCAUCUCUCACUGCUUCUUCAAAACCAGAAACUUAGGGUGCGAUUGGAAUUGAGGUGUUGUAUUUUAAAAGUUAUAGUUGCUGUGGAAAAAAAAAACUGUAACUAUAAAACAAAAGUAAAUAAUAUGUAGUAAAUAUAAAAUUUAAACAAUAAUUUUAACAAAAUUAUUAAAGAUAUAAUAGAUUCUCCAUUAUACAAGUAAAAAAUCAUAUCAAUAUAGUUUUUAAGUUACAACAGUUAGUGUUUAUCAAACACUUUAUUGCUGUAACUUUUAAGUUACAGCUGUCCAACCUCAAUCCCGAACGCACUCUUAAUUUGAUAAUGAAAAAUUCCACUAAUUAAAAAAAAUGGCUGGUUAAUUUAAUUUAAUUUUUUUUUUUCAAUUUUGGAACUCUCUUGUUUCGCAUCUCAGUUCCCUUCUGUUGGAGAAUUUAUGAACCGUAGGAUUUCAACAAUGAAAAGAAAACAGAAAAAAGGAGGGGAAAGUAAUCCUAGAUAACUAUAAUUCAAAUAAAUGUUGAGUGUUAGAAAAUGCAUAUUUAUAAAGGAGAAAACCGUCAUUUUACAUUUUAAGUCUUACUAACAACCCUUACUUUUAUAUAUUUAACCUUCUUGUGAUUUAAUUACAUGUGUUUUAUUUUAAUUAAGUAUUUUAUGUAUUUUAGGGGCAUUAUAGUCAUUUCACAAUAAAGGAGAGAUCAGACGGCAAAACGGACAUCACUUUUGAACUCAGGACGGUCGAAAACCUUAGGAGGAGCAUAAAAGGAAAAAUGGCACUAUUCACAUGUACGGUACUAUUCACGUGUACGGUACUGUAUACGUUACUGUUCACGACACUGUUCAUAUAGACGGAUGAUGACGUGGCAUUGACCGAUGAUGUGGCAUUGACUGAUGAGGUGUCACGAUCCUGUUGGACUAAAAUUCUUAUGUACUGUUGAUGGUGACGUGGCAGCAUAUCAGUGGACGAAAAAUCUCGCGUACGGUGCAUGCAUCACACAGGAUUAUUUUCAUCCAAACCGCGUUACUGUUCAUCCGGGUCAAACCGCGUUACUGUUCAAAGUCGGGUCAAACCGUGUUACUGUUCAUCCGCGUGGUCAAACCGUGGACUGUUGACUGAUGACGUGGCGCAAUCCUGAGCGUCCAAACUGUUUUUAAUCCGAUGGCCAUGAUUUACUCCAUGUAUCUAUAAAAAGGGGGCCUCCCCCCCCUAAUUUGAGAUCUCUGAAUCCAUUUUUGGGAUCCAUUUUCUGUAAUUCCCUCUCCAUCUUGUAUUUUCUUCGUAUUUUAAUAAAUUCCCAUUUUGCCCCUAGUUCAACUAUGAGUGGCUAAUUUUCUUUCAAGCUUGGGUUGAAGGUGAAGUCUCAACAUGUGUCAUGGGCUUAAUUUGGUAAAUUUAUUUUCUCUUCCCCUCUAAUUUUUGUGGAUGUUUUGACUUCUCGUCGACAAAUAAUAAUAGUCUUGUCUAGAUACCGCCUUGGUUACACCGGCUCUCUAGUAUAAGGUUAUUAUUAUUUGGCACGAUAAGCCCUUAGCACCAUAUUGAUUAGAGCGUGGUUCAUGAGGUGUGGAUUCCCCCCUCAUGAUUUAAUUGGCAUUAAUACGGAUUAUUUAGCCCAUGAUGCAUGUUGAUACGGAUCCGGAUACCCAAGUGCGUCAUUUCAAUAGAAUUCUCUUCAAUUUCUUCUCGCCAUUUCAAUACCAAUUUUAGAAUUUAUUCUCGCCAUUUUAAUUUAAGUUGUAGCAUAUUUCAAAUCAUUUCCACCAUAAUUCCAACCACCCAUUUACAAAAUUAAUUCUAUAUAUAAUUAAAAUCCACCUCCUCGUGGGAUCGACACUCGUCACCAUUGAUCUACACUACAAUAGAUUCGUGCGCUUGCGAGUACAUUAAAAUUUGCACAACAAGUUUUUGGCGCCGUUGCCGGGGAGGUAAGUAAUUUUAAUUCAUAGAAUUAAUUUUUGUGAAUAAUUUCUUUUAUUUGUUUUCUUGUAUUUUUUUUAUUAUUAAAAAAAAAAGAAAAAGAAAAAAAAAGUGAAUCUACAUUUAAAGGUUAGUAUUUCUUUUCUUUUUCUCUUCUUUAAAAUUCUGUAAUUUAUUUUUCAAUUUAUUUUUCUUUGUAAUUUUUUUUUUGUUUAUCUUAUUAAUUUAUUUUUAGUUAAUUUAUUUCACGUAUUUGUUUUUGUGUAUUUUUAUAGAAAGGUUUUAAUAGCGCAAUAAGGUUAGUAUCGUAAUUUCUCCCUCUUCUUUAUUUUUAUUUGUUUUGUUCCCAUCUUUAUUUUUUGUUUUGUUUGCAUCUUUAUUUUUAUUUUAUUUAUUUUGCAUGCAUGGUCGUAGGUCAUUAUUACCUAAUCUUGAACCUAUAGACCUUGAAUUAGAAAAAACACUUCGCACACACAAACACGUUAAAAAUAAAAUGGAUUUACAAGCACCACAGGAGAGGCCAUUUAAGGACUAUUUUAGUCCCUUAGCUAAUUUGAGCACGUCAUGCAUAAGAUACCCAAAUGUAGCUGCUAGGAGUUUUGAAUUAAAACCUAGUGUGUUAAAUUGUCUCCCUACAUUUUAUGGCCUAGAAAAUGAGGAUCCAUAUAAUCAUUUGAAUGAUUUUCAUGCCAUUUGUCAAACAUUCAAAUAUGAGAAUUUUUCAGAUGAUGAUGUUAAACUUAGACUAUUCCCAUUUUCUUUAAAAGAUAGAGCUCGUUCAUGGCUUAAUACAUUGCCUGCUAAUAGCAUUGCAUCAUGGGAACAAAUGGUUACAAAAUUUUUAAAUAAAUAUUUCCCAGUGCAUAAAACCAAUGCUAUUCGCAGGGAAAUCUCGGAGUUUACCCAGAAAGAUGACGAGCAAUUUUUCGAAACAUGGGAGCGAUUCAAUGGGCUACUCUUGAAGUGUCCACAUCAUGGGUACGAGAAAUGGCACCAAUGCCAAUACUUUUUGGAGGGAUUAUUGCCGAAUGUGCAAGAAUGGCUAAUGGCAACAAGUGGAGGAGAGCUAAUGUUAAAAAGUGCAUCAGAGAUUUGGGAAUUCUUCCAGCGACAAGCAGAUAAUUCCCAACAACGGAGUCGAUCACUCAGGACUACUAGAAGAAUUAAAGGAGUGAAUGAGGUUCAAAUUGGCGAAUCAACUUCAGGAAUAAAAGAAGUCAAGGAGAUGGUUGAAGGUCUUGCUCGACAAAUAGCAUCGUUAUCGACUGCUAAAUCAACUGAACCACAUGACCUUGACUCAUACUCAGAUCAAGCCAAUGCCAUAGGUAUAAUGAGAAAACCAUCAAAUUACAACCCAUACUCCAACACAUAUAAUCCUGGAUGGAGAGAUCACCCUAAUUUUUCAUGGUCUCAAGGAUUCCAACAGAAUGGACCAGCAGCUCCAGCUCCACCAAUGCAACAAAUUCCUCAAGUUCCUCAAGCCUCUCAGCCACCAUUUAGACCAUACAAUCAGAACAAGAAUUACUCUCAGCCCAGACCAUGGGAGGAUUCAUUCCAGAAUCUUAAGAAUCUUACUCACUCUACGAUUGAGCAACAGAACCGCACCAUUGAUGGACUACGAAAUGAGUUGAGAGCAGGCUUCAACUCACAAGCUCAAUCGGUUUCAAGCCUCGAGAAGAUGGUGGGACAACUUGCUUCUUCAGUUCAAACCUUGGCAAUGACCGUUGAGAAAGGUAAGUUUCCAAGUCAACCAGUGCCUAAUCCUAAAGGAGUACAUGAAGCAAGUACCAGUUCACCACAACAGCAUGGAGAGGUCAAAGCAGUAAUGACCUUGCGAAAAGGAAAAGAAGUCGACAACAAGGUGGAGAUGCCAGUGACAAAAGAAAAUCAAAUUGUACCUGUGAAUGUUGAGGACUCAUCACCGGAGGAAAAAGAAGAAACCAACCCACAAGAAUACAUUCCGAAAGCUCCAUUUCCUCAGAGGUUAGCGAAAGGCAAGAAGGGAAAAUCCACAGGUGAGAUUCUUGAAAUCUUCAAACAGGUAAGUGUUAACAUCCCUUUGCUUGAUGCUAUUAAACAAGUUCCAUCUUAUGCCAAGUUUCUUAAAGACCUUUGUACUAAAAAGAGAAAUAUGCAUGUUCAAAAGAAGGCAUUUUUAACAGAAAACGUUAGUUCUAUACUCCAACAUAAAAUUCCUUUAAAAUGCAAAGACCCAGGCUCCCCCACUAUCUCAUGUAGUAUAGGGAACCACACAAUUGAGAAUGCUUUGUUGGAUUUAGGAGCUAGUGUAAAUUUAUUGCCUUACUCUGUGUUCGUGAAACUUGGACUUGGAGAAUUACACCCAACUCCAGUGGUGUUACAACUUGCAGAUCGGUCCACAAAAAUAUCUCGUGGUAUUGUGGAGGACGUGCUUAUCCAGGUAGACAAAUUUUAUUUUCCUGUUGACUUCAUUGUAAUUGACACUCAACCAAUACAGGAUUCAAGGAAGCACAUCCCCAUUAUUCUAGGCCGACCUUUCUUGGCAACUGCGGAUGCUCACAUUCAAUGCAGGACCGGAAAUAUGCAGUUGUCCUUCGGCAACAUGACUAUGGAACUGAACAUCUUCAACAUUGCCAAACAACCUCACAGUGCAGAUGAUGGAAUUGUUGAUGUGGAUUUAAUAGAAACAAUAGUUGAUAAUACUUUUCUUUCAAACCUUAGUGAUGAUCCUUUACAGACAUGCUUAACUCACUUUGGUUUUGAUUUUGAUAUUGACAGAUCAGUUGAUGAGGUCAACGCCCUGCUUGACUCAGCACCAUCUAUGGACACUAAUAAAUGGAAGUCAAGAGUUGAGCAACUAGCACCAUCAGAGAAGCAACUCAUUCCAUCAUCAGAAUCACCACCGAAACUCGAGCUCAAACCAUUGCCCAACACUUUGGAAUAUGCGUUUUUGGGAGAAGAAAGUACUCUGCCGGUAAUCAUCUCAUCAUCCCUAAAUGACGAACAAAAAGGUAAGUUGUUGGAUGUUUUAAAAGAGCACAAAGAAGCAUUAGGAUGGACCAUAGCAGAUAUUAAAGGUAUAAACCCAGUAGAUUGCAUGCAUUACAUUCACCUUGAUGAAAAUGCUAAAACUACUAGGGAGAUGCAACGUCGGUUAAAUCCUAACAUGAAAGAAGUUGUUAGAACUGAGGUCCUUAAGCUAUUAGAUGCAGGUAUCAUUUACCCCAUUUCUGAUAGUUCAUGGGUCAGUCCUGUGCAAGUUGUCCCCAAAAAGUCAGGAAUCACAGUAGUUACGAAUGCUGAUAAUGAAUUGAUACCCACUAGAGUAACUACAGGAUGGCGUGUAUGUAUUGAUUAUAGGAAGUUGAAUUCUGUCACACGUAAAGACCAUUUUCCUUUACCAUUUAUUGAUCAAAUGCUUGAUAGAUUAGCAGGCCAUGAAUUUUAUUGCUUUCUAGAUGGUUACUCAGGAUAUAAUCAGAUUCCCAUAGCACCAAAAGAUCAAGAGAAAACUACUUUCACUUGCCCUUUUGGCACAUUUGCAUAUAGGAGAAUGCCAUUUGGAUUAUGUAAUGCACCUGCUACAUUUCAACGAUGCAUGUUGAGCAUUUUUUCUGAUAUGGUUGAACGAUUCCUUGAAGUCUUUAUGGAUGACUUUUCUGUCUUUGGUGACUCGUUUGAUCAAUGUUUACAUCAUCUAACACUAGUUCUGCAGAGAUGUAUCGAGAAGAACUUGGUCUUAAAUUGGGAGAAAUGCCAUUUUAUGGUAAAACAAGGUAUUGUUCUCGGUCACAUCAUUUCGAGCAAAGGUAUUGAGGUUGACAAAGCCAAGGUGGAUCUCAUUUCUAAUCUUCCUCCACCCAAAACAGUCAGAGAAGUAAGAUCUUUCCUUGGGCAUGCUGGUUUCUAUAGACGUUUCAUUAAAGAUUUUAGCAAAGUUUCUAGACCCUUAUGCAAUUUACUUGCUAAGGAUGUACCUUUUAUCUUUAAUGAUUCAUGUCUUAUGGCGUUUGAAAAAUUAAAACAGUUGUUGACAUCAUCACCCAUCAUUCAGGCCCCAAACUGGAACUUACCAUUUGAGCUACAUGUGUGAUGCAUCUGAUUAUGCAGUAGGAGCAGUAUUAGGACNNNNNNNNNNNNNNNNNNNNNNNNNNNNNNNNNNNNNNNNNNNNNNNNNNNNNNNNNNNNNNNNNNNNNNNNNNNNNNNNNNNNNNNNNNNNNNNNNNNNACUUGGAAUUCAAAGAUAAGAAAGGGUCAGAAAAUGUGGUGGCGGACCACCUCUCUCAUCUCCAUUUUGACACAAUAAUAGAACAAUUACCAUUAAAUGAGUCAUUUCCAGAUGAACAAUUAAUGAGUGUGGAAGUAUUACCUUGGUAUGCUGAUAUAGUUAAUUAUCUUGUUACAGGUAAACUUCCAGAGCAUUGGACCAAGCAAGACAAGGCUAAAUUCUUUGCAGAGAUAAAGAAUUUCUUUUGGGAUGACCCGUAUUUGUUCAAGUAUUGUGCGGAUCAAAUUGUUAGACGAUGUGUCCCAGAAAGUGAAAUUCAGAAUAUCCUUUCAUUCUGCCAUGAACAAGCUUGUGGAGGCCAUUUCAGUGCUAAGAAGACAGCGACUAAAGUUUUACAAUGUGGUUUCUAUUGGCCAUCUAUAUUUCGAGACGCUUACACUUUCUGUUCUUCAUGUGAUAGGUGUCAACGAAUGGGGAGCAUUACACGAAGGAACAUGAUGCCACUAAAUCCAAUUUUAGUGGUUGAGAUUUUUGACGUAUGGGGUAUCGACUUCAUGGGACCCUUUCCCCCUUCUUUUGGCCAUCAAUACAUAUUGGUUGGUGUUGACUACGUCUCAAAAUGGGUAGAAGCAAUUCCAUGUAGAACCAAUGAUCACAAGGUGGUGAUAGGAUUUUUGAAAAACAACAUUGUCUCACGCUUUGGAUUCCCUCGAGCAAUAAUCAGUGAUGGUGGUGCCCACUUUUGUAACAAAGCAUUCAAAGCACUUUUGACAAAGUAUUCAAUCACACACAAAGUGGCAACCCCGUAUCAUCCGCAAACCAGUGGCCAAGUUGAGAUCUCCAAUCGAGAAAUAAAGCACAUAUUAGAAAAAACGGUGAGGCCAGACAGAAAAGAUUGGUCAUUAAGACUUGAUGAUGCAUUAUGGGCAUAUAGAACGGCUUUCAAGACCCCGAUUGGGAUGUCACCCUACAGGCUAGUGUAUGGAAAAGCUUGCCACCUACCUGUGGAACUCGAGCAUCGUGCAUAUUGGGCCAUCAAGAAAUUCAAUUUUGACAUGCAGCAAGCCAGCUCAGAAAGAAGAUUACAGCUGGCAGAACUUGAAGAAAUUCGCAAUGAUGCAUACGAAAACGCCAAGAUUUACAAGCAACGAAUGAAAGUCUUCCAUGAUAAGCAAAUUAUGAGAAAAUCGUUCACUCCAGGUCAGAAAGUGCUUUUAUUCAAUUCUCGCUUGCACCUAUUCCCAGGUAAGUUACGCUCUCGUUGGUCUGGCCCAUUUAUUGUUCAUACUGUUUUUCCACAUGGGGCAAUUGAAAUUAAAGACCCAAAGAAUGGUGUCACGUUUAAAGUUAAUGGUCAAAGAUUAAAGCCAUAUCUAGAGUACCAACCACAUGAAGAAGACACCGAAAUAAAUUUGAGUGACCCACCAAAUUUGAAUUGAUUUUUUUUUCUCUUCAUUGAUUUGAUUUUUCUUUUUUUCUUUUUAUUAUUAUUCUUUUGCUAAUUGAAAUUGUUUUUGCAUAAGUGUGUUUAUUUUACCAUUAAGUUUUCUCUUAUCAUUUUUAAUCAUGAGUCUCAUACUUAGACCGUUCCUCCUGAACAUUCUUAAACCACUUCAACGUGUCAAAACUCAUCUCAAAAGACAGAUUCAAUUUUGUAAAACACAUCGCAUUUGGGCUCUACAACCACCAGAGUUAGUAGCCUAUGUUGAGGGUUUAGAACACCAACUCAGAGACAUUGAGAGAAGUGUUUACGACAUCCAGUUGGAGCUUGAGGUAAAUUCAAUAAGAGGACGAUUUUAAUUUUCUUUGUGUGUUUUAAUUUGUUUUUCUAUUUGUGUGCUUUAGUUUGUUACCCCGGUGAAGUGGCGGAUAACGGUACUCCGUGACAAUCAAGUCGGUUACUUCAGUUUCCCAUAAUAACUGAUAUUCUGAGGCGAAGGUAUGGACAGAAACGAGAUUCUAGCGAAGCUUCACAAGCGAUUCCCUUCACUUCCUCAGAAUGCCCUCCUUACGAUCUAUAAAGCUCGGUCCGAACGCAUGCGAUUACUCAUGAGGAAUAACAUACCUGCUGACAUCCGUUGGUUAAUCGAGGCUAAAGUACGAUCGGCAGGUGAGUUAACUCCAAAAUUUAUUGCAUACAUGCCUGGUUGUGGUAAAGGAAAUUAUGCAAGAAAACGACGAGCUCGAAGAAUUUCUAUUGCUUGUCAUAAGUGUGCCAGAAUGAGUUGCAAUAAAAACCCAUGUUCUUUAGGAAUGGUGUCUGAUAACAGGGAAGAUAAGAUUCAAUUCAUUAGGGAUGGCUUGAAUAAGGAGUCAUUGGAUGAUAUCCUUUUGUCUCUUGAAACGCAUCCCAGUGGAUAUGUGCAAGGAGCGAUUCUCCAGUUAUGGCCAUUAUUCCAGAAAGAGCAUGCACGAUAUAGUCUCGGGAAUCUGACUAUAAACGACCCUGUUUGCCAGUUUAUAAGAGAACUGGAUAGGAAGCCUAUCCUCGACCCAUAGAGGGGGUUCAAGCCGUUUCUGGACGUAAAACCAGAGGAAGAUGUGAGCCACAGUCGCAACUACCUGUAAAUAUCCUUUUACUUUAUUGUUAUUUUAUUUCACUAUUGUCUUAUUGUUUGCAUUAUUGUCUUUAAUAAUUUUAUUACUGUUUGCUUUUUCCUUUUUACUGUUUUCUUUUUGACUUGCGAGCACGUGCUUUACGCGUUAUUUGACACUGACAUAUUACCUCAUACACAACCAUGACCCACUAUCACCAAGACUCUUAAAUGUGAUUUCUUUUUUGUCAAGCACUCACAAAUUGUUUUUGAGAAGUAUCACAAUGUCAGCUACUCCCAAUAGACAAUUCAAGAACAUUUGUGUGCUUUCUGGAUUUACCUAUGGCAAACAUAAAGAGUUCGUUGAGGCAGCCAUAGAUCUUGGUCGAAGCAUAGCAGCGAGAAAAUUACACUUGGUGUAUGGAGGAGGUAAUCGAGGGUUAUCAAAAAUGGUCUCAGAAGCAGCUUUUAUCAGAGGAAGUCAAGUGUUAGGCAUCAUCCCACGAGUCCUAAAACCAUUGGGCAGUUCGUCUGACUCAUCAACUGGAGAAGAGUUAGUCGUCUCAGGUAUGCAAGAAAGAAUAACUGAAAUGCUUAAUCAUGCUGAUGCUUUUAUUUUCCUUCCAGGAGAUCUUGCAACACUAGAGGCACUUAUCACGCUAGCAUCUUGGGCCCAUCUGCACAUCCACCAGAAACCCAUCGGUUUGUUAAAUGUCAAUAACUUUUAUGAUGGCUUUAUCGCAUUUCUUAACCAUGCAAUAAAAAACUAUUUCAUUCCCUCUAAUGCGAAAAAACUCUUUAUUUGUGCUCACACUGCUAAUGAGCUACUUGAUAUGUUACAAGCUUAUCGACCGGAGCCAGACCCCUGGACCUUUGUGUUGGAGCGUCCAAAUAAUGAUGGUAACAGUAGCCGCAGUAAGAAGUACAAAUUAGAUUUAACUCUCCGCCUGUAAAUAUUUUCUUCUGUGUUGCACCACCCAGGUGAUGUCUUCUAAACUCUACUUCUUUCAUUUCAAACAUUGAGGACAAUGUUUCGUUCUGGUUGGGGGGAGGGAAUAGUCGACAAUUGUGGAAUUUUGGUUAAGUUUUUACUAAUUUUUUGUUGUAGAAACUAACUGUUGCUAACUUUUUGUGUUGAAGAUGGCUGAAUAUGGAGUGUAGUUACUCUAGAAACGCAUCUUCAUUGUUUAAAAAAAAAAAUUCAAAAAAAAAAAAAACAAUUCAGACAUUUUCUUUUUCUUUAUUAUGUGUUUAUGUUUAUUUUUCUUCUUUAAUUUCUCCUCUAUAAAUAUACAUUUUCCAACUUUUGAGUCGAAGAUGGCUGAAUAUGAAGUGUAGUUCCUCUAGAAACGCAUCUUCUUUUAAAAAAAAAAAAAUCAUUUUCGUUUUCUAUCAUUUUACGUGUAACUUUUCUAAUUAGUUUUUAUGCAUCAUUUUCACAUUUCUGCAUGCAUAUUUUCCUUUCAUGUUUAGAAUAGGUUGGGGGGUAGAAUGAUGUUUAAAAAAAAAAAAAUUGUGUGAUUUGUUUUAACAUUGGAUGACAUGAUUAAUUUCAAAUUUUAGUAUUUGUAUUAUCUUUGGUCUUAAGUGAUGUUACGCUAUGUUUGCUACUUUACAUGUUGAUGUCGGAGACAAAUGUGAGUUGCUUGAAGGAAUGAACAUGUCAUAAUAAGUACCAAGUGAGUUUUUGAGCCUAUUAUUUUUCUUGGAGAAUAACCCUUUUGCCCACUCUUUAUACAGCUUAGCAGUUUAUUAUUUUAUACACGAUCUCUAAAUUACUUUUGAGUUAACCCUUAAAAAAAAAUUGUAAAAUAAAAAAAAAAGAGAAAAAAGAAAAAGAAAAAAGAGUGUGUUGCUACAUUUGGAGGCCCAUCUAACUAGUAGAUAUGGAAAAUUAUUUAGAGCCCUAAAAGACGAUGGAGAGGCCAUCUUUGAUCCGUUUGAGCCUUUCAAGCCAUCCCUUUUAUUUAAUAUCCAUAGUUAACCCUUUUGAGCCUUUAAAAAAAAAAAAAACAUUUUCUUUGUCAACUUAUCAUCUUGACCCACUCCGAUUUGGAGUAUUACCUGAUAUCUUAUAAGUUCCAUCACCUAUGUAUGUUUGAGAAAAUGUAAAUAAUUAUUUUGUUCAGUGAAGUUAUGCCAAAUAAAAGCAAAAAAAAAAAAACAAAAAAAAAACAAAAACAAAAACAAAAGUUGUUGUUUCAAAAGAAUAAAAAUAGGUGAAAUCCACCUUGCAACUUCAAAAAAAAAAAAAAAAAUUCUCUGUAUUUUUCUCAAACAUACACUUUGUUUUCCUUAUUUUCCUUCUUUGUUAGCCAUGUCCCUAGCCUACGUUUCGUCCUAAUAAAAGUCCUUCUUGAUUUUAGGGAACUAUAGUUUGAAGUAGAAGCUAGUUAUAUGGGCUAAAAAGAUGUAGUGAUGCAUAAUUAAAAAAAAAAAAAGAUAAAUAAAGUGGGUUGACUAACAUUUUAUUUGACUUGAGAUCGUAUUAUUUCUAAGCUGAGGGCAUAUUUAUUUCAUCUUGGUGAGAGCAUGUGAUAUCACUUCUUUAUUAUUUUCUCUCUCAAUUACCAUUCAUUGGAGUGACUAUUUUUAUUGGGAUUAAUUUAUUUGUGAGAGUGUCACUACUUCCAGUGAGAUUUUGGGGUUUGACAUGUCAUUCUUGAGAGUAGCUAAAACAAAGUCUACUGGGCUAAUUCAUGUGGAUGGUUGAUGUGGGUGUGAUGUUGCUUUAGACUGGAGAUAAUGCUUAUACUUUUAUUUGAUUGCUAUCAUUAAUCUGAUGGAAUAAAUACGAGUGUUUCUAUUAAAACAAAAAAAAAAUUAUUUUGAAUUUGAAUUUUGUUUUCGCUUUAUUUGCUAGGGACUAGCAAUAAGCUGGUUGGGGGGUGUGUUGAGUGUUAGAAAAUGCAUAUUUAUAAAGGAGAAAACCGUCAUUUUACAUUUUAAGUCUUACUAACAACCCUUACUUUUAUAUAUUUAACCUUCUUGUGAUUUAAUUACAUGUGUUUUAUUUUAAUUAAGUAUUUUAUGUAUUUUAGGGGCAUUAUAGUCAUUUCACAAUAAAGAAGAGAUCAGACGGCAAAACGGACAUCACUUUUGAACUCAGGACGGUCGAAAACCUUAGGAGGAGCAUAAAAGGAAAAAUGGCACUAUUCACAUGUACGGUACUAUUCACGUGUACGGUACUGUGUACGGUACUGUAUACGUUACUGUUCACGACACUGUUCACAUAGACGGAUGAUGACGUGGCAUUGACCGAUGAUGUGGCAUUGACUGAUGAGGUGUCACGAUCCUGUUGGACUAAAAUUCUUAUGUACUGUUGAUGGUGACGUGGCAGCAUAUCAGUGGACGAAAAAUCUCGCGUACGGUGCAUGCAUCACACAGGAUUAUUUUCAUCCAAACCGCGUUACUGUUCAUCCGGGUCAAACCGCGUUACUGUUCAAAGUCGGGUCAAACCGUGUUACUGUUCAUCCGCGUGGUCAAACCGUGGACUGUUGACUGAUGACGUGGCGCAAUCCUGAGCGUCCAAACUGUUUUUAAUCCGAUGGCCAUGAUUUACUCCAUGUAUCUAUAAAAAGGGGGCCUCCCCCCCCUAAUUUGAGAUCUCUGAAUCCAUUUUUGGGAUCCAUUUUCUGUAAUUCCCUCUCCAUCUUGUAUUUUCUUCGUAUUUUAAUAAAUUCCUAUUUUGCCCCUAGUUCAACUAUGAGUGGCUAAUUUUCUUUCAAGCUUGGGUUGAAGGUGAAGUCUCAACAUGUGUCAUGGGCUUAAUUUGGUAAAUUUAUUUUCUCUUCCCCUCUAAUUUUUGUGGAUGUUUUGACUUCUCGUCGACAAAUAAUAAUAGUCUUGUCUAGAUACCGCCUUGGUUACACCGGCUCUCUAGUAUAAGGUUAUUAUUAUUUGGCACGAUAAGCCCUUAGCACCAUAUUGAUUAGAGCGUGGUUCAUGAGGUGUGGAUUCCCCCCUCAUGAUUUAAUUGGCAUUAAUACGGAUUAUUUAGCCCAUGAUGCAUGUUGAUACGGAUCCGGAUACCCAAGUGCGUCAUUUCAAUAGAAUUCUCUUCAAUUUCUUCUCGCCAUUUCAAUACCAAUUUUAGAAUUUAUUCUUGCCAUUUUAAUUUAAGUUGUAGCAUAUUUCAAAUCAUUUCCACCAUAAUUCCAACCACCCAUUUACAAAAUUAAUUCUAUAUAUAAUUAAAAUCCACCUCCUCGUGGGAUCGACACUCGUCACCGUUGAUCUACACUACAAUAGAUUCGUGCGCUUGCGAGUACAUUAAAAUUUGCACAACAAUAAACAAGAGCAAACUUCUAUUUAUAUUGAACUUAUAUGUAUAACCAUAUUCCAAUGAGAAUUUUAUAUUUUCAAAAUUGAUUUAAUUUUGAUAUUUCUUUCAAAAUUGUUUUAAUUGUGAUCAUUGUACUGAAAUCAAAUACAAAAUAAGAAAAGAGUGGUUUAAAUAAUAAUGGCACGGGAGUGUUUACAUGUGUGAAGAAGAAAUAGGAGAUUAAGAUGGUAGACAAGGAAAAGAGAAGAGAUGACAUAAUUUAGGGUUAACAUCUAAUAGUUGCUAAUUAUUCUAUUUUAGUUAUUCAUUAAAUUGAUAUAUGGCGUUUAGGAAGAAAAAAUUAAAAGUAAAUUAAAUCUUACCCCUAGAUACACUUAAAUGGCAAGUGUCGUAAUCUCCCAUUAAUCUUGGGAAAAAUUAGAUUAGAAAUAGAAGUAAAAACAAUGAAAAUGGAGAGGAGAUAAAGAUUUCACCUGGUUCCCAUCAUUUCUUCGAAUAAAAAAUAAAUAUUAGAUUGUAAUUAUCCCCUGAUUGAAUAAAAAAUUAGAUAUCAAAUUAUACCCAUCUACUCCCCAAAUGAAAAUAAUCCCCAAAGAUCCCAUCCCCUUAGUAAUUUUUGACAUCCCUAAUUGGUGGUUUGCCCCAUGAUACAUGUAUCCUUGACAAAAAUAAAUAAAUAGAUGACAUGCUAGUCAUGUCGUCAGGCUAUAUUACAUAAGUUUGUUGGUGAAAAGCACAUGCACGAAUUAAAUCGGUUAGCUCAAAACAACAUACUCAAAUAUGUAAUUGAAAAACAUAACAUGAUUUUCUCCAUAGACUUUAUUAUUUCAAAAUUUACAUUGCAAUAAUAAUUUGGGUUCUAUUAAUUUGAAUUAGUUUUACGGUAGAAACACUGACGAUGACUGCAUAGUCAUAAAAAUAAAUAUUACAUAUAUAUUUAUUAUUAUGAUUUAAUGGUUAACAUACUUAUUCAACUAAAAGUACUGGUCCAAUUUAAUUACAGCUUAAUAUUUUAUAAGAAAUCUUUAAAUUACAUUUAAUAUAUCUUACAUUCACAUACAUAAACAGUAUAUAGUGUAAAGCCUACUGUUAACUUUACAUUUGCCUAUUUUAUAUAACUUACAUUCAAGUUACAAGUUUUACUUUUACACUUGAGGCACAAAAUUUUAAGUUUUCAAUCAUUGCUUAAGGGUGCGUUUGGAAUUGAGGUUGGGCAGCUGUAGCUUAAAAGUUACAGUACUAAAGUGUUUGGUAAACACUAACUGUUGUAGCUUUUAAGCUAUGUUGAUAUGAUUUUUCACUUGUAUAAUAUAAAAUUUAUUAUAUCUUUAAUAUUUUUAUCAAAAUUAUUAUUUAAAAUUUAUAUAUAUUAUAUAUUAUUAACUUUUAUUUCAUAAUUACAACUUUUUUUUCACAGCAACUGUAACUUAAAAUCUACAGUACUUCAAUCCCAAACGCACCCUAAGUGGUAAAGACCUAAAAGGGUAACAUUGUCCAAAACCUUUGUUUACAGUUUCCUCCAAUGGUAGGCAUUUAUAUUGGUCAUAAUUUUGAUGUUUUGUGAAGAAAGAAUAAUAAACUCCAAAAUGUAACACAGACUUCAAUACAAGCCCCCGUUUUAUUCAAUUUUAAAAAACAAUUAUAAUUACCCUAUAGCCCCGAAGUGGGUCCCUCUAAAUGGACAAAUAAGAAAUAACAUAACACAAACCCUUAAUAAAAACCUUUUAAAAAAAAUUAACAAAUAAUAAUAAUAUUAUUAUUAUUGUUAUAACUUGGCAAUUUUCCCCAACUCGCUAUCUUUAUAUGCACACAAAUCUCUAACCCAAAUUCAAACCCAAAAUUGUCUCUUGCCUCUCUCUUUCUCUUUCUCUUUCUCUUUCCUUUUUCUCUUCUGGGUCUCUUCUGUUUUCUGUUGUCUAAUUACAAAUUCAAUUCAAUUAAUUCAAACAGAUAAUGAAAAGCAAAACACGUUAAAAAAGAAGCCCUUUUUUCCCCCCAAAUCGGAAAACGGACGAAAACCCUAACUGAGGCUUCUAUCGUCAAAGCUUCUUUUUCUGUUCCAAUUUAACUCUUUUUGUUCAAUACUCGAAACCCAUUUGCUAGAAUUUGAAGAUAAUUGUUGAGAAAUUAGUUAAUUUUGCUUGCUAUGGAAGCGAUACCGCACCCUAUACCUAGAACUGUAGAGGAGGUUUUCAGCGAUUUUAAGGGCAGACGGGCUGGCUUGAUUAAGGCUUUAACAGCUGGUAAUGGCUUAAUAUUUUCUUCUCUUUUUAUUUGAACUAAAUUAAUGGGUUUGUUCUAUUUGAGCUUAUGAUUAUUUUUUUCUUGUUAAUUUUAAUUUUAAUUUUCUGGGUUGUUGCAGAUGUUGAGAAGUUCUACCAGCAGUGCGAUCCUGGUGGGUUUUUCUUUUCCAUACCUAUUUUUUGUUUAUUUAAUUGUAAUUGGACUUUUUUUUCCUUCUUUUUUUUUCUAUAUUUUUGUAUUAUAUUGACUGAAUGACUAGGUAUUUAAUAAUCAGUACGUGUUAUUUAUAGCUCUGUUUCAUGUAUAAGAGAGGCAAAUUAUGUUAUAGAAACCAACUCGUUUAUUCAUUUAUUUUUUUCAGUUGGAAGAAUUUUAAUGGAGACAAUGUCUGUGAUAUGAAUUAACUAAGUUCAUGCUUGUCUUGAGUGUUUUGAGAUUGUACAAAGUCCAUGAUUUGUCUUUAAUUAAAGAUGAAAUGCUUGUUUUAAGGUAGUUUUGCUUGUCAUAGCACUCGGAGGCUUACAUUUUUUUUUUUUGAUCACUUACACGGUUAGUUUCUGUUUUAUUCAUAAAUUUCUGUGCUUCCUCACUUGCGUCGUCAUUAACUCCUUCCAUGAUGUUUUCUUCUGUAAACGCACUUAUGUUUGCCUUUCACUAGUUUGAAGGACAUUUUUCAUUGAAAGAUCCAAAUGAAUUGAAAUUGCUGCUAUAAUGUAUUUGCUUUGCUGCUGAAGCAGGUCUGUGUAAAUAAACUAGAAAAGUCUUAAAGUGUUGUUGUACCCAUAUACUUCAGUCCAGCUGGCUUCCUAGCUGCAGAAAAUCUCAAGCUUUUUCAUUCUUGACUGUCAGGUUCUUGUGUUUAUUAUAUUGGUUGGAAGCAGAUGGUUAGUUCAGUGUGAAUUCUUGGCAUUUGGUUAUGUGGAAGUUCUGGACAUUUGUUGAUGAUUUAUUUGUUUGCAUGAUCGAUUUUCAAAAUAAUUCAUUUGGCUGCAUAAUUGUUGAAAAAUCCAAAAUUCUAGUGGUAUUUAUUUAUUUAUUUUUGGAUUGAUGCAGCUAUGUUUGUUGGAAGUGUGUUGUUAUCUUCUGUUGAGUCCUUGGCAUUAAUGUUUUAUGUAGUCAUCCAUAUUUUUUUCUUGAGUUAUGUGGUAUCUGUUAUCAUAUUAAUUUUGAUUGUCUUUUUCUCAAGUCAUUUUGUAUAAAUUUUAUUGUUUCUUUUAGUAGGCAUCGAUAUUUUCACUUUAGCCUUCCUACUUUCAUAUAUCUGCUGGAGUGGAAAGAUUGAAAGAUUAGUUUGGUUCACUUUUACAAUGAGCCACAUGUUAUUACAACACUGCAUCAUUUCAACCAAAUAGGGAAACUGCGACACAAGAAGAAUGCCCAUUGGAAAAUAGGGAUCGUGCAGCUGCCUGAUAGCAGAAAAUUCCUGAAUUCUUGGUGAUAGUGAUUAUUUAUGUUGGACUCCUGCUCUUAUGUCUGUGGAUCCGCCCAGUAUUUUCAGUUUGAUCCUUCAAUCUAAUUUCCUUAUGGUUGUAUGUUUAUUGACUUAUAUUCUGUCAUGGUAUUAUGGUUUGAUAUCCUUUUCUUAUCAGGCGAGUUGGCUAACAUGAAGUUCACUUUACUAUUUUCGUCAAUGUUUAUUGGAGUGCAAAGCUUCACCAUAUAGUGUGGUUUGUGACUGUUGUGUUGUCUAAUGUGUUGCCUUAUCUUCUUAUUGACUUGUUUGUAAAAAAUUAGAACUCUAAUUCUAAUUGUCAUUAUGUUUGGCUGCUAUACUCUAUGUCCAUGGUCAAAUGUCGUCCCUUUUUUGUUUGUUUUUAUGGUUUAUGUCCAAAUGUUGCUAGAGCAGUUGAUGUCAAUAAAAGAGUAUCUUCCUGGACUAACAGUCUCCUUCUGCAUUCUUAAUGUUUUAUGAAACCAAGUACUUUUUUGUGCUUUUAGUUAUUGGUAUGAUAAAAUGAGAUCUGAUUAUAUGAACAAUUCAAGGCAGAUUGCACAUUUUUAUUUAAAAUACUAGUAUUGUGCAUACAGAAAAAGAGAACUUGAGCCUAUUUGGGCUUCCUAAUGAGACAUGGGAAGUUAAUCUGCCUGUUGAGGAAGUGCCUCCCGAGCUCCCUGAGCCAGUGUUAGGUAUAAACUUUGCUAGAGAUGGAAUGCAGGAGAAGGACUGGUUAUCACUGGUUGCAGUGCACAGUGAUUCAUGGUUGCUUGCUGUAGCUUUUUAUUUUGGUGCACGCUUUGGAUUUGGCAAAAAUGAAAGGUAUUUUCUCUUUCAUGCCCAUUUACCUGCAUUUGCUGUAAUCUCCAGAGCCUUAGCAUUAGUAUCUGCUUUUUGGUAUCAAAUUGUUAGUUCUUAGUCCUGUCUCAUAGUUCUGCCACUGCUUUUCAACAUUACAAGAUGAUAAAGGGGAUAUGCAUAGAUAUAUCAUUAAAUUUUAUGGUUGAGAUUGUUUCAAUUGAAAGAUCAAGGCAGUAAGUCCAGGGGAGAGUAACAAUAUAUGUUUGAUUAUUUCACUUAUUUUUGUAAGAAUAUACGUUUGAUCAUUCCACAUAUUUAUCUUUUAUAAUGCUAAUUGGUGAUGAUUUGUCUUCUCUCAUAUUUGUAUUUAUAACUAUUUAUUGGUAACUUGAUCUACCAAUAUUAAGUUUAACAAGUCCAAUAAUGUUGUCUUGACAAUAAUUUAUGAUUGGUUAUUCUGUGGUCAACAAUUUAAGGUCAAGGCUUUUGUUUUAUACAUUCUGGACCAUUUUUUGCUGCUAGAGCUCGUCUGUCGUCUUGUAAAAUUCGGUUUGAACCACCUUGGUUACUAUGUUUCAUUCAUCUCAUUCAUGCUACAAAGUCAUAUGAUCAACUGUAUGACAUAUGAUGUUUGACAGCCUAUGCAUUCAAGUUGUCAUUAACGAAAGGAAGUUUAUGGUCUCCGACAAAGUCUUGACUCAUUCAGCCGGUUGACACUGCUCAAUGGAAUGUUAAUAAUCUAAUUGGGUAUCAUAGAUUUCUUGAACAAAAGACAUAGUAGGAGUAACUGAACAAUAUACUAUGGAACUAUUGUUGAAGUUAUACAUGAUAUGGAAAACCUGCGAUGCUAUGCUUGACCAGGAAGUUUAAUAAAGUCAAGAUGAAUGUCUGGUUCUAAUUUUUCUUGGAAUUGGAUCUUGCAGGAAGAAACUUUUCCAGAUGAUAAAUGAUCUCCCGACCAUCUUUGAAGUUGUAACAGGAAAUGCUAAGCAACCAAAGGACCCUUAUUUGUUGAAUCCAUUCUCCGGUUCCCGGAUUCUGCGGAACUUUUCCGGACGUUGUGGGUCGUCAUGGCGGUGGCUACAACGUAAUUUGAAGUUGAUCACGAAGAUAUAAAUGGCUGUAGCACCGACGCGUUUCACGACAAUCAAGGAAAUCAAAGAUUGUUUCUUCCAUAAGUCCAUUCUGUCGGGGAGUCCCUACUUUCAGGAUAAUGACAAUGUAGCUGUAGCCAUCUACAAUGAUAGAUCAAAGUGGUUCAAUAUUUCAAGGCCAAGAACAUUAUUGUUACUGGUAUGGCGAUGUUAUUUGAGUAUCUCAAAAUGGUGCUAGUACUGUUUAUGCAUUAUCACUAAGUCCCGGUACAGGAUGGUCCAUUCGAAGCAUGGGAUUUCAAGAAAUUACAGAAUGAUUAUAAUGCUCCUCCUGUAAAAAUAAUGGGUUUGAAUUUGAAGCCAUCAUUUCCAAACUCAUGGGAUGUAGAUACCAAGCCAUGUCAUGUGGCUGUAAACUCAUACUUGGUAGAAUCUAAGUCGUAGGAUAUUUUGUUUCUUUUUAUUUUGUUUAUAGCCUCAAAUUCCCUUAUUUGUUUACGAUGAAUCAAAUUUUUGAAAUAUAAAAUUUAGAUAAAAUAAUUAAAUAAAAAAUAAUUUAAUUUAUAUAAUAAAAAAUAAAAUUUAAUUAAAUCAUAUUUUCGUUUUUUUUUUCUAGGAAAAAAAGUGUACAAAUGUAUGUGAGCAUAUAUUAUUGAUAAGUAACACUAUCCAUCAAAAAAUUUAUCCAAAACUUUUCAUCCAAAGCAUUGUAAAAGACGGCAUUGGUGUAGAGUGUGUAAAAAAUCAACUUAAAACUUUGAGAAAAAUUUUUAUAUACAUCACAUCACAUAAUCUUCUCAUUUUUGCUACAAUUUUUGCAAUGAUUUUUGGAAUAAGUGCACUGUUCUUAUCACCCAAAUAUACAGUAAGAACACUUCAAUGUAUUAGUUUCAAUUUAAUUUAAGCUCAGUUAUUGAAUUGCUCAUUCAAUAAGAAUUCUUCAUGUUAUAUGCUUAAUUUGAAGACUCGAAUCUUCACUAUCUUUAUCACAAAAUUUUUUAGUCUCACAUGCAUACUACAUAAUUUCACUACCUAAGUAUCUUAAAAGUAAAUCGGAUUCAUGAUUUAAUUCAUGAUUUAAUAUCUAUAUAAUAUGAUGCAUGAUAAAUGAACUACUUUUUCAAAGUCCCAUAUAAAAAUUGUUAAUGGUGAUCUCAAUUUCUAAAUUAGCAAUCAUUGAAUUUUAAUUUUCUCUUACAUUUUCUUUUAAUGUAUUUUUAUUUUGUCAGUUGAUGGUAGGGAUGAGAAUGGGGAGGCGAGUGAUCGACAUCCUAGUAUCCAUCCACAAUGUUCUGCUUAAGUAUGUGUACUUCCUCAUAUCCCCGUUAUAAAAAUGUAAAUAUAUGAGGGGAGGGAAUAACAUUUCCGUCAAACUCAAUUAAUAUCAUUGAUAUUAUAGCAUAAUCCAUAAGUGAUUUGUCCACAACACACGAAUAUUAAAAUAAACGACUGCGAAUUAAAAUAUUUCGUCAAAUUAAGUUAAUAGUAUCAAUAUUACAACGUAAUUAAUAUGUGAUUCGUCCACUACAAAAAAAAAAGUGGUAUUUGUCUAUAUAACAGAAGCAAUGACAAAUUUUAUUCUUGUCUUUACAUUAUUUUUAUAAAUAUUACGAUUUUUUUUGUUUACAAACAUAUUAAUACAUUUUAAAUGUAUUUUAUUGAAGUUAUGGAAAAAUAUAAUAAAAGUUAAAAGGAUUUGGAUCCUCUCUUUUUAAUCUUAUUUUUUCUAAGAUUAAUUUUGUAGGAGAUUAUAAUAUUUGUCAAUUACGUAGAAAAUUUUCCAUUUUAAACGCCAAAUCACAUCGUUUAGUAACUAAUAACUAUAAUCCUAAAACUAAUGGGAGUUUAAUUUUAACGUUCGACUUCUUUUUUUCCCCCAUUUUCUUUACACGUUUUGUAGCCUCUUUCAUCUCUCACUGCUUCUUCAAAACCAGAAACUUAAUUUGGUAAUGAAGAAUUCCACCAAUUAAAAAAAAAAAGGCAGGUUAAUUUUAUUUUCUUUUUUUAAAAUUUGGAGCUCUCUCGUUUCUCAUCACAGUUCUCUUCUGUUGGAGAAUUUAUGAACCGUAGGAUUUCAACAAAUGAAAGAAAACAGAAAAAAUGGAGGAGAAAGUAAUCAAAGAUAACUAUAAUUGAAAUAAACAAGAGCAAACUUCUAUUUAUAUUGAACUUAUAUAUAUAUAUAUAUAUAUAUAACCAUAUUCCAAUGAGAAUUUUAUAUUUUGAAAAUUGAUUUAAUUUUGAUAUUUCUUUCAAAAUUGUUUAAUUGUGAUCAUUGUACUAAAAUCAAAUGCAAAAUAAGAAAAGAGUGGUUUAAAUAAUAAUGGCACGGGAGUGUCUGCAUGUGUGAAGAAGAAACAGGAGAUAAGAUGAUGGGUAAGGAAAAGAGAAGAGAUGACAUACUUUAGGGUUAACAUCUGAUAGUUGCUAAUUAUUCUAUUUUAGUUAUUCAUUAAAUCGAUAUGGCGUUUAAGAAGAAAAAAUUAAAAGUAAAUUAAAUCUUACCCCUAGGUACACUUAAAUGGCAAGUGUCAUAAUCUCCCAUGAACCUUGGGAAAAAUUAGAUUAGAAAUAAAAGUAAAAAACAAUCAAAAUGGAGAGGAGAUAAAGAUUUCACCUAUUCCCAUCAUUUCUUCGAAUGAAAAAAUAAAGGGUUAUUAUCAUUUUACUACUUCAAAAAUUAAAAAAUAUCAAAUAACCACAAGAAAUUUGUCCCCUAUCAUUUUUCUACUAUAUCUUUACAAAAAUAUUAUUUUACUACUUUUCCGUUAUAACCGUUAGUUGACCAGUUAGUUGACUAACAAAAUAUUAAUUUUACCCUUCAUGAUUAAAAAAAAUACUUGAAGCUUAUUUACAAAAUCAACUCUUCCACAUUUAUUCGAUCAUCCAAGUUUCAUUUCCAACAUUAGGAUAUAAAAAUAGAAUCAUUAAUAAGAAAAAUUUGUAAUCUAUUUAUAAAAAUGGAUACAAAAUACCAACAUAAUUCUUUUUACUAGAAUUAUAAUAUAUGGAUUAUAAAUUUAUCUUAUUAAUGAUUCCAUUUUUAUAUUAAUGUUGGAAAUAAAACUUGGAUGAUCAAAUUAAUGUGGAAGAGGUGAUUUUGUAAAAAAGCUUCAAGUUUAUUUUUUUUAAUAAUGAAGGGUAAAAUUAGUAUUUUGUUAGUCAACUAAUUGGUCAACUAAUGGAAAAGUAGUAAAAUGAUAUUUUGUAAACAUAUAGUAGGAAAAUGAUAGGGAAUAAUACUUCUUAUAAUCAUUUGAUAUUUUUUAAAUUUUUAAGUAGUGAAAUGAUAAUAGCCCAAAAAUAAAUAUUAAAUUAUCAUUAUCCCCUUAUUGAAUAAAAAAAAUUAGAUAUCAAAUUAUACCCAUCUACUCCCCAAAUGGCAAUAAUCCUCCAAAGACCCCAUCCCCUUACUAAUUUUUCACAUCCCUAAUUCGUGGUUUGCCACAUGAUAUAUGUAUCCUUGAUAAAAAUAAAUAAAUAGAUGACAUGCCAGUCAUGUCGUCCGGCUGUAUUAGGUAAGUUUGUUGGUGGCAAGCACAUGCACGAAUUAAAUGGUUAGCUCAAAACAGUAUACUCAAGUAUGUAAUUGAAACACAUAACAUGAUUUUCUUCAUAGACUUCAUUAUUUCAAAAUUUACCUUGCCAUAAUAUUUUGGGUUCCAUUAAUUUGAAUGACUGCGUGAUUAUAAAAAUAAAUAUUAUCUUUAUAUAUAUUAUUAUGAUUUAAUGAUUAACAUAUGUAUUCAACUAAAAGUGUUGGUCCAAAUUUAACUACGGCCUAAUAUUUUAUAUAUCCUACAUUCAAGUUACAAGUUUUCCUUCUACACUCGGGGGCUGAAAAUUUUAAGUUUUCGAUCAUUGCUUAAAUGGUAAAAACCUAAAAGGGUAACACUGUCCAAAAUCUUUGUUUACAGUUUCCUCCAAUGGUAGGCAUUUAUAUUGGUCAUAAUUUUGAUGUUUUGUGAAGAAAGAAUAAUAAGCUCCAAAAUGUAACACAGACUUCAAUACAAGCCCCCUUUGUAUUCAAUUUAAAAAAACAAUUAUAAUUACCCUAUAGCCCCGAAGUGGGUCCCUUUAAAUGGACAAAUAAGAAAUAACAUAACAUAAACCCUUAAUAAAAACCUUUUAAAAAAAAUUAACAAAUAAUAAUAUUAUUAUUAUUAUUGUUAUAACUUUGGCAAUUUUCCCCAACUCGCUAUCUUUAUAUGCACACAAAUCUCUAACCCAAAUUCAAACCCAAAAUUGUCUCUUGCCUCUCUCUUUCUCUUUCUCUUUCUCUUUCCUUUUUCUCUUCUGGGUCUCUUCUGUUUUCUGUUGUCUAAUUACAAAUUCAAUUCAAUUAAUUCAAACAGAUAAUGAAAAGCAAAACACGUUAAAAAAGAAGCCCUUUUUUCCCCCCAAAUCGGAAAACGGACGAAAACCCUAACUGAGGCUUCUAUCGUCAAAGCUUCUUUUUCUGUUCCAAUUUAACUCUUUUUGUUCAAUACUCGAAACCCAUUUGCUAGAAUUUGAAGAUAAUUGUUGAGAAAUUAGUUAAUUUUGCUUGCUAUGGAAGCGAUACCGCACCCUAUACCUAGAACUGUAGAGGAGGUUUUCAGCGAUUUUAAGGGCAGACGGGCUGGCUUGAUUAAGGCUUUAACAGCUGGUAAUGGCUUAAUAUUUUCUUCUCUUUUUAUUUGAACUAAAUUAAUGGGUUUGUUCUAUUUGAGCUUAUGAUUAUUUUUUCUUGUUAAUUUUAAUUUUAAUUUUCUGGGUUGUUGCAGAUGUUGAGAAGUUCUACCAGCAGUGCGAUCCUGGUGGGUUUUUCUUUUCCAUACCUAGUUUUUGUUUAUUUAAUUGUAAUUGGACUUUGUUUUUUCCUUCUUUUUUUUCUAUAUUUUUGUAUUAUAUUGACUGAAUGACUCGGUAUUUAAUAAUCAGUACGUGUUAUUUAUAGCUCUGUUUCAUGUAUAAGAGAGGCAAAUUAUGUUAUAGAAACCAACUCGUUUAUUUAUUUAUUUUUUUUCAGUUGGAAGAAUUUUAAUGGAGACAAUGUCUGUGAUAUGAAUUAACUAAGUUCAUGCUUGUCUUGAGUGUUUUGAGAUUGUACAAAGUCCAUGAUUUGUCUUUAAUUAAAGAUGAAAUGCUUGUUUUAAGGUAGUUUUGCUUGUCGUAGCACUCGGAGGCUUACAUUUUUUUUUUUUGGUUCACUUACACGGUUAGUUUCUGUGUUAUUCAUAAAUUUCUGUGCUUCCUCACUUGCAUCGUCAUUAACUCCUUCCAUGAUGUUUUCUUCUGUAAACGCAUUUAUGUUUGCCUUUCACUAGUUUGAAGGACAUUUUUCAUUGAAAGAUCCAAAUGAAUUGAAAUUGCUGCUAUAAUGUAUUUGCUUUGCUGCUGUAGCAGGUCUGUGUAAAUAAACUAGAAAAGUCUUAAAGUGUUGUUGUACCUAUAUACUUCAGUCCAGCUGGCUUCCUAGCUGCAGAAAAUCUCAAGCUUUUUCAUUCUUGACUGUCAGGUUCUUGUGUUUAUUAUAUUGGUUGGAAGCAGAUGGUUAGUUCAGUAUGAAUUCUUGGCAUUUGGUUAUGUGGAAGUUCUGGACAUUUGUUGAUUUGUUUGUUUGCAUGAUUGAUUUUCAAAAUAAUUCAUUUGGCUGCAUAAUUGUUGAAAAAUCCAAAAUUCUAGUGGUAUUUAUUUAUUUAUUUUUGGAUUGAUGCAGCUAUGUUUGUUGGAAGUGUGUUGUAAUCUUCUGUUGAGUCCUUGGCAUUUAUGUUUUAUGUAGUCAUCCAUAUGCUUUUUCUUGAGUUAUGUGGUAUCUGUUAUCAUAUUAAUUUUGAUUGUCUUUUUCUCAAGUCAUUUUGUAUACAUUUUAUUGUUUCUUUUAGUAGGCAUCGAUAUUUUCACUUUAGCCUUCCUACUUUCAUAUAUCAGCUGGAGUGGAAAGAUUGAAAGAUUAGUUUGGUUCACUUUUACAAUGAGCCACAUGUUAUUACAACACUGCAUCAUUGCAACCAAAUAGGGAAACUGCGACACAAGAAGAAUGCCCAUUGGAAAAUAGGGAUCGUGCAGCUGCCUGCAGAAAAUUCCUGAAUUCUUGGUGAUAGUGAUUAUUUAUGUUGGACUCCUGCUCUUAUGUCUGUGGAUCCGCCUAGUAUUUUCAGUUUGAUCCUUCAAUCUAAUUUCCUUAUGGUUGUAUGUUUAUUGACUUAUAUUCUGUCAUGGUAUUAUGAUUUGAUAUCCUUUUCUUAUCAGGCGAGUUGGCUAACAUGAAGUUCACUUUACUAUUUUCGUCAAUGUUUAUUGGAGUGCAAAGCUUCACCAUAUAGUGUGGUUUGUGACUGUUGUGUUGUCUAAUGUGUUGCCUUAUCUUCUUUUUGGCUUGUUUGUAAAAAAUUAGAACUCUAAUUCUAAUUGUCAUUAUGUUUGGCUGCUAUACUCUAUGUCCAUAGUCAAAUGUCAUCCCUUUUUGGUUUGUUUUUAUGGUUUAUGUCCAAAUGUUGCUAGAGCAGUUGAUGUCAAUAAAAGAGUAUCUUCCUGGACUAACAGUCUCCUUCUGCAUUCUUAAUGUUUUAUGAAACCAAGUACUUUUUUGUGCUUUUAGUUAUUGGUAUGAUAAAAUGAGAUCUGAUUAUAUGAACAAUUCAAGGCAGAUUGCACAUUUUUAUUUAAAAUACUAGUAUUGUGCAUACAGAAAAAGAGAACUUGUGCCUAUACGGGCUUCCUAAUGAGACAUGGGAAGUUAAUCUGCCUGUUGAGGAGGUGCCUCCCGAGCUCCCUGAGCCAGCAUUAGGUAUAAACUUUGCUAGAGAUGGAAUGCAGGAGAAGGACUGGUUAUCACUGGUUGCAGUGCACAGUGAUUCAUGGUUGCUUGCUGUAGCUUUUUAUUUUGGUGCACGCUUUGGAUUUGGCAAAAAUGAAAGGUAUUUUCUCUUUCUUGCCCAUUUACUUGCAUUUGCUAUAAUCUCCAGAGCUUUAGCAUUAGUAUCUGCAUUUUUGGUAUCAUAUUGUUAGUUCUUAGUCCUGUCUCAUAGUUCUGCCACUGCUUUUCAACAUUACAAGAUGAUAAAGGGGAUAUGCAUAGAUAUUUCAUUAAAUUUUAUGGUUGAGAUUGUUUCAAUUGAAAGUUCAAGGUAGUAAGUCCAGGGGAGAGUAAAAAUAUAUGUUUGAUUAUUUCACUUAUUUUUGUAAGAAUAUACGUUUGAUCAUUCCACAUAUUUAUCUUUUAUAAUGCUAAUUGGUGAUGAUUUGUCUUCUCUCAUAUUUGUAUUUAUAACUAUUUAUUGGUAACUUGAUCUACCAAUAUUAAGUUUAACAAGUCUAAUAACGUUGUCUUGACAUUAAUUUAUGAUUGGUUAUUCUGUGGUCAACAAUUUAAGGCCCCUCCAGGUUUUUGUUUUAUACACUCUGGCUUGUAAAAUUCGGUCAGAACCACCUUGGUUACUAUGUUUCAUUCAUCUCAUUCAUGUUACAAAGUCAUAUGAUCAACUGUAUGACAUAUGAUGUUUGACAACCUAUGCGUUCAAGUUGUCAUUAACGAAAGGAAGUUUAUGGUCUCCGACAAAGUCUGACUCAUUCAGCCGGUUGACACUGCUCAAUGGAAUGUUAAUAAUCUAAUCGGGUAUCAUAGAUUUCUUGAACAAAAGACAAAAAUAGGAGUAACUGAACAAUAUACUACGGAACUAUUGUUGAAGUUAUACAUGAUAUGGAAAACCUGCGAUGCUAUGCUUGACCAGGAAGUUUAAUAAAGUCAAGAUGAAUGUCUGGUUCUAAUUUUUCUUGGAAUUGGAUCUUGCAGGAAGAAACUUUUCCAGAUGAUAAAUGAUCUCCCAACCAUCUUUGAAGUUGUAACUGGAAAUGCUAAGCAACCAAAGGACCUAUCUGCUAAUCACAAUAGCAGCAAAAGCAAAUCGAGUGGAAAGGUUUGAGGAAAUUGAAAUUGGAACUUAAUGGUUUUCAGUUACUAUUGUUUUUAUCAAAUUCUUUUCUCUCACGGUUUGGAUGUUGCCUUCGAGCAGUCUCGUCCAGCUGAAUCACAAACCAAAGCAGUGAAGAUGUCUCCACCACCGAAGGACGAUGAUGAUAGCGGUGAUGAAGAAGAGGAAGAUGAUGAACAGGGUGCCACCUGUGGAGCAUGCGGGGAUAACUAUGGCACUGACGAAUUCUGGAUCUGCUGCGAUAUCUGUGAGAAAUGGUUCCACGGCAAAUGUGUAAAGAUUACACCUGCGAAGGCCGAGCACAUCAAGCAGUACAAGUGCCCCAGCUGCAGUAGCAAGAGGGCUAGAGUUUAAGAUCAGUUAUGAAGUUGGGAAUUGAACAACGAUUGAACAAAGCAAGACAAGAUUAGAACUUUUUUCGUUACAGUUUGAGAGUAAAACAGAGUCAGAUACCUGUUUUAGUCAAUGAAUUUGCAACUCCUGUUUAAUUUUCUCUGGAAUUUGUGUUUUGAAAUAGCUGCUGGCAUUUAGAAAUGCAAAUGUUGGAGCAAGUUUUCUGGUGGUUUGAUCUAAAGUUCUUGUUGUGAAUGUGUAAGCAUCAUUGACAAAAGGCUCUUCCUAUUCUAUGACUGUGUCCUUUGUUAAAGGAAAAGAUUGGAACAUUCCUCAUUGUAGCAUCAAACAUGCAAGGAAAUUGAAGCAUAACUUGGCUUGAGCAUGAAGUCAUCAUAACAUGCUCCCAAAUUUUGGUGCAAAAUUAUUGUCCGCCAAUUGCUACCAAUUGGAUGAAAAAGUUCCAAUUUCAAGAAGCAAUCAAAUAUUGUUUUAAAUAAGUGGAUGCAAGUACAAACUAAUAAUGGUGAGGUGGUCUUCUGAUUGUCCACAAUCUAUUGCUAAAUUUAUGUUAAAAAGUGGAAAAGUGAUUUGAUAAUAUUUCACCAACUGUAAGCAUCCAAAUGUGGGGAUUUUGGUAAAAGAAUGUUCCAACUAUUUACGUAAGCAAACACACUAUAACUAUAACUAUAACUAUAUAUAUAUAUUCUAAUGGAGGGUCUUGUCUUAAAUGAAUCACUGAAGAGUAACAUGUUUACAUUUUGACUUUCAAUGAUUUCAUUAUGGACACACUCAAUGAUCAUCACCAAAAAAUUUUUUUAAAAAAAGUUAAGAUUUAACAAAACACACAUGCAAUUGGAGAGCUUUAGAAACAAUUAAGACAUUUUAACUCAACGCAUUAAUCAUGAUAAUCAUUAGUUCAUGUGGAAAAGAAAUUUUUGAUCGCAAUUAUGAAAUGAAGACAUAAUUAACUCACGCAACUUUAUAUUCCAUUUUAAUUGAGCAAAAAUAUCGAUAUUAAUUAAUUAAUUCAACUCGUUAGGUCCCUUCUUUUUUUUUUGUAAAUGGAGGAGCUUAAGGUUAAAAAGCCUCCCUCAUAUCUAAAAUCUACAAAGAAACAAUGAAAUAAAAGACUUGUGGGAUCAAGUAGGCUUUUCAAUUCGUUCAAGGCCAUGGGGACCUACUCUUUAAAGUUUCUAUUUGUUGCAAUUGCAUUAUUAGGCUUUGAUGCUGCCGCUUGGAUAAGCUUCUUGUGGUAUUAAUCAAAAUAGAAAAUGCAUUGUCAUGCUAUAAAAUCCAACAGUAGAAUUCCACCAAAAUCAAACAUGUUUUGUUUGUCUGCAAAAAUUCUAUCAGAAAAAGCACAAGAAACCAAACACAACCAAGAAACUGCAUUGGCCCUGUCUUUAUAAAUCUGCUUAAAGCCAUAAAUGGUUUAGGGCUUAGCAAAAGGUAUUGGGUUUUUUUUUUAUUAUUAGUAGUAUUGUCGUGCAAGCUCAAGUGAUGAUUAAUAUUCAAUUGACAAAAACCUAAAGAAACCAAAAGUUGCAUGUGAUUAAGCAUUUGGCUGUAGAUGGGUUAAAGCAUGUUGUGAGUAGAAAAUUUAAUGUCAUUAAUCUCCAACUGAUAAACAAUUUAAUGCUUGACUAACCAAUCACGUGCUAAAGAGGAAAAGAGAUCUGAUUUGGGAAUAUCUUAAAGGAUUAGUUUAAUUGGGAAAUUAUUAAAAUUAAGAAGAGUUGUGAAGAAAAAAAAACCAUGAUAGAGAUUAGAGAGAGGUCUCAUUGUGGCCUUGGCACAUGCUUUGGUUGUUAAAUAGAAAAUUGAUCGAUCGAUCACCAAAACUUGACCAACACCCAUUUUUGUCUACGUUUUGAUUGUGAUUGAUAAGCCAUUUUCAAUUGCUAACGUAUGGAUACUGCUUCAACAUGGAAUCUAAAUCUUGAUCUUGAUGGUGGAGAGAAAAUUGUGAUUUGUUUUCUAAAAAUGAAAAACAAAAUUAAGAUACAUAUGACUCAUAUGUAAAUAAUUACAUGAAACGUGAAAUUAAUAAUAUCAAACGUUAUACAUAUAGAUCGUAAAAAUGAUAAAUGAUAACACAAAACAUCAUAAUAGUAAUGAUGUACGUUGUCAAAAUUAGUAAUACAUUAACUAUAUUAAUUAUUUGGAUUAAAAUGGUAAAACUCUAUAUUGGUGUUAAUGUAAAGUCCAGAAUUUCACUCUUUUUCUCUCUUUUCUAUUUUUUUUCCUUUUUAAAAUAGAGAUCACAUUGUUGUGCGCUGCAUCCUCUAAAAGUUUUUUCUUUCUUUCUUUCUUUUUUAUUUUUUUGUCACAUUAUUCAUCAAAAGAAAAGAAAAAAAACCUCAUCAAUUUCUUCUUCAGAAAGUACUUUCUAGUUUCUAUGCAACUCUUCACCUUAUCUUGUCAUGAAUUCACAAGCUUGAUUCAUUCAAUAAGUUCAACCAUAUUGGUUGAAGAGAUGGCGAAUAUGCAUUUACUGAAAAAGCAAGGAACACCUAAUGACUUUGUGCCUUUAACUUUAAUAGAAGGACACUCAAAUGCAAAAUGAACAUAUAAACAGAAAAUUGCAACCAAUUAAUCAAUAGCUAUGAAAAGAUCAAACUACUGAAUUGAAUUGUUCUAUUCUCUUGUACAAAUGUCUCUAUUUUAUAUCAUUCAAAAUAAUAUUAUUAUAGUGCAUAUGUAUUUUACAAAGUGAAUAGUAGACAUUCCAACUUAAAAACUUUUUCAAAAUUUAUAUAGCUUCUUGACACUUGAAUCACAUAGAUAAACAAUGAUACAGAAUUAGUGUAAUAACAUAGUAUAAUAUUAAUAUUGAUGGAUGUAAAUAGAAACAUUUUACAAUUCUUUUUAAGUGGAUCUUUUAUAUAUAGUUAUAUACCAUUCACCACAUUACCAAUACAAUAUAUAUAUAUAUAUAUAUAUUAGCAAAAAUAGUAGUAUCAAUAUCUUUCCAAAAACAUAUUCUUAAAAGAAGUUUAUUUUUUUUCCUUUAUAAUGUUUUCUUUUUCUUUCUUGCAAUAAAUAUUUCCAUAAAUCAUUAAAAAAAUAUUGUGUAACAAAACAGACAAAAGACAAGAAGAGACCAAGAACUGUUUCAAGUGUAAAAAGGCAAAAACUGUAAAAUAAAAAAUAAAUAAAAAAUAAAAAAAAUGAAAGACAAAAAACACAACACAAAUAUCAAAAGAAGUAGAAAUCCCGGGGUCCCCGGGGCUUCCUCCACAGUCCAAAGUUCUCUUUCACACACACACUCACUCACAUUCCAAAGAUUCAACUUUCAACAAUUUUGAUUUGAGGCGCCAACUAAGAAAUAGGAGUAAAAAAUAAAAAAUAAAAAAUAGAAAUAAAGAAGUAAAAACCCUAGUGACAGUGAGUGAAGAAGAAGAAAAGGAAAAAUCAACAAAAAAUAUUAUUUAUAUUGUCAGGUACUGGUCCAUUUCAUACUCACACUGUCAAAAUCCAUUAUUUCCUAUCCACUCUCUCUUUCACUAAUCAUUUAUUACCAUUUUCGUUCAAAGUUUCAAUUUUUUUUCCUUUUUGUUGUUGGGUUUGUAUGAUUUGUAAAUUUUGUGUACGUGGGGUUUGAAGCUUUGAUGAGUGAAAUGGGAAUGUGGGUAUUGUUUUAAACUUGUAAAGUUUUGUUUUGGGGUUUGUGGGUUUUUUUUUUUUUUUUUAAUUCUUGGUUUGACCAAGGGAAAUGGCUGAAAUGAGAGGGAGGUUGCAGUUGAAGAAAGAGCUGACACAAAUUAGGAAAGCAGCCCGUUUGCGUGAUCCGGGGACCACAUCUUCAUGGAAGUCACCAUUGAGUUCAUCCAGAUCUCUAGCAGCAGCAGUGGCAGCAGCUUCUGCUUCUGGCUCUGCUUGGAAGAUCAAUAACAAUAACAAGCAAUUGGUUGAUGAAGACAACAAUGUGAGUAUUAAUAAUGGGAAUGUGAAUGGGAAAGAGAAGAGGGUGUUUUUGUGUAAUUGGAAGAAUCAGAAAUCUUCGAGUGAGACUAGUGCAGUUGCAAGAAAUGAUGAUGAUGAUAUUGAUGUCGAUGAUGAUGAGGAUGAAGGAUCUUCCUCGGUUAUUGAAAGUGUUGAUGAUAGCUUGAGUGAUGCAAGAAAUGGUGGUGAUUCAAAGAGUGAUACUUAUUUGGGUGAGAAUCGGGCAUCGUCGAUUUUCAGGUGUAGAGAUGCAAAUCUUGUGUCUGUGGCAACUCCAGCAAUGAAAAGAGCAAUGGCUGCCAAGAGAAAAAGUAAGAGACAUAAAACCCUUUCCGAUUCUUUAACUAGAUAUCAACAAAAACAAAUUAUUCUUGCUAGGAAUUCAGCGGCAUUAGGUUUAGGCAGGGAUGAGUCUGUUGAGCAAUCCGAUGAUACUGAAGAUUAUUGUAAUUCGGAGGAUUUUCGUAAAUAUUCUGGGGCUUCCCCAUUGCUAUUAAAACUUAAGCAUAAGAACUGGUCACAUUCGUCUUCUAAGUUGUUGAAAGGUGGUAGAAAAGAAGAUUCGUCUUAUAGUUACAGCACACCUGCAUUGUCUACUAGUUCUUAUAAUAGGUAUGUUAAUCGUAAUCCUAGUACAAUUGGAUCUUGGGAUGCCACAACAGCAUCCUUGAAUGAUAAUGAUGAUGCUAUGGAUGAUCAUUUGGAUCUCCCUGGUCGUCAAGGAUGUGGGAUUCCGUGCUAUUGGUCAAAAAGGACACCAAAACAUAGAGGGGUAUGUGGGAGUUGUUGCUCUCCUUCCCUUUCAGAUACUCUAAGGAGGAAAGGAAGUAGUAUUUUGUGUGGGAGCCAGACGAUGUAUCAUGGAAGGAGACGCUCGUCAUCUGUUUCUAACAAGAGGAGAAUGGCUUCAAGAAGUGCCCAAGGUGUUCUCCCAUUACUCGCCAAUAAUGGUGAUGGGAGAGCAGGGUCAUCUAUCGGAACUGGCCGUAGUGAUGAUGAACUUUCUACAAACUUUGGGGAGCUCGAUUUGGAGGCAUUAAGCAGAUUAGAUGGCAGGAGGUGGUCAUCAAGCUGUAGGAGUCAAGAUGGGUUAGAGAUUGUAGCUUUAAAUGGAGAGGAAGAGGAAGGUGUACUGGAGAAUAUAAGGAGUUUGAGCCAGAAAUACAAGCCGAUCUUCUUUGAUGAAUUGAUUGGACAGAAUAUUGUGGUUCAAUCACUUGUGAAUACCAUUUCAAGGGGAAGAAUUGCUCCUGUUUAUCUUUUCCAAGGUCCUCGAGGGACAGGGAAAACGUCAACGGCUAAGAUCUUUUCUGCUGCUCUGAAUUGUGUGGCUACUGACCAAACCAAGCCCUGUGGGUACUGCAGAGAAUGUAACGACUUCAUCUCUGGAAAAAGUAGGAAUUUUAUGGAAGUUGAUGGCACCAAUAAAAAAGGAAUGGACAGAGUUAGAUACAUUUUGAAACACUUAUCUGCUGGUCUUCCAUCAGCCUCUCCACGAUUCAAGGUUUUUGUUAUUGAUGAGUGUCACCUGUUGCCCUCGAAGACGUGGCUGGCGUUUCUCAAGUUUCUUGAAGAACCACCACAGAGAGUUGUGUUCAUAUUCAUAACAACAGAUAUUGACAAUGUGCCCCGUAGCAUACAAUCACGGUGUCAAAAAUAUCUAUUCAACAAAAUUAAAGAUGGUGACAUUGUAGCGAGGUUGAGGAAAAUUUCUGCUGAGGAGAAUCUGAAUGUUGAGCCGGAUGCAUUAGAUUUAAUUGCUCUGAACGCUGAUGGUUCUCUUCGAGAUGCUGAAACUAUGUUAGACCAGCUCAGUUUGCUUGGAAAAAGAAUCACUUCAUCUCUUGUAAAUGAACUUGUGAGUUUUAUCGACAAUGCUUUGUUGGCAUGGUUUGAUUCGGAUUUAGUUAUUAACACUACCAUAAUUUCAUGAAUGGGAAUAUGAUCAAUUAACAAAAAAACUAUUUUGUAAAGAAAAGCUAAACCAUCUCAAGUGCAUGUGAGUUUCAUAUUUUUCUGAUCCUUUAGUUGUACAUAUAAUUAGUUCAACUUACAUAUGCAAUUUGCUGACUUCUCUGCAGGUGGGGGUUGUUUCUGAAGAGAAAUUACUGGAACUUUUAGAAUUAGCGAUGUCAUCAGACACUGCAGAAACGGUGAAAAGAGCCAGGGAGUUGAUGGAUUCUGGGGUUGAUCCAAUGGUUUUGAUGUCUCAACUGGCUAGCCUCAUCAUGGAUAUCAUUGCUGGAACCUACACCAUUGGUGGAAGGAGUUGUGAGUAUUAUCCAUUUCACUUUUUCAUGGUUGUUUCUUCGGAAGCAGAAGCUCCAAAGAGAUAGAAAAUUUGUUCUCUAAUUAGAUCAAUCUGCUAUGUUUGAAAUCCCUGUUAACUCAAUUUUGGUAAGUUAAUAUUGGGAAUACCAGACCGCCUAGAUAUACUAAAUCAUAAAUUGGUAAUACCUAGCUUUUCAAACAAAUGCGUCAGAGAAACAUUUUUCUCUUUAUUUUUAUUUUACUGAAAUCUCCGUGGACUCAAGUACACAAUUUGUGUAUAAUGUCUUUGAGGCGACUAGAUGUCCCAUUUAUUCUCAUAAGGAAAAAUAUUGGUAUGUAUCUAUUAUCAUUGAUUUGUCUCAUCAUAUUUUUUAUAAGGUAAGUUUUAAUCUGCAGCAAUUUUCCAAAAAGGUUAAUUCUUUUAGUUACUUGUCGUGUAUUUGCAGCCAACUUAAACCCAUUAUGGAAAGUUGGUUAACAUUGUAUCCAGAACCUUGGUUUGCUGAUUGUGAUUGGUUACAUUGUAUCCAUUUUAUCCACCUUUUAUUGUUGUUCCAACUUUCAUUUAUUUAUCUUAGCUUCAAUUGAAAUGCAGCCAAAAAGAAAAGGAGAAACAUUUUGAGUUUGAAACCCAUUGUAAAAUUUAUUCUCUGCUGUCAGUUAGAAAUAUUACAAUUGAAAUUACUGAUAUGCAUUGUUGUUGUCAUUCUCUAGUAACUGAAGCAGAAUUGGAGAGAUUAAAGCAUGCAUUGAAGCUCCUUUCAGAGGCUGAGAAACAGCUAAGGCUUUCAAGUGAACGCUGCACGUGGUUCACUGCAACCUUGUUGCAACUUGGUUCAAUGCAUUCACCAGAUCUCACUCAGUCAGGUAGCAGUAGAAGGCAGAGCUCUAGGACUACCGAGGAAGAUCCAUCAAGUACUUCAAGAGAAGCUGUUGUUUACAAGCGGAUGUCAGGUCCUCAAUAUAUGCCUCAAAAUGCAGUAUCCCCUGCUUCCUUGCGUGAACCAGUUAAUGGAAAUUCCAGGCAUCUUGGAGAAGUAUUAUCACGAAUUGAUGGUCAUAAUUCUUAUUCCAAGCCCUCACAUAGCCGGUUGAAAGAUGCGGGUGCCUUGGCUGUCUCACAGAAUGGCAAUAUUGUUGGAAAUACGAUUAUUACAUGCAGAAAUUCAGAAAAGCUAGGUGAGAUCUGGGCACAGUGUAUUGAAAGGUGUCAUUCGAAGACAUUGAAGCAGCUACUGCAGGUCCAUGGAAAGCUUUUGUCUAUCUCUGAGGUUGAAAGUAAGUCCAAUAAGUUUUACUGGGAAAUUGAAUUACACAAUGUAAAAGAAUAUAUACACAGACAUAAUAUGUAUAUUCUUAAUCGUUAUUACUGUUAUUUGAUUCUCAAUCCUAUUAACUGAACACACACGCACACUACCAAGGCCUAGCUCCACUGGUUAGUGGACGGCCUUCUUAAAGGUUCGAGACUCAUGUAGUGUGCGUGCGUAUUUGAUUAAUAAUUUUUUUUUUAAAUCUUAUUUAAUUUAAAAAAUAUUCAAGUAGUCAAGAAGUGCUUCCAGGAAAUUUUGGGUGAAAAUAAUCCUUUGGGCUAUGAUUGCUAAUUUUUUUGUAAAUUUAAGCAUCUUAAUUUUUGAAGUUCUAUAAAAAUGAAAGUGGGUAAAGUGUCAUAUUAAGUGUAAAUUGCGAAACUAAUAAGGAUUUUGAUUUGUUAAGUACCUUGAGAAAUGGUAUAUACUGCUGUAACAAUAUUGUUUUUCUCUGUCUGUGGCUCCCUAUUUUUGGCCUCUACUAAUAUGGAUUUUGAUUUAUUAAGUUCCUUGAGUGGAGGUGUAUAGUUCCUUGUCUGUCUCCAUCUCUGGCUCCCUAUUAUUGGCCUUUUUGGUCCACAUGCUGUUGAUUCAAAUUUCCUUAAAGAUGUUUGCAAGUGUUUAAAUUUCUAUAUUUUCUCCUUGCAGGAGUUUUAAUUGCCUACGUUGCAUUUGGAGAUGGAGAUAUUAAGUCAAGAGCAGAAAGGUUUUUGAGCAGUAUUACCAAUUCAAUUGAAACUGUAUUGAGACGCAAUGUAGAGGUUAGAAUAAUCCUGUUGCCGGAUGGUGAGGCUUCUAUUCACCAUGGAAUUUCUAAUGAGUUACCUAAAGGUCUCAAAAAGACAGAAACCACUGCCGCAAUUGAGAGGGAAGGAAAGGCACUUUGCUCAAAUGCAAACGAUAAUUAUUCUGAUUCAGACUCACAGCAGAUUCCUGUUAAUGUAGCGAGGAAAGUAUCCAGAGGAAGUUUUAAUGAGUUGGAAGGUAAGUUUAAAGGAGAGGAUGAUCAUUCAAAUUGUUCUCCCCUUUUUGCUGACGGCAAUUCGGAAAUUAGUAGUACAAAAGGGAGGAGGCAGGAGAUUCCAAUGCAGCGAAUAGAAUCCAUAAUCCGCGAACAGAGGUUAGAAACUGCAUGGUUACAGGCUACAGAGAAAGGAGCCCCUGGAUCACUGGGUCAUUUGAGACCUGAGAAGAAUCAAGUGUUGCCCCAGGAGGAUAUCUAUCGACAAAAUCAUAUGGAGUCCCUUCUUUCAUCAGGAUUGUCUUCUCAGCAAUGGGAAGAUGAAUUAAAUCAGGAACUCAAAAUUUUGAAGCUCAAUGAAGAUAGAGUGCUCAAGAAGGAUGAGAAUGGCAAAAAGGGUGAAAAUUACCCGAUAUUGCCAAGCUUAUUGCAUGAUAGCAGUUUUAUGGGGAAUUUCAGCAAAGAGAACCAGUAAGUCUUUUACUGACAUCUAUUGUAAUUAUAUAUUAUUUUUUCUGUGAUACUUUGCACUCCUUGGGUCCCAAUCGAGAAUAGAUUUCCAAAAACUAAAGCCUAGAAAUUGAUAGAACAAUUAGGUUGCUUGAAAUUUGGUGUACUAUAUCCAGCUUGUUGCUAGGUAUAGGGUUGAUCUUACAAGAUCCAGCUAAAAGUCCAAUACCCAAUUCCAGAAGUUUAGAGAAAAGUGGCUUAAUCCAAUACUGAAGAAUUCAAGAUUGUUGAGUUUACCUUUUUCUUGAAGUACUAGAUUCUCACUUAGAUUGUAUACCUCUCAUGCUAAAUGCUGGUGUUUCUUUAGGGGAUAUGAAUCAGGGUCACAAGCUGGAGGUUGCAGUGGGCUAUUCUGUUGGAAUAACACCAAACCUCAUAAGAAGGGAAAGGUAUUUUAUCAGUAUUAAUAUGUUUCUUCCUUCAUUCUAGCAUUUUGCAUAAAGUCAUCAGGUUCUAUUUCUGUGUGUGAACAGGUCAAAGGAACCCCUGUUCGAUCACGAAAAGGCGGGCAUUUUUCAUUAUUUGUCGAUUGCACAAAGGCAAAAAAAAGUGAAAGCAGACUUAGAAGAUAAAUGGGGAGCUUAAAUUUAAGUAGUUGGGAAUUCAUCCUUUUGUUUUCUUUGCAAAUUUUUUUGUGUAUUUAUUUUCCAGUUAAACCAUUCUUCAAGAAUGCGAGCUGAGCUCAAAGAGAAUGAUGUAAAAUGAAAAGGAUAUGUUGGACUUUGCCAUUUGUUUAGCUGCAGCUAAUUUUUAUGCCAUGAAUUAUAUAUAAUGAGAAACAGUCUAAGAUGAAAGCAAUUCAGCUUUUGCACUGCCUUGCUUGCUGGUGUAGUAAAAUUAGUUUUUGCGAGUUGCUCAUGGUGCCAUUUCAACCCAUUCAUUUACGGAUCCGCUGAUAUACAUCAGAUAAUGCAUGUUACAGAUCUCAACACAACAUUUGAAACUUCUUACACUAAACUUGAAACAUCUAAUAGAAAAAUAGAAAUCAAACUUGAAUUGUAAACCAAAAUUUGAAAUGUUUAAUAGAAAACUUGAACGGUAUUUGUGUACCGAAUCCCAUUUAUUCACCAUUUAUUCAAGGUGUACCGUGGAGUAUGGACCCCAGUGUUUAGUUAAAAUUUCGGAAGCAAAAGUUCAAAAAUACAACACAACAGAUAAAAACUUCUAUUAAGAAGACUCUGAGCUCAAAUUCAAUAUCCUCUCUGCAAUUAACAAAUCAUCAGGGGUUGUAACCUGGAAUUCAGAAUACACAACACAUCAAUUUGCAGUUCAUAUAACUUCAAGGUCACCUUUUUCAUGCAUAGGAUGAAUUUUUUGAGGAAACUACUGUAUUUCAGGCUAAAAAAUGUUGAUUCUGUUAUAUGAAAAUGCUAAAUGUCAAUCAGUAAGGGGUAACAGGUGAGAUUUCCACCCAUUACCUUGAUGUUGGUGUAAGAUCCUUCGGUGAUGUAUACAGGAUGUUUGAGAUGCUCCACUAUAGAUACAUCAUCAGUAACUUCAAGACCUUCCCUGUAGACAAUUACAGUUUGCUAAGAACAUUUUUUCUGUAUAGAGGUGUGAACACAAUGAAUUAAAAUGGAACAACCGGUAAAUUGUUUUUAUCUGGAAAUCAUAGACAUCAGUAUCAGCAUGAUGGGUUCACAGUAAAAGAUUUAUAGAUGAGGAGCUUAAAAGCAAAUGCAGUACCUAUUGACAAGCUCAAAACCCUUUUUAAGCAAGUCAGGCUUAAUCACCUAUAACAAAAAAUUUAUGGAAGUUACAAAAUAAUAUAUCCAAUAUGUCAAAUUGUUAGAACAGAAAUAUCAUGCAGUCUCUUGCAACAGCAAACCUGAGGGGUCUGCAUUUCCCAAAGAGUUUUGCGGUCCAGGGUUCUAACCACAAAAGAUUCGCUAUUUGCCUGCAUGCAUAUAUUAGGGAAUAAGUUCCCAAAUCUAUAAAACCAUUUGCUUCCCCAAACUAUAUUCUCCAAUGCACAUCCGGAGUAUAAGAAGCAGAAAGCAAUGAAUUUUAACUGGAAUAAGAAAGUGAAGUAAAAAGACGUAUCAAAUCCCAAAUGGUACAAGUGCAAAGGCUAAUGUGCACCUCUUUAAUUGUAGCUUUGGCAGGAACACCAAGUACAGCUGCUCCGACCCGCAAAGCAUCCAUAAGGACCUAAUAGUGGUAAAAUAAUGAGGCACAUAGCCAAUAUUUUUCUGGAACUCCUAGAAAAUAUGGGAAUGUUUACUAGACCUGUUUACUAAACCAAACCACCAGCCCAUACCUUUUGCACAUCUUUAGAUAAUACCAAAGGUCUAGCAGAAUCAUGGAUGCACACGAGCUCAGAGUUAAAAUCAACUUCCUGGAUGCAAAAGCAGCAUAUAACAAUACAAAUGAAAGCUAAUGUUAAAUUAUCAGCCACUAAGAGCAAAUCAAAAAACUGGAUGAGAAAAAAAGAACUGGAUAUCAGGACACCAUAAUUUUUGACUAAUUUGUUACGAAACAUUUGACUCAAUAAACAAUUGAUAUAAUAUCUUAUUGUGACUUUAUUGGUGGGUCGUCAAGUUUAAUUUUUUGAAAAAAAAGAGAAAGAAAAAAGAAAGAAGCUAAUAAUCCACUUAUGCGUACCACCAAUCCUUGAGAUAAAUCAUUUGGUUAUAUUCUAACAAUUCAUGGCAUGAAGAAUUAAUAACAGAUAAAAUAUAAACCCAGAAAGAAGAAGAAUAAAGCAGUGUUGCUGCCAAAUUUCAAGCAAAAUCCAGUUUUCUUUAAGUUAAAUUUUAUGAGUAGAGAAAUUUAUUUGCUAGCAGUAACCAUUGAAUAGUUUUCAGUAAGUUUUUACAGGCACUAGAGGAAAAUUGAAUCAACAUAAGAUGUUGAAAAAGCAAGAACAUAGAUAGAGAAACUAAAUUUCCUCUUAAUUAUCUAUGCACCUGAAGUCCGCUGUAAACAGAAUCUUGCCUCUCCUUCCCCGGAAGUGAGAAUUUAAGGUCUACAUUGAUCUUCUCUUUGGUUUCUGAAAGAAAAAUCAAGAAAUUAGUUUACAUAUUUCUGGUAGCACUCAUGCCCAACAUUAAAAGGUGACCAAACUGGUAUACUCAUUAAUAGGAGAAAGCAUACUAUGCAAGCACACGAAGAGAGAGAGAGAGAGAGGGAGAGAGAGAGGACAGAAACCUUCAAAGAUGUCACUGUAAGAUGGAUCACAAACUACCACAAUUUCCUUCACUUCAACCAUGCGUGAGAAAGUGUAGAAACUGAAGAAAAAAUGCAUUUUAUUAUUUUCAGAAGAAAAAACGAGGAUCAGUCAUAAGCAAUGGAAACAACGACUAUUACAACUUUAAACACAUAACUGUUAUUUUGCCUGAGGGCCAGACCUCAGUAACUGAAUCCCACCCAGGGUACCUUUAACCCAAGGUACUAUUCUAAAAUAAACUGAGAAUCACAUUAACAACACUAUGGAAAUACUAUAAUGUUUGUUACUGGAUCAAGAAGAAAACUCCAUAUUCCCAGAAAGACCAACUCUCACAUUCUAUUUGAUUUUUCAUGCCGAAUGUAACUGAACAUAGGUUACAGUUUAAACACGGAAGUCCCUCUUAAACCAUACAUCAAUACUUUGAUAGAAAAAAUUAAUAUCUAACACAGGUUGUUGGAAUACUACAAUAUUGUUGAUGCAAGAUAUUGGCAUUUACCUAUACAAUGCAAUGGGUUGACCCAAAAGUGGUAGAUACUGCUUUGGCAUGUUCGCCUAUUGGGACAAACAUAAAAUAACCAUCAUCUGAAAGAAGAAAAUUAAGAACAAUAGGAAUUGAAGAACGUAAUAAACUUAUACAUACAAUAUGGAUAAUACCAUAGCAUUGUAUGCAUAUCCAAACAAUACAAAUAACAGCUCAUAUGAAAAUGAGCCUCUGGAUAAAAACAACAAGAUACUUACACCCAUUCGUUUGCCCCUCCCUCCAGCCAAAAGAAUAACUGAUACACUCUUAUCUUUAACAACGACAGAACCCUGAGAUACAAGAACAUAACAUGAUUAACUGCUAAAAAUGGACGUGAAGCAACUCAAAGGAAAUAAAUCCCACUUACAUUAUCAACUUUAGCAGAACAUCUAAUCCUGGAUGUUGCAAGCCUGGCCCUCCUUGUCAAGCCAAAGAACUGAUUUUUAUGCCCUGAAAAGCACCAAAUUGAAUAGAAAUCACAUCAAAAUAACAAGCAAAGGAUAUGCUCCAUUGCCCAUCAAAAGUUACCAGUUCUGGAGAAAGUUUGGUGGUUGUCCGGGAACAGUGAGAGAGAAGAAGUUGAAGAAGACAGAGCAAGGUUCAGCUGAAGCAGGCCCAUGAGUCUAAUUUGUCAGCUUCACCUUUCUCAGUCAGUCAAAUACCGAAAUUGAAAUAUGGAAAUGAAGAAGUGAAAUGCUGCUGAGAGAUUAAAGCAGAGAAUGUAGUGUGUGUUUGUUGACUCUGUGCAGACGGAGACAAAUCAAAACGAUCAUAAUUCUUGUGCUGUUAAGUUUUUUUUUCAAUUUCUUUAUUUCUUUAUUUAUUAUCUUUUUAAGACAGCCAUCUUUGAAAUAAACAAAGUUUCAUUCACACAGCUACCGCUCAAAUUCAGAGUGUGAUAAAUAAAUGAACCAAUGGUAAAUUUAGAUAAAUUAAAAUUUGAUGAUAAAAAAUAAUUGAAAUUUUAUUUUUUUUAUAUACUUUUGAUAUUUAACCAUAUUGAAUUUAGUUUUCUUACAAAAAUAUCAUCUAGGUCCAUGAGAAAUUGGGAUAGUUGCUAAAAUGUUUGAGCUUUUUCAUUGGGGGAAAAAGAAAAAAGAAAGAAAGAAAGAACAAGUUCAGAUACCUUGAAAAAAAAUUAGAGCAACAAAUACCUUUUAGCAUAAAAAACUAAUGAAAUAAGAGAUUCGGGUCCAGCUACGGUAUAGUGGUGGUACGGUAUUACUAUUACAUCCAGUCGUUGGAUCCAUUUAGAUGGAUGGAUCUAUUAGAAUCCAACUGCUGGAUGCACACCAUAGUUUUCUCCGAGAGAUUCAUAACUGAUUCAAUAAGGUCCACCUAAUUUUGAAUUUUUUUUUAAAAAUUGAAUAUUAAUGUUGAAAACGCGGCGUUCGCUAAAAGGGUACUAUAUUUGCAACUCCCGGACACUCCCACACUCGAUACAAUCCCACUGCCCACCAUAACCCGUUGACGUAAAAACCCUAAUUCGCCCCUAACGCAUUCUCAUUCGCCUCCCUCCUCCUCGCCCUCCACUCACUGUCACACUUCGCCGCUGGCUGCUGUCCUUAUCGCCGUCCUGUCGUCGCCAACAGUUGCAAAACCCCAAGGUUAGCUUCUUAUAUGCAACUUUUUCCAUUUUUCAAUUUUCAUUUCGCUCCAAUUUCUCUAUACAUGCUUCCAUAUAAUAAAGUCACAACAUUUCUCAGCUUUAGAUCACGAAAGAGGCUCAAAGUCCCCAAGUUUGAGUAGACAUAGGCUUAUAAUUAGGUUUAUUGCUUCUGAAAAUAUAAAAAUUCAAUCUUUUUCACAAGUCACCUUAUCUGUCUGAUGUAAGUACGCUUAGGAUUUACGGUGCUGUGGCUUUUUAACUCAUAGCUGUUGUGAAAUUGGUCGCUUGCUGUUAAGUACAGCUGUUCUGUAAGCAUGUGGAGUUGGAAAUUUGUGCUUAAGCAUGAUUUCUCAUAUCUUGAAUGUGUGAAUUAUCAUUUUUGAGUUGUUGUAUUUAUUCUAAAUGUUCGGUUUGAGGAUUAUUGUCCAUUUCUCUCUAGUUUAGUCAUUUUCCCAUUAGAAGUUUAUCUACUCAUGGGAAUGCAUGCAGGGUUAAAGAUGAAGAGGAUGAUAGCUCUUGGAUUUGAAGGUUCGGCUAACAAGAUUGGUGUUGGGGUUGUUACGUUAGAUGGAAGUAUUCUAUCAAAUCCACGCCACACAUAUUUCACGCCACCUGGGCAGGGAUUUCUUCCACGAGAAACUGCUCAACACCAUCUAGAACACGUUCUUCCACUUGUCAAAUCUGCUUUGAAAACUGCUGGAAUAACCCCAGAUGAAAUUGAUUGCCUUUGUUACACCAGGGGUCCGGGCAUGGGAGCGCCACUGCAAGUUGCUGCUGUUGUUGUCCGGGUUCUAUCUCAGCUGUGGAAGAAGCCAAUUGUUGCUGUUAAUCACUGCGUGGCACAUAUUGAGAUGGGGAGGAUUGUGACUGGAGCGGAGGAUCCUGUUGUGUUGUAUGUCAGCGGUGGAAAUACCCAGGUGAUUGCUUAUAGUGAAGGAAGGUAUCGGAUCUUUGGGGAGACUAUCGAUAUUGCUGUGGGUAACUGCUUGGAUCGGUUUGCAAGGGUUUUAACACUGUCCAAUGAUCCAAGCCCUGGAUACAACAUUGAGCAGGUAUGUGAAGAUUGGUUUAUUCAACAUUUUUCUUCUUUUCAGAAGGAUUAAAUCCAUUUAGAUUUUAUAUGUAAUUGUAAAACAUUUAGGUAAGGAAUGAUUUAGACCAGUUGAAUUUUUAAGUCUAUAUCUGGGCCCUACCUGUGAAGUGGUUUAAGCAUGUGUCUCGCAAUUCGAGAAUUGUGUUUCUAUUACCUGCUUAUCUUCUGAUCUUCAUUCAUCAUUUCCUGAAUCAUCAUCAUGGAAAUAUAUACAUGCAUUAGGUUAUUUAUCAAAAAUCUUUGGGUACUGGCUUGUGUUUAAUUCUUCGGUUGGUAGAUUGAGUGAUGGGACAGAAGGUCUUCUAUUUUGAAUUGCCUAAUAUGAUUUUCUUCUUUCCCAGCUGGCAAAGAAAGGGGAAAAGUUUCUUGAUCUUCCUUAUGUUGUAAAAGGGAUGGAUGUCUCUUUUAGCGGGAUAUUGAGCUAUAUUGAAGCAACUGCUGCGGAGAAGCUCAACAAUAAUGAGUGCACUCCUGCAGAUUUGUGCUAUUCCCUGCAGGUUAGUUGCAUUUUUUAUCCUUUAAUCCGUUGGAACAGCAUGAGCCAUAGCUUUAAAGACUGCAAUUAUAUCUAGCCAUUCUUCAUGGUCGUUAUAUGAAUCUAAUUGGAAAUUUACAUUUCGCUUGAUGAUGUGUUACAGGAAACUCUUUUUGCGAUGCUUGUGGAGAUCACGGAACGGGCAAUGGCACAUUGUGACAAAAAGGAUGUUCUUAUUGUAGGCGGUGUGGGUUGUAACGAGCGCUUGCAAGAGAUGAUGAGAACAAUGUGCUCCGAGCGGGGUGGAAGGCUGUUUGCAACGGAUGACCGAUAUUGUGUUGACAACGGAGCAAUGAUUGCGUACACCGGUCUGCUUGCUUUUGCUCAUGGUUCAUCAACUCCGUUAGAGGAAUCAACCUUUACCCAGCGAUUCAGGACGGAUGAAGUGCAUGCAGUCUGGAGAGAAAAAGAAGAUUCAGCUUGCAAGAAUGGUAGUCAUUAAGGAAGCUAGCUGAUUCAGAUGGUAGAUUUAGAGGUAGGAUCAUUCUGGCAGUGCCAGCAGUAAUUUAGUAUUAAGCUUGCGAAUGAAUUUUGAUUAAAGAUGUUGUAAAUUUAAAGUAGGAAGCAAAUUAUUUUGUGUUCAAGCAUUUAAAAUAGUUCGUAUUUUCUUCUUAGUAAUGUACAUCCACAAUUUUAAGGAUGAGUUAUAUAAAGCACUCUUAAUUAUAAUGAGAGAUGGUUUAGCGGACGAUGUUAUUUAUGUUAUCGUAUUACCAUGGACAUACGUUGGUUAAUUUACAACUUCAACUCCACUUAUGAGAUUUUAUUAAAUUAUGCCGAUCGAAAGAAGUUGUUCGCUAAAUUGUAAAUCCGUAAAUAUGAAAAUUUUUAUGGGCUAAUGGGCUUGUUUAGUUGAGAUGAGAUGGAGAAUGAAGGCCAGGCCCAAUUAAGCCCAAAAUAUACACAACGCAGCAAACUAAAAGGGCACGAUCAAUUUCGCAGUUUCCACUUUCCAUAUUCCUCCACACGACUGACAGAAGAAGAAGAAGCAUCGAUCGAAAGAGUUAGCGAGUGUUGACAAAAUAAGUGAAAGGAUGGGGCACACAGGCGAGUUCUUCAGGCGGAGAGAUGGGUGGAGAAAGCAUCCACUGCUGACGAGCAAUCUGCGUCAAGCCACCCCAGGACUCGGCAUCGCUCUCGUCGCUUUUGGAAUCUAUCUUGUUGGCGAACAAGUCUACAAUAGGGUCAUCGCUCCUUCUCCUUCUCAUUCUCACCACACCCACCACCAGCACUCCGCUGCGUCCUCUUCUCACUGAAGCUCUUCAGCUCUCCUGCUUCUCUCAGGUCUGUUGUUGAAUUGAAUUGCCCCCACAUUUGACUGCAAAAAUUUCUCUUUUUCUUUUCUGGGUUAUAUUGUUUAAUAACAUUUUGUUAGGUUUGUUUUCGGUGUGAUUUUUUGAGAUUUGGGGUUUUGCUGUGGAUUUUAUGAUAUGGGUAUGUGAUAAAUUUUUAGGUUUUUCUUAGUUUAGUUUAACAAUCUGGUCAGAUUCAUCCAUCGUGCUUCAGCUGCUGACCCUACACAUUUGAGAAUAAAUUCAUCUUCUUGCCUGUUUUUGAUAGAAUUAGCAUUCGUCUGUCUUUUUUUUAUUUAUUUAAAUUAUGAUAUGUUUGUUAACCAUGCGAGUCUGUGUAAAAUUUUGGAUUUUAUGGGUUUUUUGUGAAAUGAAUAUGUCUGAAAUUUAUGUUUUUAUUGAUAUUAAGAUCUAGACGGGUUCACCUGCUCUCUGGCCAGCUGGGUAGUACACUUCAUUUCUUUUGCAUUUUAUGUAUUAUGCUUAUUUCCUUGCUAUUGGUGCUAGAUUUCGGAUUUUCUGGUACUUUAUGACGUGUUUGUAUCUAGUUUAGGUUUUUAUUUGUAUUAUGGCCACAUUGGUUUCAUUGCUCUCAUCAUUUCUGAUUGCUAAGUCAUACUCAUUUGAUGUGCAUCAUAUGGUUAUUGUCUUGUUUAUUCACAUGAUCUUUAGUUGAGCCAAAUGUGUAGAGUUGUUACUGUUCAACAGGGGUUUCUAUUUAGUAAUCACUCCAUGUGAAGCAGUCCCUCUUUUUCCUUAUGCAAUGUUGCUGCUAUUUCAUUCAAUUUGACUAUGAUUUUGUUGUUUAUAGCUAAUUGAUCAUCAUUGAUGGAGGAAUGUUAGGAAAUUAAGUUGUAUUAAAUACUAAAUAUAGACAAUUUGGUUAGGCAUAAGACGAAUGGAAAAUGUUUGUUCUUAGAUGCUGGGCAGUAAGUUAUUUACUUACACUGAUGAAGUUAUAACUAACACUAGUUUCAUAUGGCUGAGUGAUUUACUUGUAUGGUUAUUUUAUCUGUUGGGAAUGCAGUUGUGGGGAUUAGCUGGUUCCACCGGCAAGUUCUUUUUCACUUUGAUGGGGUGUGUUAGGAAUGAAUGACAUUCAAACUGUGGAUUUGAUGCCAGGGGCUUUUCAACUCUAUGGAGGGCAGGGGAUAAGGGUCGCAAAGAACACCUUGGAGAUUGUCAUUUCUAGGAUGAGCAAUAAUACCCUUCUGAAAAUUCAUUGGUUUGUCAGUGUUUGAUUUAUGACCAUCCGAUUUCUGAUCCUACAAUUUUUUGGGCUAAUUUAGAAAUCAUAUGGUGUUAAAUACUGUAUCUUAUUUGGUAGUAUUUUACGAAAUAAUAUACGAAAUAAUAUUUGCUUAUGAUUGACUUUACAAAACAAUAUCCGGUGUGCUUGUAUUAACCCUGCUGUGUUUUCGGAAGGCUUGCAAGUAAUUUUACAGUACAGAGGGCUGCUUUGUUAUUCUGUUAGUUGGUUAUUGAUGUAGAACAGGCCGUAGCUUGGACAGUUUUUUCUUUAUUUUAAGUUUUUUUUUUUUUUUUUUAAUUCUGUCUGUAGAACUUUAUUGUGUUAAAAUAAUUUGAAUUUACACAGUUUGGUAAAUUCACGUUAUUUAGUGUUUUAGUAUAAAAGGGAGCUGAACCCUAUUUGUUUUGGUUGGUUGAUUCAUAAUAUUAAAAAAAAAAAUCUUUUUGAGAAGAUUUGUUCUUUCUUUACUUUCAUGUUGUGUCAGUUAUCCCCAUUAAAGUUUACAAUUGCCCUUUAUUAUUCUUUGACGAGGAGCUUUUGCGAAUCUGUGAUUUAAGCUGACAGAAUUGUUACAUGCAAAUUUAAUAUGACCAAACAGAUCCUCUAUCUAGCCCUCCUAGUUAUGUAUCUAUCUUGAUUAUUUUCUUAAUAGGUGGCUGAAGAUGGUGGUCACAUGUUGGAAGAGGAUUGAAGUUUGGACCUGUUUUCAUUUCCCAUUUUGUUAUUUGAUUUAAUAAGAUCAACUUUGCCAUGUUUAGUGUUACUUUGUUGUGUAUUAAGUUUAGUGUGUUAGACUUGAUCUGAUAUGUAGAUGUUUAAUCUUUUGCUUUUGAUAUCGUUAUGCAUUCAAUGGCUCUACAUUUGGUGCCUGAAAUGUUUCGAAUAAAGAAGUUUCCUUAUAUAAAUAUGUUGUCUUAUUUAUAUAUUUUUUGAUCAAGUUUUCUAUUUUUAUGCAUGACGUUUUUAUGGUUCGUUUCCUUAAUUUAAUUUUUUUGUACCAGUCAUUGAAAAAAGGAAUGUAACUUAAAAUGAUGACUUAAAUUUUCAUUCGUUUCAUUUCAUUCAAUCUAAAGGUGUAUAUUUUUUUGUCAAAAAUCUGCAAUGAGUCACCUUUAUUCUUGUAUUAUUCAAAUGAAUAGAUCAGCCGAAUGAAAGUUUAAUUAAAAGAUUGAAUAGAUUAAAUGGAUGAAAAUUGAAGUAAAAUGUUGAAGUUAAGGAGCCCUAAAAGUUAUAGAAGAAACUCGAUGAGAGUAACGUUGAAAAUAUGUUAUCUGUUAUGGUUAAAAAUAUGUUAUCCGUACUUUAAGAACUUUCGGAUUUUUAUGUAUGUGUGUGUAGUUCUUUUCUAAUGCAAGUGUCUUCAUUUUUUUUUAUAUCCAGACACAUUUUUUAAAUCAUAAGAUUUAAGAGAGUUAGGUUGUGUUUGUUUUUUUAUUUGAAAUUUGAAUAGGUAUGAAUUUAACUGAAGUCUGAAUAGGUCUGAAUGAAAAUAUCUUAGUGAUAUAUUGUUUUUUUGUUUUCAACAUCUAAAGAGAGAGAUUUAAAAGAUAGGAGUUUGACAUAAAUAUCAUUUUAAGUGGUGCAUAUAUUUGUUCUUCACAAUUUAUGAUUUUCACAGGUUGAUUAAUUUGGUAGCAUUAAAAAAAAAUACUAUCAUUGUUGAUCUUAAUUUAAUUUUUUAAUAAAAAAAUGUAAUAAUAACAUCAAAUUUUAUUAUAAAAUCAAAACUGUUAUUUUAUUUUUUAUUUAUCACAAUGGACAUAUUUUAAUUUGUUCAAUAUUUCAGUUUAGUUAAUGUUAUCAUGUGAAUAAAAAUUUAAACCAAUUAAAAAAAUAACUUCAAGAAUAAUAUAUAAAUAUUAAGUUUAUACAUAAUAUUGAAAAUACAUGAAUUAUUAAGGGUAUUUUUGAGAUUUGAAAUUGAAAUUUUACAUUUAGACUUCACACUUCAAAUAAAAGUGGAAUUUUUUCUACUUUUUCUAUUCAGAUAAAAUUGUUUGAUAAUAAGUGAUAAGUUAAAAAAAUAAAUAACCUAAAAUAAAUAAAUAUCUGAAAAAAAAUUAAAUUCAGACUUCAGACUAAAAAAUAAAUAGUAUCUUAAUUUUUAAUUAUUUUAAAUCAUAUAAUUUAAGAACGUGUCUGCAUUAUAAAAAAAAAUAUAAACGCUCGUACUUAAAAAUAAUUAUACAAAAGAGUAUGCGUAGAGUGGAAGGAUAUAAUUAUUAUAUCCUGAAUGAACAAACCAACAGGCCAGCUCGAUUUUUAUUAUGAUAAUUCCUAGAGCCGUUAAAUAAGAAAUUUACAGUUUAUGGCGGGGCCUCAUAAUAAAAAAUUAUUAUUUUAACUAGUGGAAAAGAACAAUAUAUUUAAAUUGGUCUUGGAGAAUGGUCGGUGAAUGAAGCCAAAUUAAAUUUGCACGAAAAAUCCAAGAACAUGUGAGACUUGCUGCAAUUAUUGUAUUAUGUGUCCUCCGCUAUAAUUCAAAGCAAAUGAAAUCCGUGACAAUAUAUAUGUAAUCAAGUAGCUGGUCCAAGGCGCAUUAAAAAAAAGGGGUAGCUGGUCCAAGGGCAAGUUGUGAAUUAUUCCAAUAUAAAAUUAUUUGAUUGUUAACGACGUUUUUUUAUUUAAAAUUAUAAAAUUAUUUUAAUAGAUAAGUAUAUUAAAAUUAUAUUAUUAAAGGAAUGAAAUAAAUAAGAAUAUUUUAAAAAAAUCUAUUUUUUUAAUAUAAAAACUCUACAACUUCAAAAGUCUAAAAACUUAAACUUUUGUUAAUAAAAAUAAAAUAAUUUAUUUAAUCUCUAAAAAUUCAACUCAAAAUUCGAUCAAACAAUACUAAAAAUUUUAAAAAGAUCUUUAAAAACGAAAUAAAUAUUUUUAAGCAUUAAAAAAGUUAUAUUAAACAUGCACUUAUUACAUAUAUAGACGGAUUAAACAUGCACUUAUACGAGGAACAUUACCCAGCCCCUGGGGACUUGGAACUCAUAUCCUAAAUGUUGAGGGCAUGCGUUCUCACCUAUGCCCCUAGAGGGAAGUCACUUAUCUAUGACGGUUACUUUGCCAUAAAUAUCUGUUUACGGAAGAGCAAUAUUCACCAUACAAAACCUCUAGUUGGAUAAGCCCUCUCCUUUUAACUUUUUUUUUCGAUUUUUUGAAUACACACACACACACACACGCACACAAAUCAUAAUUGAAGCGCCAUCGAUAUAAUUAGGAGAACUUGCAACGAGAGAAGCUGCUGGCAUCUCCCAAACAAGCUUGAAAAAGUAGUCAGUAAGAGUUGUGCACAGGAAAAAAAAAAAAAAAAGCAUGGGAAAUAAUAAUGUGAUGGGAUUGGGAGGUGGUGUCUUAGCAGCGAUCAUAGUGUCAAUAUUGGCUGCAUCUAGAAGCUUUGAAUGCAUCUAGAAGUUUUGAAUAAACAAGUUUUUUGCACACGGCUUUGAAGAUUGAAAAUGCCGAAAUUGUUGAGGAAGAAAGAAGACUUUGGCAGCUGCAAAAGAGGAAGAAGAAUGAAGAAAAAUCAAAGGCGGUUUAAAAUAUAAUAAUAUUUUAAAAGCCAAUUUUGGCUAUAUAAAGGGAGCUCUUCAUUUGGUUUUUAGCAUCUAAUUCCAUCGAGAGAGAAGCAUUGUCUUCCUUUAGAGUUGAGAGUUUUAAGAGUUUAAUAAACUUUUGAGUGUCUAGUGAGUUAGAGAGUUUGGGUGUAUUGGGGUUUUGGGAAGUGAGCUAAAAUACUACAACACUUGUAACUCCUUUUCACUAGUAAAAUAUUUCAUUCUGUCUUCGCCCGUGGAUGUAGGCUAAAAGCCGAACCACGUAAUUUUUGGUGUCCUCUAUUGUGCUUGUUCUUUAUUUUAUUUCCAAUUUUAUUUUAGCUGUGGUCCUGCUGCACCUACCAAUUCCCUAACAGUGGUAUCAGAGCUAUUGGUUGUAUUUUUGGAGUCAGGAACUGUUCACGUAAGGGGUACUAUUCACGUAUACGGCACCGUACACGUAUACGGUACUGUUCAUGUACACGGUGUUGUUCACAUAGACUGAACUAUUCACGUAUACGGUACUAUUCACGUGAAGCGGUGGAAGCGAUCCAAGAAUUUUGCGGUGCAAAGCAGGGAAUAGUGGUGUGAGUAAAGCAACUGUGUGGUUUUGUACAUGUCUAGGAAAGUUCUGUCACAAAGGCGAUAAGAGCUUAAGGAGUCUGGGUUUUAAGUGGGACCAUUGUGACCCCUCCAGUCUUUCCUGGGAACUUUCCUGGUGUGCAUUCUUACACAUACUCACAACUAUUCAAGGUGGUAUACUUGCUUGUGUGCAGUAUUUAUCAACAAAAUGGCGGCAAAGUAUGAAAUUGAGAAAUUUAACGGAAAUAAUUUUUCGUUGUGGAAAAUGAAGAUGAAAGCUGUAUUGAGGAAAAAUAAUUGCUUGGCAGCAAUUGGAGAAAGACCCAUGGAGAUAACUGAUGACAAGUGGAACGAGGUAGACGGCAACGCCAUUUCUGAUCUACACUUGGCACUUGCAGACGGAGUAUUAUCCAGUGUGGCAGAGAAAAACACAGCGAAGGAAAUAUGGGAUACUCUCACAAAAUUGUAUGAGGCCAAGUCACUACACAACAAAAUCUUCUUGAAGAGAAAACUCUAUACUCUUCGAAUGGCAGAAUCUACAAUGGUGACCGACCACAUCAACACAUUGAAGACUCUAUUUUCACAACUCACAACGUUGGGUCAUAAUAUAGAGGAAAAUGAACGUGCAGAGCUUCUACUUCAAAGUCUACCAGAUUCGUAUGAUCAACUCAUCAUCAACCUAACGAACAACAAUCCAGUGGAGAGUCUAGUUUUCGACGAUGUUGCAGCCUCCGUAUUAAAUGAGGAGAGCAGGCGGAAAAAUAAGGAAAACAGACAAGCAAGUUCGCAGCAAGCGGAGGCGCUAUCAGUGACGAGAGGGAGAUCAACGGAACGUGGCCCCAGUGGGAGUCAAAAUCAGGGUAGAUCAAAAUUCAGAGGUAAGAAGAAUGUUAAAUGCUACAACUGUGGCAAGAAAGGGCACGUUAAGAAAGAAUGUUGGAGUAACCAGAAGAGAAGAGAGGGCAAAGAACCUGAGACAUCAAAUGCUCAGGGGUGUGUAGCAAGUACCUCGGAUGAUGGCGAAAUUCUCUACAGUGAGGCAACAACUGUUUCAGAAGGCAGAAAACGACUUUCUGAUGUCUGGCUUAUAGACUCAGGAGCUACCUGGCACAUGACCUCUAGGAGAGAAUGGUUCCACACAUAUGAACCUAUCUCAGGAGGAUCUGUAUAUAUGGGUAACGAUCAUGCCUUGGAGAUCGCUGGUAUUGGUACUAUCAAAAUAAAAAUGUUUGAUGGUACAAUUCGCACAAUUGGAGAGGUACGACAUGUCAACGGCCUGAAGAAAAAUCUAUUGUCUUUGGGACAAAUGGAUAGUCAUGGGUACAAAACUCAUGUGGAGAAUGGAAUUAUGAAGAUCGUUAAAGGCGCGCUUGUAUUGAUGAAGGUAGAAAAGAUCGGUGCUAAUCUAUUCAUGCUUAAAGGAGAAACACUACAGGAGGCUGAUGCGUGUGUCGCAUCAAAUGGAGAAGAGUCAACGAUGAUGUGGCAUCUCAAACUUGGCCACAUGUCGGAACAAGGUUUGAAGAUUCUCUCUGAGCGAAAAUUGCUUCCAGGGCUCAAAUCGGUAAGUUUACCAUUUUGCGAGCAUUGUGUUACAAGUAAGCAGCAUAGAUUAAAAUUCAGUAGAUCUAUUGCUAGAAGUAAAUGCAUUCUCGACUUGAUUCAUUCUGAUGUUUGGGAAUCACCGGAUAUAUCCAUGGGAGGUGCAAAGUACAUGGUGACUUUCAUUGAUGAUUAUUCCAGAAGAUGUUGGGUGUAUCCAAUUAAGAAAAAGUCAGAUGUAUUUCCUGUGUUUAAAGAAUACAAAGCGUGGGUGGAACUUGAAUCUGGUAAAAAGAUCAAGUGCUUGAGGACAGAUAAUGGUGGAGAAUAUACAGACGGCGAGUUUCUUGCUUUCUGUAAGCAAGAAGGUAUUCAGAGACAGUUCACGGUGGCAUACACUCCUCAACAAAAUGGAGUGGCAGAACGGAUGAACAGAACUCUUACAGAAAGAAUAAGAGCUAUGUUGAGGACUGCUGGUCUACCCAAUUCAUUCUGGGCAGAAGCAGCCAAAACUGCCUGUUAUAUAGUAAAUCGGUCGCCAUCUACAGCUAUUGGGUUGAAGACAGCGAUGGAGAUGUGGACUGGAAAGCCAGCUGAUUAUUCCUACCUACAUGCAUUUGGAUGUCCUAUGUACGUGAUGUACAAUGCCCAAGAAAGAACAAAGCUGGAUGCAAAAUCUAGAAGAUGUAUCUUCUUGGGGUAUGCUGAUGGAGUAAAGGGGUAUCGUCUGUGGGACCCCACUGCCCAUAAGAUCGUCAUCAGCAGAGAUGUUAUCUUUGUAGAAGAUCAACUGCAAAGAAAAGAUGGAGAUGAUGGCACUGUAAAAGAAAAGUCUGAGACUGUGCCAGUAUAUGUCGAAAAUAAUCCAGAAAAUUCAGAUUCUUCUGAAGCAGCACCAGAGCACGAGGAACAAGAACCAGUCGAGUCCGAGGCUCCAGAAGUUCGUCGGUCAACUCGUGAGAGACGACCGCCAACGUGGCACUCGGAGUAUGUCACAGAGAUCAAUGUUGCAUACUGUCUUCUAACAGAGGAUGGAGAGCCUUCAACUUUCCAUGAAGCUUUAAACAGUUCAGAUGUUGCUUUGUGGAUGACAGCAAUGCAGGAAGAAAUUGAAGCUCUACACAAGAACAAGACAUGGGAACUUGUACCACUACCACGUGGAAGAAAAGCCAUUGGAAACAAAUGGGUCUACAAGAUCAAACGUGAUGGUAAUGACCAAGUGGAGCGGUAUCGUGCGAGAUUGGUGGUGAAAGGAUAUGCUCAGAAAGAAGGUAUUGACUUCAAUGAGAUAUUUUCUCCGGUGGUUCGACUCACAACAGUCAGAAUAGUCUUGGCAAUGUGUGCCACAUUUGACCUACAUCUAGAGCAGUUAGAUGUGAAAACUGCAUUUCUUCAUGGAGAACUUGAAGAAGAAAUAUAUAUGCUCCAACCAGAAGGUUUUGCAGAAACAGGAAAGGAGAACUUGGUUUGCAGGUUGAACAAAUCUCUAUACGGUCUCAAACAGGCGCCGAGGUGUUGGUAUAAGAGAUUUGAUUCCUUCAUCAUGAGCCUUGGAUACAACAGACUCAGUUCAGACCAUUGUGCAUAUUACAAGAGGUUUGAAGAUAAUGAUUUCAUCAUUUUGUUGUUGUAUGUGGAUGACAUGUUGGUAGCAGGUCCCAACAAAGAUCGAAUCCAAGAAUUGAAGGCACAGUUGGCUAGGGAGUUUGAAAUGAAGGACUUGGGACCAGCAAACAAGAUUCUAGGGAUGCAAAUUCACCGAGACAGAAAUAACAAGAAGAUUUGGCUUUCGCAGAAGAAUUAUUUGAAGAAAAUCUUGCGGCGCUUCAACAUGCAAGAUUGUAAGUUAAUUUCUACCCCACUUCCUGUUAAUUUCAAAUUAUCCUCAAGUAUGUGUCCUAGUAAUGAAGCAGAGAGGAAGGAGAUGUCUCGAGUACCGUAUGCAUCAGCGGUGGGAAGUUUAAUGUUCGCUAUGAUAUGUACAAGACCGGACAUUGCACAAGCAGUGGGAGCAGUCAGUCGAUACAUGGCGAAUCCUGGUGGAGAGCAUUGGAUAGCUGUGAAGAGGAUUCUGAGAUACAUCAGAGGAACCUCAGAUGUUGCAUUAUGUUAUGGAGGAUCAGAGUUUACUGUCAGAGGCUAUGUAGAUUCAGAUUUUGCAGGAGACCUUGAUAAAAGGAAAUCCACUACUGGUUAUGUGUUUACACUUGCGGGAGCAGCUGUAAGCUGGGUUUCAAAACUGCAGACCGUUGUGGCUUUAUCUACAACAGAAGCAGAAUACAUGGCAGCUACACAAGCUUGCAAGGAAGCUAUUUGGAUACAAAGAUUAUUGGAGGAGCUCGGGCACAAACAACAGAAAAUUCCUGUGUUUUGUGACAGUCAGAGUGCCUUGCACAUUGCAAGGAAUCCAGCCUUUCAUUCCAGGACAAAGCACAUAGGAGUCCAGUAUCACUUCGUUCGUGAAGUAGUGGAAGAUGGAAGUGUGGAUUUGCAGAAAAUCCAUACCAAAGAGAACCUAGCAGAUGUUUUGACCAAGCCGAUAAAUACUGAUAAGUUUGUCUGGAGUAGAUCCUCUUGUGGCCUAGCAGAAACGUAGGCAACAUGAUUAUGGCGAAGCAGAAAGGAUGGUGUGGAGAUUGAUUGAUUUUUCAAUUUAAUCUCCAAGUGGGAGAAUGUCAAUAUUGGCUGCAUCUAGAAGCUUUGAAUGCAUCUAGAAGCUUUGAAUAAACAAGUUUUUUGCACACGGCUUUGAAGAUUGAAAAUGCCGAAAUUGUUGAGGAAGAAAGAAGACUUUGGCAGCUGCAAAAGAGGAAGAAGAAUGAAGAAAAAUCAAAGGCGGUUUAAAAUAUAAUAAUAUUUUAAAAGCCAAUUUUGGCUAUAUAAAGGGAGCUCUUCAUUUGGUUUUUAGCAUCUAAUUCCAUCGAGAGAGAAGCAUUGUCUUCCUUUAGAGUUGAGAGUUUUAAGAGUUUAAUAAACUCUUGAGUGUCUAGUGAGUUAGAGAGUUUGGGUGUAUUGGGGUUUUGGGAAGUGAGCUAAAAUACUACAAUACUUGUAACUCCUUUUCACUAGUAAAAUAUUUCAUUCUGUCUUCGCCCGUGGAUGUAGGCUAAAAGACGAACCACGUAAUUUUUGGUGUCCUCUAUUGUGCUUGUUCUUUAUUUUAUUUCCAAUUUUAUUUUAGCUGUGGUCCUGCUGCACCUACCAAUUCCCUAACACAUAGUUAUGAUGAUACUCUUCUUCACAGCGAAUCAAUCUUGUGCUGCAGGCAACGGCACCAACAUUACUAAUUUCCAUAUUGAUCCUGAUGUGUUGUUCUUUUAUGAUGAUCCAGAAUCGGAAUUGGCUGCUGCCGCGACUGCAACAAACGUAUUGAAUAUGAAAUCCUUGAAGCUGCCUCCGGUGUUCGAUUGCGGAAAAGGCCAAGGCCCAGCCUAUCGCUCUUGUACCCCUCCUCCCCAGGGUUCCAAAAGGGGUGAACAUUGCCCACCUAACGGCGCGUACAAUCGAGGGUGCCAUUAUUAAGCCUUAAGUCUGCACUGCUGCAUCCAUGCAUAUGCAUUAAUAAAUAAAUUAAUUGAAACUUGUAAUUUGAUUAGCACUAAUUAAUUCGUUGUUAAAUUAGCUAAGGUUACUCCAUCUUGAUGCUAUCGUUCAUGUUCACUCAUUUCAAUUCUACCAUACUCGUCCUGAAUUUAUUAACUUUCCAUGUGCGUGCGUAUUAACAGCCUGGAGAAGUAAUUAAUUAAUUGAUUAACCAUUGAUGGCAUUUUGCAUGACCUACUCUUAAUUACCGGCCUCUCGAAGGGAAACCCGCUACGAUAUAAAUCAAACAACUGAACGUACAACUUCAUUACAUUUCCCGCAAUAAUGCCUAACAUUCAAUGAUUUAUCUGCUCCCUCCCAUCAUGCCUUAAUUAAUUGUUACCACAACAUCAUCCCGAAUUUUGUAAUUACAAUUAAUUAUAUAUGUUAGCUAUUUUUCUUUUUAAUAAAUAAUUUUACAGACACAGACACAAUUAGCGUGGCAUAUGGGAGGAUGUUUAGUUGAAACUUGGAAGCGAUAUCAAUUAAUCCAUCAUGCUUUUGUCCAACUUCUACAGAUCUUCACGAUUAUGAAAUCUAUUAUUUCUUUUCCAUUCACUUCUUGUGAUACAUUGUCCGCCCCACGUGUUAGCCUUUAAUUAUGCCAUCUUGCAACAUAAAGCCCAUUGUUUGAGAAUUAAUCUCAGUUAAAGGGGCAGCUGAGACUUGAGCCAUGAACUUUGAUGGUCACGUAGGUGGUGUCGUCCAUGUGCCAAGUAUAAAUCAAUCAAGCUUUUAAGUAAUUAUUGGUUGGGCGAAAAUGAAAGCAAAGUGCAUAUUUAUGACUAGCUGUAGAAGAGAGCGAAAGGGCAGAACGAGCGUAUAAAGGGAGCUUUCGAUGACUUGGCUCAAAUAAAGGCAGUUUUAUAUUUAUACACGGAUGGUGCAGUCAGUGACUUGACUAUAUGUGUAUUUCCUUGUUUUUUUUUUUUCUUUUUAAAUACCCAAAACUAAAAAACAGGGCAUGCACUCUGUUUAUAUUUCUAUGAAAUCGUUGUUCAUUAAGCAAAUUUCUUCCUCUAAGUUCAGAUAAUUUCAUGAUUUGUCACUGACUGCACCCAAUAAAAAGAUAAAGAAUCAAAAGGACAUAUUUUAUGUGUAAAUACACAUCAAAUCUCUUUUAUCAAUCAAAAUUUUAUUAUUAUUAAUAAAAUAGGCUGUAUAGCAUAUUCUAUUUUCUCCCUCAGCUAAGAUACUAAUAUAUUACCAAAUUAAUUCGUAAACGGAAAUUAAGAAAGUUAGAUCUCCAGUGAUUGUCCGUGCAAUCUCUGACUUGGCGGCACUGGAUUUUAUCAAUGCUUCGUUGUUAAAAUUUCCCGUGAAGGACGUAUAAAUUGCUGCCAUGGUGAUCUUUGCAAAGGAUGUGACCAUUGCUGCGCUGGAUAAUACUGCUGGGGAUGUGAACAUUGCUGUGCUGGGUAUAAAAUGCAAGGGAUAUGAAUGUAAUUGGAGAUCGUUUUCAUUUUUGUUUGUCGUUUUCGCUUUUUCAAGGUUGGUAAAUGGAGAGUGAAGAAACAGCAGAUCAUCGAGGAGGAUUCACUAACUUUCGUGAAUUUAGAGAGGGGUUUCCUUGAGAUUAUGUGCUUGUUUGGUACGACUUAUUUAAUGGUCACAAGUGAAGUACUUAUUUAAUAUCAUCAGCUCUUAUUUUAAUUUUCGUUAUUGUUUAGUUGUUUAUUUAAUAGAGCAUUUGAAAUUUAAAUAAGUUAUUUUGUCUUUUUUAACAAAACCUCAAAUUUUUUUGGGCAUAGGACGAAUGAAAAACAUUUGUUCUUGGAACACCUUUUCCUAGUUUCAAAUAGAAGUGAGAGAGAGUUGAUGCUAAAAAGACCGCCAGACUUAUAUUUUUCCAUGAGAAUUAUGUGUUAUGUGGAACUAAUUUUAAUUUACUUUCGUGAUCUUGUUACAAUGUUAGCUCUUUGUUCAUGAAUUGAUUAAUACUUGUUUCUUUUUACUCAAAAGUCUUCAUCUUAUUAACUUGCAUCAUCUUUUUCUUCUUCUUUUUCUCCGCGUGGUCUUCAAUCACCUAGUUUCUCUCCUAUAGGAUGAGCAUUAAUACCCAUCCGAAAAUGCAUUGGUUUGUCGCUGUUUGAUAAAUGACAAGCGGAUUUCUCGUCCCACAAUUUUUUUGGUCCAAAUGAGAAAUAAUAUGGUAUCAACUACUGUAUCUUGACUGGUAUUAUUUUAAGAAAUAGCAUUUGCUUACUAUUUGACUUAACAAAACAAUAUCCAGUGCGCUUGUAUUAACCCUGCUGCGUUUUUUUCACAAUAUCUAUUUCUAUUCUUUGCUGAGGACUUUUGUGAAUCUGUGAUAUAAGCUGGCGGAAUCGCUGCAUCCAAAUUUAAUAUGAGAAAACAUAUCCUCAAGCUAGCCCGCUUAACGCGUAGCGGAUAUUAGUAAUAAGAAUGACCAUAGCACAGCCACAGAAACGGCGCAGCCCCAUUCUAUCAUUUUUGUGCCCCCUCCUCAAACUUUUUUGAUAUCACUCUUUAUUUCACCAUACUCUAUUUUGAUUAAUUCGAUUUAUUUCUCAAAUUACUCCCAUUAAAAAUAUUUUAUCUCUAUUGUUUCUCACUUGCUCUUCUCAUUAUAUUUCAACUAAUGGUACAACAAUCGAAAUGGAAAAUUUAGAAUCAAAAUCAAUGACAUGUUUACUUGCAAAAUUAAGGUUUGGGAUUGGAACUGAAGUAGUGUCGGACCCACAAAUUUGAGAAUCACUACCAUAGCUCUGAUUCCAAAGCGAGGGGUUUGGAAUCUGAAUUCGAUUUCUAUAACUACCCAUUUUACUCCCAUUAAACUUUUAUAAUCUCUAAAUUACUCUCAAGUAAGUUAUGUCAUUUUUUUCUUUUUGGUUCCCAUGGAAUUUAUCAAACAAACUCAAAUUUCUUGAAUUAUUUGCAAAUAGGUCCUUUAUUGUUUAUAAUAAUGUAAUAAUAAUAUUAUAUUAUUAUCAUUAUUAUAUUUAAAAUUUAUUUAUUUUAUUAUUUUAAUUAUUAUUAUUGUCAUUAAUUUCAUCAUCAUCAUCAUUUCAUCAUCAUUAUUAUUAAUUUUUUUUUUAUUUUUCUUUUAGGAAAACAUGGUACACAUAAAUAGCUAGACAAAGAGAAUCUCUUAUAUAUAUCAAGAGAUCUUACAAGUUAAAUUGAACCAAAUUGAGACCAUCAUACAAUUGACGGGUAAUAACAGUACCCAUACUUUUAUUUUCUUAAACAUAACAUAAGAGACUAAUACUGCAUAUUCUUAACCAGUGUGAUCAGGGUUUCUUCCAUAUUGCGGGACCACAAGAAGAUCAAUAUUUCCAUUAAUUUCAUCAUCAGCAAUAAGUGAAAAAGUUGUGGCUAUAAGCCCCUCCGACCAAUCGGUAUAACCUGAAAAAUUCAUGUUAUAAAACUUAAUCACAAAUACACAUAUUAAAAUAAGAAUUAUAAAUGACAUUUAUUUGAAAAUGGAUGGCCUAUGUAUAAACCUGCGCAAGGAGUUCCCAUAAUCUUCAAAUCAGGAAGGCAAACGAUUUCUGCUGGCUUCGACUGAACCGUAUUCAAAACUCAAAAGGUAAGUAGUUGUGCUUGAGCGAGUUCUUAUUUCUGGUUUGAUCUGAUAUAUAUAGAUCAAGUAGCCGACACUACGGUGCCAACGUGGCAAAGUAACAAGUUGUGCAUGGUAAAGAUAAUGGAUCAAUGGUUCUAAUUUAAUCGUACAAUAAGUAGGGAAGGUCAACAGCUCUAUAUGGUUAAGUUAGUGCAUGUGUGAUACAUGAUUCAAAAAAUAAAUAAUUCUAAAUACGAAGGACACGAGCAAAUAAAGUAAUAAAUGCAAUUACCAAAUAAUAGUGCGUGGUAUACUAUAGAUAAUGGAUCAACCAUUCAGAUUUCAUCAUACAAUAAGUAGGUAAGAUUAACGGUUAGUGUUAAAUCAUUGCAUGUGCGAAACAUGGUCCACAAAAUAAAUAGUAGUAAACAAGAAAGACGAAUAAAGUAAUCAAAUACCAUGUCAUCAGAUAAAAAGAAAAAAAGAAAGGUAUACAUACCAUUACGAAACAAUUGCUUGGUAAAGAUAACAGAUUUACCGCUGAAGUCUGAUAAUUGUAAGAUUAACGGCUAUAUAUGGUUCAACUGCAUGUGUAAAUAAAGUAUGAAUGAAUGGGUCCAGGAAAUAAAUAAGAAGACCACAAGCAUAGUGGUCUAAAAAAUAAAUAAGAAGCGAACUGACGAUACAUAUAGAUCAAGUAGAUCAAGUAGCCGACACUACGGUGCCACGUAUCAAAUAAACAAGUCGUGCAUGGUAAAGAUAAUGGAUCAACGGUUCUAAUUUAAUCGUACAAUAAGUAGGUAAGAUUAAGGGCUCUAUAUUGUUAAAUUAUUGCACGGGCGAAAUAUGGUCCAAAAAAUAAAUAGUUGUAAAUAAGAAAGACGAACAAAUUAAGUAAUUAGUACCACUACCGAACACAGUGCAUUGGAAGGACUGGCUUUCUUCCUUUUUAUGAGAGCAAAGAACGAAAUUUUGUAAUAGUUUUACUUAACAGCUGAAAGUUAAUUUCAUUUUUAUAUCUUUCUUUUCCUUCUUUAUUUUUUAUAUUUUUCUGUUAUUAUUAUAAUUUUUCUUUUAUGUCAGUACGAGAGGCGUGUAAUGUUUUUGGUUUACUAAACCCUUAAUUCUCUUUCUAUUCAACAUCAAAUCUAACUAUCCUUGUAAAGCUUUAAAAUAGUCGAUUAUAGUUAAUUAUUUGAAAAAUAAUAACUAAAGUAAAUAAGUAUUUUUUUUUUUUUGGUGUAUUAAACUAUCUGGUAUCUAAAGACUACAUUGGGCCCCGACUAAUUUAGAUUCGAGACAGGCAGGACCAUUGAGGCGCCAAAGCUCUCCCAACAAGUAUUUAACACAACUGUACUCCCAAGUCUCGAACUGAGGACUUUGGUUAAGUUAAAACAACUCUAUGCCAACUGAUUUACGCGCUUGUCAGAUGUAAAUAAGCAUUUUAGUUAUCACAAUUAAACUCUUCUUUAGCAUUUAAUAGAAGUAGUUCUAUGAGCAUGGGUUUCGAGAGAGCAUGGCGGUGCGAAAAUGUUCGUGCGUUUACAGUCCCUAUGUUUUUAGUCAUAAUUUAUUUAGAUAUAGACAAAGACCCCUAAUGUUUAAAAAAUAGACACACAAAUGGCCCUUUUGAUUAUUUCACUCUUUGGUUCUAUUUAGCCAACGAAAAUUAAUUUCAAUCUAUUGUUCUAUAAUAAAUAUAAAUAUAGUAUUUAAAUCAGUGUAAUAAAUAAAUACAUUUUACAAUACAUAAACGUUAUUUGAGUUCUUUGCAAGAAUUAGCUAACCACUAUGCGGAGUUUGUUUAAGAAAAAUAUUGAAGAAGAGACAGCAUAAUUAAGCUGAUAGUAGAUAUAUAGCUAGACAAAGUUAAUCGACGUUAACAAACUGAUACACAAUACUUUUUUUAUUUAUUUUCUUAAACCUCGUUCACAAACAGAAUAUGUUUUUACUUUCAAUGGUACAUCAAUUUCUUGGAAGUCUACAAAACAGACUCUCGUUGCAACAUCCUCCAACCAUUCUGAAAUUCUUGCACUACAUGAAGCAAGUCGAGAAUGCAUAUGGUUGCGAUCUGUAAUCCAUCAUAUUCAAAGUACCUGUAGAAUAUCUUCAAGUUCAGAUAUCCCAACAGUGAUAUAUGAAGAUAAUGCUGCAUGUAUAGCUCAACUCAGAGGAGGAUACAUUAAAGAGGACAGAACAAAACAUAUUUCGCCGAAAUUCUUCUACACUCAUGAGCUCCAAUAGAACAAGAAGAUUGAUAUCAAACAGAUACGCUCCACGGAAAAUUUAGCUGAUAUGUUUACAAAAGCUCUACCUACAUCUACAUUCGAAAAAAUCGUAUAUGGUAUCGGCAUGCGUCGUUUUAACAAACUGAUAAAUUAAUGCAUGUUGCCUUUAGGAAGAGCACUCAACAAAAGGAGCGUGAUCUUACAAGAGAAGAAUCAUAGUAAUAUUGGACACAUAUGUACCAUACUCUUUUUUCUUUUUGACCAGGUUUUUCCACUGGAUUUUUACUGGCAAAGGUUUUUAAUGAGGCAGUAUCCAAUGUCAUCAGGGGGAGCACAUCUAAUAAAUAAUUGGUGAAUUCAAGGGGGAGUGUUGUAAAUCAUGGUGGAUUCCACCAAAAUAAUGCCCUCCCACCAAAAUAAGGCUCUCACAUUAUCAUCUUAUUGCUCUUCCCAUUAUCCUUUUUUAUAAUUAAUAAUUAUGAAUAACUCCACCUUGUAAUGCCUAUAUAAACCCUUUCUUUGUUAAUGAAUAAAGACAAUUUCAAUUCCUCGCUCAAGGCAUUUUACUUGUUUUCUUCAAUCUUUAUUUGAGUAUUCCUUACUUACAUAUUCCCAAUUAAAUAAUUACUUACAUACAAUCCCUUUAAAUUAUAACAUCCAUUAUCUCCAAAUUUAUAACAAAAACUUUAUUUUAAGUAGUGGAAAAGAACAGUAUAUUUAAAUUGUUCUCGGAGAAUGGUAGGUGAACGAGGCCAAAUUAAAUUUCCAAGAGCAUGUGAGACUUGCUCAAUUAUUGUAUUGUGUCCUACGCUAUAAUUAAAGCAAAUGAAAUCCGCGACAAUAUACGACAAUAUAUAUAUAUAAUCAAGUAGCCGGUCCAAAGCGCAUCAAAAAAGAAAAAGGGUAGCUGGUCUAAGGGCAAGUUGUGAAUUAUUCCAAUAAAAAAAAGUUGGAUUGUGACAGACAGUACGUAUACUGAGAGGAUGGAUUAGGUCUUUUAACUGUUAUAAAAUUAUUUGAUUGUUAAUGACGUCUUUUAUUUAAAAUUAUAAAAUUAUUUUAAUAAAUAAAUAUACUAAAAAUAUAUUAUUAAAGAAAUGAAAUAAAUAAGAGCAUUUUAAAAAAAUUAAUUAAAAAAAACUCUACAACCUUAAAAGUCUAAAAAUUUAAACUUUUGUUAAUAAAAGUAAAAUAAUUUAUUUAGUCUCUAAAAACUCAACUCAAAAUACGAUCUAACAAUACCAAAAUUUUUGAAAAGAUCUUUAGAAACGAAAUAAAUAUUUUUAGGUAUUAGAUAAGUUAUAUCAAACAUGCACGUAUUACAUAUAUAGAUGGAUUAUAAUUUAAUAUCAACUCCCAUAAUUAUUAGAGUUAAGUCUUCUCUUAUACUAGUAACAUUACCCACCCCUUGGGGACUUGGAACUCAUAUCCUAAAUGUUGAGGGCAUGCGUUCUCACCUAUACCCUUAGAGGGAAGUCACCAUAAAUAUCUGUUUGCGGAAGAGCAAUAUUCACCAUACAAAGCCUCUAGUUGGAUAAGCCCUGUCCUUUUUAAGUUUUUCGUUUUUUUGAUUACCCACACACACACACAAAUCAUAAUUGAAGCGCCAUAGAUAUAACUAGGAGAACUUGCAACGAGAAGCUGCUGGCAUCUCCCACACAAGCUUGAAAAAGUAGCCAGUAAGAGUUGUGCACGGAGGGCAAAAAAAAAAAAAAGCAUGGGAAAUAAUAAUGUGAUGGGAUUGAGAGGUGGUGUCUUAGCAGCGAUCAUAGUUAUGAUGAUACUCUUCUUCUCCGCGAAUCAAUCUUGUGCUGCAGGCAACAUUACUAAUUUCCAUAUUGAUCCUGAUGUGUUGUUCUUUCAUGAUGAUCCAGAAUUGGAAUUGGCUGCUGCUCCGACUUCUAAUAAAGCAUUGGAUCCCAGUCAAGCAUUCGGUUGCGGAAGACCCGGAAGCAUUCGCUCUUGUCCCCCUCAUCCCAAUGCCCCCAAAAAGCCCGAUCAUUGCGCACCUCCCCCCGGCAGCACGUAUGCCCCAGCCAAACGAGAUUGCUAGCUAGUUUAUGAUACAUCUUUAAUCUGCAAUCUUCAUCUUUAUCCUCAACUAUGCCAUGAUGUGGGUUUAUUCUGCAUAUGCAUGUUGUAUUUAAUUUAUAUAAGUAGCUAUAAUUAAUUAAUAAUCUCUCUUUCCCAUCCCUUCUUAAUUCUAUCUGUCUAUAUAUUAUUAAUAAUUAAGCCUUAAGCUUGUACUGCUGCAUCCAUGCAUAAUUGCAUAUGCAUUAAUAAAUAAAUUAAUUGAAACUUGUAAUUUGUUUAGCACUAAUUAAUUCGUUGUUAAAUUAGCUAAGGUUACUCCAUCUUGAUGCCAUCGUUCAUGUUCACUCAUUUCAAUUCUACCAUACUCGUCCUGAAUUUAUUAACUUUCCAUGUGCGUGCGUGUUAACAGCCUGGAGAUGUAAUUAAUUAAUUGAUUAACCAUUGAUGGCAUUUUGCAUCGAGCUGGACCUACUCUUAAUUACCGGCCUCUCGAAGGGAAACCCGCUACGAUAUAAAUCAAACAACUGAACGUACACCUUCAUUAGAUUUCCUGCAAUAAUCCCUAACAUUCAAUGAUUUAUCUGCUCCCUCCCAUCAUGCCUUAAUUAAUUGUUACCACAACAUCAUCCCGAAUUUUGUAAUUACAAUUAAUUAUAUAUGUUAGCUAUUUUUCUUUUUAAUAAAUAAUUUUACAGACACAGACACAAUUAGCGUGGCAUAUGGGAGGAUGUUUAGUUGAAACUUGGAAGCGAUAUCAAUUAAUCCAUCAUGCUUUUGUCCAACUUCUACAGAUCUUCACGAUUAUGAAAUCUAUUAUUUCUUUUCCAUUCACUUCUUGUGAUACAUUGUCCGCCCCACGUGUUAGCCUUUAAUUAUGCCAUCUUGCAACAUAAAGCCCAUUGUUUGAGAAUUAAUCUCAGUUAAAGGGGCAGCUGAGACUUGAGCCAUGAACUUUGAUGGUCACGUAGGUGGUGUCGUCCAUGUGCCAAGUAUAAAUCAAUCAAGCUUUUAAGUAAUUAUUGGUUGGGCGAAAAUGAAAGCAAAGUGCAUAUUUAUGACUAGCUGUAGAAGAGAGCGAAAGGGCAGAACGAGCGUAUAUAGGGAGCUUUUGAUGACUUGGCUCAAAUAAAGGCAGUUUUAUAUUUAUACACGGAGAAAUUAUAAAAGUACAAGUCGUUUUGGGUCAUCUUGAUUUUUGCCCCAGAUCAACUUUUUUUCAAAUAGUUUUAUUUAAGUGGUCAUUCAAAUUCAAAUUCAUGGGGAGAUUAGUAAUAAGAAAAGAAAUUUAGACUUUACCCACCCCUUUAUUUUUAUCAGAAUGAGACUAAGUACAUUAAAACUUAUCAGAUAGAACAAAUUCAGAAUAUUUUGAAGAAUGGCAAUUACAAAGACCGCCAGACUUAUAUUUUUCCAUGAGAAUUAUGUGUUAUGUGGAACUAAUUUUAAUUUACUUUCGUGAUCUUGUUACAAUGUUAGCUCUUUGUUCAUGAAUUGAUUAAUACGUGUUUCUUUUUACUCAAAAGUCUUCAUCUUAUUAACUUGCAUCAUCUUUUUCUUCUUCUUUUUCUCCGCGUGGUCUUCAAUCACCUAGUUUCUCUCCUAUAGGAUGAGCAUUAAUACCCAUCCGAAAAUGCAUUGGUUUGUCGCUGUUUGAUAAAUGACAAGCGGAUUUCUCGUCCCACAAUUUUUUUGGUCCAAAUGAGAAAUAAUAUGGUAUCAACUACUGUAUCUUGACUGGUAUUAUUUUAAGAAAUAGCAUUUGCUUACUAUUUGACUUAACAAAACAAUAUCCAGUGCGCUUGUAUUAACCCUGCUGCGUUUUUUUCACAAUAUCUAUUUCUAUUCUUUGCUGAGGACUUUUGUGAAUCUGUGAUAUAAGCUGGCGGAAUCGCUGCAUCCAAAUUUAAUAUGAGAAAACAUAUCCUCAAGCUAGCCCGCUUAACGCGUAGCGGAUAUUAGUAAUAAGAAUGACCAUAGCACAGCCACAGAAACGGCGCAGCCCCAUUCUAUCAUUUUUGUGCCCCCUCCUCAAACUUUUUUGAUAAUAAUUUUUUAUAUCACUCUUUAUUUCACCAUACUCUAUUUUGAUUAAUUCGAUUUAUUUCUCAAAUUACUCCCAUUAAAAAUAUUUUAUCUCUGUUGUUUCUCACUUGCUCUUCUCAUUAUAUUUCAACUAAUGGUACAACAAUCGAAAUGGAAAAUUUGGAAUCAAAAUCAAUGACAUGUUUACUUGCAAAAUUAAGGUUUGGGAUUGGAACUGAAGUAGUGCCGGACCCACAAAUUUGAUAAUCACUACCAUAGUUCUGAUUCCAAAGCGAGGUGUUUGGAAUCUGAAUUCGAUUUCUAUAACUACCCAUUUUACUCCCAUUAAACUUUUAUAAUCUCUAAAUUACUCUCAAUUAAGUUCUAUCAUUUUUUUCUUUUUGGUUCCCAUGGAAUUUAUCAAAAAAAACUCAAAUUUUUUGAAUUAUUUGCAAAUAGGUCCUUUAUUGUUUAUAAUAAUGUAAUAAUAAUAUUAUAUUAUUAUCAUUAUUAUAUUUAAAAUUUAUUUAUUUUAUUAUUUUAAUUAUUAUUAUUGUCAUUAAUUUCAUCAUCAUCAUUAUUAUUAAAUUUUUUUAUUUAUUUUUCUUUUAGAAUAACAUGGUACACAUAAAUAGCUAGACAAAGAGAAUCUCUUGUAUAUAUCAAGAGAUCUUACAAAUUAAACUGAACCAAACUGAGACCAUCAUACAAUUGACGGGUAAUAACAAUACCCAUACUUUUAUUUUCUUAAACAUAACAUAAGAGACUAAUACUGCAUAUUCUUAACCAGUGUGAUCAAGAUUUCUUCCAUAUUGCGGGACCACAAGAAGAUCAAUAUUUCCAUUAAUUUCAUCAUCAGCAAUAAGUGAAAAAAAUGGGGGACCUACACCCUCCGACCAAUCGGUAUAACCUGAAAAAUUCAUUUUUUUUUUUUGGUUUUGACCAUGAGGUAUCCUGGGGAGGGCCCCAACUGUGGGAGGCACCUUUAAGCCUGUACCACAACCCAGACUAGAAGUCCCCGCUCGAACCGAGAGGCACAGGUUCUCCCAACAAAGGCGACUUCCCUGCUACUCGAACUGAAAAAUUCAUGUUAUAAAACUUAAUCACAAAUACACAUAUUAAAAUAAGAAUUAUAAAUGACAUAAGAAUUAUUUGAAAAUGCAUGGCCUAUGUAUAAACCUGCGCAAGGAGUUCCCAUAAUCUUCAAAUCAGGAAGGCAAAAGAUUUCUGCUGGCUUCGACUGAACCGUAUUCAAAACUCAAAAGGUAAGUAGUUGUGCUUGAGCGAGUUCUUAUUUCUGGUUUGAUCUGAUAUAUAUAGAUCAAGUAGCCGACACUACGGUGCCAACGUGGCAAAGUAACAAGUUGUGCAUGGUAAAGAUAAUGGAUCAGUGGUUCUAAUUUAAUCGUACAAUAAGUAGGGAAGGUCAACAGCUCUAUAUGGUUAAGUUAGUGCAUGUGUGAUACAUGAUUCAAAAAAUAAAUAAUUCUAAAUACGAAGGACGAGCAAAUUAAGUAAUAAAUGCCAUUACCAAAUAAUAGUGUGUGCUAUACUAUAGAUAACGGAUCAACGAUUCAAAUUUCAUCCUAAAAUAGUAGGUAAGAUUAGUGGCUAGUGUUAAAAAUCAUUGCAUGUGCGAAACAUGGUCCACAAAAUAAAUAAUAGUAAACAAGAAAGACGAACAAUGUAAUCAAAUACCAUGUCAUCAGAUAAAAAAAAAAAAAGGUAUAAAUAACAUUACCAAACAAUUGCUUGUUAAAGAUAACAGAUUUACCGCUGAAGUCUGAUAAUUGUAAGAUUAACCGCUGUAUAUGGCUCAACUGCGUGUGUAAAUAAAGUAUGAAUCAAUGGGUCCACGAAAUAAAUAAGAAGACCACAAGCAUAGUGGUCCAAAAAAUAAAUAAGAAGCGAAUAGACGAGCAAAUUAAGUAAUAAAUGCCUUGAUCUAUUAUGUAGAUGUUUAAUCUUUUGCUUUUGAUAUCGUUAUGCAUUCAAUGGCUAUACAUUUGGUGCCUGAAAUGUUUCGAAUAAAGAAGUUUCCUCAUAUAAAUAUAUUGUCUUAUUUAUUUAUUUAGUUUUUGGUCAAGUUUUCUAUUUUUAUGCAUAACGUUUUUAUGGUUCGUUUCCUUAAUUUGAAAUUUUUGUACCAUUCAUUGAAAAAAGAAAUGUAACUUAAGAUGAUCGACUUAAAUUUUCAUCCGUUUCAUUUCAUUUAAUCUAAAAGUGUAUAUUUUUUUGUCAAAAAGCUGCAAUGAGUCACCUUUAUUCUUCUAUUAUUGAAAUGAAUAGAUCAACCGAAUGAAAGUUUAAUUAAAAUAUUGAAUAGAUUAAAUGGAUGAAAAUUGAAGUAAAAUGUUGAAGUUAAGGAGCCCUAAAAAUAAUAGAAGAAACUCGAUAAGAGUAACGUUGAAAAUAUGUUAUCUCGUUUUUUAAUAAUUUAAGGAUUUUUAUAUUAGAAAAUUGCUUUAUAUAUAUAUAUAUGUGUGUGUGUGUUGAAAAUAUAUUAUUCCUUACUUAACAACUUAAGAGAUUUUUUAGAAAAUUACACACCCACUCCUUCUAAUAAGAGAAUUACUUAAUUUCAUGCAAAGUAAAGGAUAAAUUAAAAGUAAAAAACACAUAUUUUAAUAUACCAAAAAAUAAAAUAUACUGUUUUGGAGUGUGUUUUGUAAACUUUCAAUUUGUCUUUUACUUGAUUGAAGUAAGUGAUCCCUCAGUGUAAAAUUACUUCAUAUAUAUAAUAUAAUACACUAUAUUAGAGUGUGUAUUUUAAUUCUCUUUUAAUUUAUCCCUUAUCUUAAUGAUUUAAGAGAUCGUUUACUAGCUAAUGACUCGUAUAUUUUAUUUUGACUUAAAUUUUUUACAUAAAUAUUGAGUGAUUGGUUUUUCACAAUUUAAUCGUAGGUAAAUUGGUAUAAUUAGUGGUAGUUUAUAUGUGUGUUCAGUUUUUUUUUAAUGCGGGUGUCUUUAUUUUUCUUACUUAGACAUAUUUUUAAAUCAUGGGGUUUAAAAUCAUAUAGUUUAACCGCACUUGAAAAUAAUUAAAUAAAAGAGUAUGCAUGGAGUGGAAGGAUAAAAUUAUCAUAUCCUGAUUGAACAAACCACCAGGCCAGCUUGAUUCUUUCUGCUAACACUAAAUAAUUAAUUAAUCAUGUUUCAUUUUUAUUACGAUAAUUCCCAGUUUAUAAUCAAGCCGUUAAAUAAGAAAAAGUAUAUGGCGUGGCCUCAUAAAAAAAAAAAACUUUAUUUUAAGUAGUGGAAAAGAACAGUAUAUUUAAAUUGGUCACGGAGAAUGGUAGGUGAAUGAGGCCAAAUUAAAUUUGCGCGAAAAAUCCAAAAGCAUGUGAGACUUGCUCAAUUAUUGUAUUGUGUGUCCUACGCUAUAAUUAAAGCAAAUGAAAUCCGCGACAAUAUAUAUUGAAUUAUUCCAAUAAAAAAAAGUUGGAUUGUGACAGACACCACAUAUACUAAGAGGAUGGAUUAGGCCUUUUUAACUGUUAUAAAAUUAUUUGAUUGUUAAUGACGUCUUUUAUUUAAAAUUAUAAAAUUAUUUUAAUAAAUAAAUAUAUUAAAAAUAUAUUAUUAAAGAAAUGAAAUAAAUAAGAGUAUUUAAAAAAAAUCUAAUUUUUUUAAAAAACCUCUACAACCUUAAUGGCCUAAAAACUUAAACUUUCCUUAAUAAAAAUAAAAUAAUUUAUUUAAUUUCUAAAAAUUCAACUCAAAAUACCAUCUAACAAUACCAAAGUUUUUGAAAAGAUCUUUAAAAACGAAAUAAAUAUUUUUAGGCAUCAAACAUGCACUUAUUACAUAUAUAUAGAUGGAUUAUAAUUUAAUAUCAACUCCCAUAAUUAUUAAGGUUAAAUCUUCUCUUAUACUAGGAACAUUACCCACCAUAAAUAUCUGUUUGCGGAAGAGCAAUAUUCACCAUACAAAGCCUCUAGUUGGACAAGCCCUCUUCUUUUAAUUUUUUUUCGUUUUUUUUGAAUAUAUAUAUACAUACACGCACACACACAAAAAUCACAAUUGAAGCGCCAUAGAUAUAAUUAGGAGAACUUGCAACAAGAAGCUGCCGGCAUCUCCCACACAAGCUUGAAAAAGUAGCCAGUAAGAGUUGUGCACGGGGGAAAGAAAAAAAGGGAAAUAAUAAUGUGAUGGGAUUGGCAGGUGGUGUCUUAGCAGCGAUCAUAGUUAUGAUGAUACUCUUCUUCACCGCGGAUCAAUCUUGUGCAGCAGGCAACGGCACCACCAUUACUAAUUUCGAUAUUGAUCCUGAUGUGUUGUUCUUUUAUGAUGAUCCGGAAUCGGAAUUGGCUGCUGCUGCUGCAACAAACGUAUUGAAUAUGAAAUCCUUGAAGCGGCCUCCGGUGUUCAAUUGCGGAAGAGGCCGAAGCAAUCGCAAGUGUACCCCUCCUCCCCAGGGUUCCAAAAAGGGUGAACAUUGCCCACCUACGGUUUUGUACAAUCGAGGGUGCCAACAUUAAGCCUUAAGUUUGUACUGCUGCAUCCGUGCAUAUGCAUUAAUAAAUAAAUUAAUUGAAACUUGUAAUUUGAUUAGCACUAAUUAAUUCGUUGUUAAAUUAGCUAAGGUUACUCCAUCUUGAUGCUAUCGUUCAUGUUCACUCAUUUCAAUUCUACCAUACUCGUCCUGAAUUUAUUAACUUUCCAUGUGCGUGCGUGUUAACAGCCUGGAGAUGUAAUUAAUUAAUUGAUUAACCAUUGAUGGCGUUUUACAUCGAGCUGGACCUACUCUUAAUUACCGGCCUCUCGAAGGGAAACCCGCUACGAUAUAAAUCUAAAUUUCAAUGAUUUAUCUGCUCCCUCCCAUCAUGCCUUAAUUAAUUGUUACCACAACAUCAUCCCAAAUGUUGUAAUUACAAUUAAUUAUAUAUGUUAGCUAUUUUUCUUUUUAAUAAAUAAUUUUACAGACACAGAUACAAUUAGUGUGGCGCAUGGGAGGAUGUAAAAAAUAUAAGUUAUUUUCUCGAUUUAUAUUCAAACAUGUUUAAAUUUUAUAAAAAUAAAUUAAUGUCUUAGUUAAGCUUUCUAAUUUUUUUCCUGCUCGACGAAUUUAUAAAGACGUCGUUUUUAAGAAGGAAAUUAUUUCUCUUUAUCUUUUUACUGCUUGAUUGGAACUCUGGCAAUUUGAAAAAAAGGAAAGGAUUGAUGUUGAAGGAAAGAAUUGGGUAUGGAAAUAAAAUUGUGUGCCUUUAUAAUAAACUCAUUAAAAAUCAAAUUGAAUGAAUUUAAUUAUUAAUAAUUAGGUUACGAUAUAAAAUGAAAUCUUAACCAUUCAAUUUUUUUUUCUAGAAAUUAAUUUUAUGAUUAGAUUAUUGAAAGCUAAAGAAAAAUUAGGAGGGGGAAAACUAGUAGGGAAUCCAAAUCCUAUUCUUAUUAAUUAAUUAUAAGCUCUAUUUUUUUUUAAUCAAGUCCAAAAUUUUCCUUGUUUUUUUUUUCUUUUUAAAUACCCAAAACUAAAAACCAGGGCAUGCACUCUGUGUAUAUAUCUAUGAAAUCGUUGUUCAUUAAGCAAAUUUCUUCCUCUAAGUUCAGAUAAUUUCAUGAUUUGUCACUUUCUGCACCCAAUAAAAAGAUAAAGAAUCAAAAGGACAUCUUUUAUGUGUAAAUACACAUCAAAUCUCUUUUAUUAAUCAAUUAUUAUUAUUAUUAAUAAAAUAGGCUACGUAGCAUAUUCUAUUUUUUCUCCCUCAGCUAAAAUACUAAUAUAUUACCAAAUUAAAAAAAAGUUGGAACUAAUUUUAAUUUACUUCCGUCGUCUUGUUACAGUGUUAGCUCUUUGUUCAUGAAUCGAUUAAUACGUGCAUUUUUUUUACUCAAAAGUUUUCAUCUUAUUAGCUUGGAUCAUCUUUUUCCUUUUCUUUUUCUCCUCGUUGUCUUCUAUUACCUACUCUCUGUCCUCUAGGAUGAGCAAUAAUGCUAUCUGAAAAUUCAUUCAUUUGUCCGUGUUUGAUUUACGACAAGCGGAUUUCUCAUCCUACAACUUUUUUGGGAUGGGUCCAUCUCAUUGGGUGGCCCAACCCCAAGUUUCACUAAUUUUAAAAUUUAAAUAAUUAAAGAAAAUAAGUGGGGCUAAGUGAAAUUAGUCAACAGAAAUCAUUAGAUAAAGAAGGGCAAAAGCAAGGGACUGUUAGGGAUGGUAAUGGGUACAGUUUGCAACGGGUUUGUUAUUACUAAAUUCAUAUUCACUUAAAAUUUAAAUUAUUAAAUCAAACCCGCACUUUAUUAUAGGUUCUAAUUUUUUUAAAAAAAAUUCACCCCCUGCAGGUUUUGACAAUUACUAAACCUGUAAUGAUGUCCUACAAUAAUGAUUAAAAUUUAGGUUUUCACAUUUAAAAUUAUAAAUAUUCAAUAUGAAAAUUUAUAAUAAUAACGUAAAAUUCUACAUAAUAUACUCAGGGGUGGAUGCAGCAUGUAACCAGUGGGGGCUUGGGCCCCCAUUGGCCAAAAAAAAUUAUAAAAAUAAAAGAGAAAAAUAAUUUUAUUUUCUAAUUAGCCCUCAUUAAAUUUAUUAAAAUAGUCACUAUAAAUUAUAAACCCCAUAAAAUUUAAACUUUAACUUUUAAGAAUUAUAAAAACCUACAUUUUAAUUAAAAAUAAUGAUAGUCCACCACCCAAAAUAUUUUAUAUUCUCAAAAAUAUGAUUAAUUCUUCCAUUUUUUAUAAUAAUAGUAAAGAGAAUGUUUUCAGUAAUGAAAUUCAUGAAGAAUCAUCUUUGGAAUUGGAUGAGAUAAAUGAUAGUUUGGUUGUUUAUAUAGGAAAUAAUAAAUUUAAUAAUAUUGAUGGCGAGUCUAUCGCAUAACAUUUUUAAAAUAUGAAAUCCCGUAGAGAAUAAUUAUAAAUGUAUUAACAAAUAUUUUAUAUAUUCAAAAUUUUAGUUUUUUUUUAUAUUUUACUAUUAUCUAAUUUAGCCCCCGGUAAAUUAUUCUUAUAGAUCCGCCACUGAAUAUACUCAAUUCUAAAUUUAACCAAUGUAAAUUGAAAAUUAAAAUUUCAACAUCAAUCCAACAUAAAUUCUCAAUUUUAAGUAUGAAAUACACAAAUCAAUUAAAAAAAACCACAAAUCAGUAUCUAAAUAUAACAAUUAUCAUUUUAUAUUAUCAUUCAAGACAUGCUCCUAGAGAAGUUCUUCAUUUCAUUCACCACUAUUAGCACCCAUCGAACAUGAUUCCUACAAUAAUGAUUAAAAUUAAUAUUUUCUAAAAAAUAAUACAUUUUAGAUACUAAUCUAGAAAACAAAAUUGUUGUAAUGAAGUAAUCUAUUCAUCGAAUUGAAGAAUAAUAGUUCAUACAAAAUUAUAAUAAGUAGAAUUUAAAUAUGUAUAGAAUAAUUCAUGCAUUAAGUUUAAGAAAAUUCAAUCAAAAUUACAAUAAGUAUAAUUUUAGAUUUAAAUAUUUCUCUAUUAAAAUUAAAUUAAAAAAAUAAUGAAAAAAUCUGAGUGUUGGCGAAUAUCCAUGCGGGUAUUUGUUGGAUAUUUGACUAAUGCCAAACUCAGCCACAACCUACUGCGGGUUUCAAUUUAUAAUACCAAAUUGGCCCGCAACUCACAAAAUUACCCACAACAGAUGGGUUUAGGCGGGCGAGUUUAGGCGGAUUUGUGGGUUUUUGGGUACCAUUGCCAUCCCUAGUGUCAACCCUAGUUAGAAAACUAAAAAGGAAUAGAGGGGGAGUGAGAGAGAGAGAAGAGACAAUGGGGUGAGCUUGGACUGGGGUUAAGGGUUUCAAUCUUUGAUUGGACAAUCGGAAGAUGAUUUUAACUAUGUUUUCUCCCAAAUUUGAAAGGUAAGUUCCUGGUAUCAGCUUCUAUAAUCCUACUAGUUUUUAUUUUUAUUUUAUCCAAUCGUUAGUUAUUAUUUGAGAUACCUACUUAUUAGAGAGACAAUUAAUAGGAUGUUACGUUAACCAAGAUCAUUGAGAUUCUUGAUGUCAUUAAUCUCUAGUGUUAUUGAGAUAAGAAUUUUAUGCUGUAAUCCCAUCAAUAUAGUGAAAUAUUAUAUCAUACUGUAAUCCUAUGAUUUUUUCCACUUUGAGUUUUCCAUGUAAAAAUUUAUGUUUCUUGUGGUUAAUUUAUUACUUUAAAUUUUGUUGCUUUAUUUUUUUACCUAUUUAUUUUACAUACACACCCUAUUUUAAUCACACCUUAUUUUAAUCACACAAAAAAGAAAAAAAGUUUAUUUCUGAUCAAUUUGCAAUUAUUUGUUUGUGUCUCUUUCCCAGCAGGACCGAAUGAAAAAUGAUAUGGAAUUGACUACUCUAUCUUAACUGGUUGUGUUUUAAGAAAUUGCAUUUGCUAAUGAUUGGACUUAACAAAACAAUAUUCAGGGCGCUUGUAUUAACCCUGCUGUGUUUUUUCACAAUAUCCGUUUCUAUUAUUUAUUAAGGACUUUUGUGAAAUAUGUGAUAUAAGCUGAGAGAAUCGUUGCAUAUCCAAAUUUAAUAUGAGAAAACAGAUCCUCUAGCUAGUCCGCUUCACGCGUCGCGAAUAUUAAAAAUAAGAAUGAUUUUCCUUUUUAAACUUUUAUGUCAAAUUACACAUGCAAAAUACAUAAUAAGAAUAUCUUUUUUUUUUCCCAUAUGUACGCAUUUCGGAGCAGACACGUCAACCACAUUCUAUCAUUUUUGUACCCCCUUCUCAAACUUUUUGAUAAUAAUUUUUUAUAUCACUCUUUAUUUCACCAUACUCUAUUUUAAUUAAUUCGAUUUAUUUCUCAAAUUACUUCUAUUAAAACUAUUUUAUCUCUAUUGUCUCUUACUUGCUUUUCUCAACAUAUUUGAACACUAGUGGUGUGUUUACUUACUAUCAAUUGAAAUGAGAAUUUUCGAAUCGAAAUCAAUGACGCGUUUACUUGCAAAAUUUAAGGCUUAAAAUCGGAAUCGAAAUAGUAUCGGACCGACAAAUUUGAAAAUCACUACCAUAAUUCUAAUUCCCAAGCGAGGAGUUUGGAAUCAGAAUUUGAUUUCUCUAACUACCCUUUUUACUCAUUAAAUUUUCAUAAUCUCUAACUUACUCCCAGUUCUAUUAUUUAUUCUUUUUGGUUCCCAUGAUUUAUCAAAAAACUCAAAAUUUUAAAUUAUUUACAAAUAGGUCCUUUAUUGUUUAUAAUAAUAAUAAUAAUAAUUGCUUGGUAAAGAUAUCAAAGUUUCAUAAUCGCAAGAUUAACGGCUGUAUAUGGUUCAACUGCGUGUGUAAAUAAACGCAUGUGGGAGUAUGAAUCAAUGGGUCCACGAACUAAACAAGAAGACCACAAGCAUAGUGAGUCCCAUGAAUUUCUUUAUAAAAAUAAAAUACUGUGUCCCGUUAUACAUAUUAUUAAUUUUUCUUUUAUCUCUUCAUUUUAAACACCUAUCUCGUUUUAGUUGUCACAAUUAAACUCUUCUUUAGCACUUAAUAGAAGUACUUCUAUGAGUAUGGAUUUAGAGAGAGAGCGCGGCAGUAUUAACAGGUGGCAUAUUGUAAUAGGCUAAGAGCAAUAUCUGUAUAAAUAUUCUGAGUUCAUUCAUUAACUAAUAAGAUUCUUCUAGAUCCAUAAUCAAUUUUUCUCUCGUUUUCUCUUUAACCAAACAAGUCCUUCAAAUCUAAUAUCGUACAAUAAGUUGGCAGGUUUAAGGGCCAUGACUAAAUUAAUGCAUGUGCGAAGGGUGGCCCGAAAAGUAAAUAACUGUAGAUAAUAAGAAGACGAACUGACGAUCAAAGCAAUAAUACCAACCAGGCAAUAAUGCAUGGUGAGGAUAAGAUAACAUGUCUACGGCUGAAGUUUGAUUGUGAGAUUAUGGGCUAUAUAUAUAUUUCAAUGAUGGGUCCACGAAAUAAAUAAUUGUACAUAAUAAGUUAAGCAAAGUAAAUAUUCUUUCCGUGUCAACUGGUAAAAUGUGUUCCUAUGGACAAAAUUAAUGACUGAGAGUAAUUUGGUAGUAAUUAUGGGGGGAUAAGGAUAAUUACACUCCAUGGUUAAAACAUAAUCACAUAGAUGGCCCUUUUCACUAUUUUACUCUUUGACUCUAUUUAUCCAACAAAAAAUAGUACAUUUCAAUCCAAUAUUUUAUAACAAAUAAAAGUAUAAUAUUUAAAUCAAUGCAAAAAAAUAAAUAAAUGCAUUUUAAGUUAAAUUUAAUAUAAAUAACCUGUUAAACAUAUUUAUGCAAAUUCCUAUCCUAUUAGAGAUUCAUGGUACCCAAAAGCAAAAAAAAAAUAUAUUGAAAAAAGGGUUGGGGAUAUUUACACUCUAAUAUAUGUUUUGGACACUCUAAUUUUAAUAAAAUUUUAUACUACUAAAAUACUAUUUAGGACAUUAAUAUAUUUUAAGACAAUUUUAGCACUCUUAAAACUCACUAUUUUAGAAGAACUAAAUCUCAAUUGAUACACAAUACUUUUUUUUUCUUAAAAGGAAAAUAUGGUACACGUAAAUAGCUAGACAAAGAGAAUCUCUUGUAUAUAUAGAGAGAUCUUACGAGUUAAAUUGAACUUAACUGAGACCAUCAUACAAUUAACGAGUAAUAACAACAGUACCCAUACUUUUAUUUUCUUAAACAUAGCACAAGAGACUAAUAUUGCAUAUUCUUAACCAGUGUGAUCAGGGUUUCUUAACUUUCUUUCAUAUCGAGGGACUACAAAAAGAUCAAGAUUGUCGUUAGUUUCAUCAUUAGCAAUACCCAUUUCGGGAAUCGGAAUUCAUUUCGACCAAUCGUUAUGACCUGAAAAGUUCAUAUUACAAAACUUAAUUACAGAUACAUAUUAAAAUAAGAAUUAUAAUGAUAUUUAAUUGAAAAUGCAUGGCCUAUAUAUAAGCCUGCGCAAGGAGUUCCCGUAAUCUUCAAAUCAGAAAGGCAAAAGAUUUCUGCUGGCUUCGAUUGAACCGUAUUCAAAACUCAAAAGGUAAGUAGUUGCGCUUGAGCGAGUUCUUAUUUCUGGUUUGAUCUGAUAGAUAUAGAUCAAGUAGCCGACACUACAGUGAGAAUAUAGCAAAUAAGCAAGUCAUCACGCUAAAGAUGAUGGAUCAACAGUUCAAGU